rnacentral:lncRNA from 1 species
AUCAUGGUUGUGACUUUUAUAUGUUCAUGCUUGGUUGUGAAUUUGCUACAAAAGUCUAUUGAUGCACUUGUUUAGAGUUUUGUUUUGUUUGGUUUUUCUAUUUUCUCUACUAAAUGGUAAUCUUUGCAGGUUCCCUCAUAUAUAUCCCGAUCUGUAGCUGGGAGCUAUGACAACGAAGCUGUUGCCAUUUUUGCUUUGAUCUUCACUUUUUAUCUUUACAUAAAGGUCAGGGUUUUCUCCAAUGGCAUGUAAAGUUAUUUUAUUCUAUGGAACAUGUGGAUAAUAAAAUGCCUUCAACAACCAAAUAUAAAGCUUGCUUUUUUUCAAUGCAGACACUAAAUACAGGUUCUUUGUUUUAUGCCACCCUGAAUGCCAUUGCAUACUUUUACAUGGUACGACUUGGGAUCAUUCCUCAUUUUUUUCUCCUUUCCUUUUUACCCUUCUCUCCUCAAUUAUCAUUUUUUCUUCAUCACAUAGGUAUGUUCGUGGGGAGGUUACACCUUCAUUAUCAACCUGAUACCAAUGCAUGUGCUUUUGUGCAUUGUAACUGGCCGAUACUCUCCUCGACUAUACAUUGCCUAUGCUCCUUUGGUAUGAGUCUUCUUCCUUCUGGUAAUAGAAAAAAAAUAUGUUGUCUGUGUUGGAGUGAAGUGGUUGUAUAUAUCACGUAAGAUACUGAAUAAUAGCUGAAAUGAAACUAUUCUGAAAUUUAGUGUGCAUGGAUAUGCAGGUUGUGCUGGGCACGCUGUUAGCAGCGUUGGUACCUGUUGUUGGCUUCAAUGCGGUUUUGACGUCUGAGCAUUUUGCCUCAUUUUUGGUGAGUUCUUUCUUCAUGCCCUUAUUUUUUACGCAUGCCUGUUAUUUUAAUGCUUAGUUAUUCAUUUUGAAAUUGAGUGUUACAACGACCAUGGUUCAGUCCUCUCGUUGCUUAAUUUUCUGGAUGCUAGUUAACUUAUUUUAUCGGUGAAUUAUGCAGGUUUUCAUUAUCAUCCAUGUAGUAGCACUCGUAUACUAUAUCAAAGGCAUUCUCACUCCUAAAAUGUUCAAAGUUGCUGUGACACUUGUUGUGUCCAUCGGCCUGUAAGCUUUCUUAUACUGUUUUUCUCUGACGUGUCUGCGAUUUCUAUACCUUGAUAAGAGGAGUUUAUCUGCAUCUGAUCCAACUGUACAUAGCUUGUACCGAUGAAAUAACCUCUAGGUUUCCUGGAUUAUAUAUCAGGGAAUAAAAACUUCUGUGCUCCACUGUUUUUACAGGGUUGUGUGUCUCAUAGUUGUGGCAGUUCUUGUGGCACUGGUGGCUUCAAGUCCAACAGGAGGAUGGAGUGGUAGGAGUUUGAGUCUACUUGAUCCGUGAGUUGUUCUAGUUUUUCAAUCUUUAUUUCUCCUAAUGAUUAAUUUUCAUUGCAAAUUUAGAUAAUGCCCUUGUCCACAUUUCAGAAAUUCUGCUUUAUCAUUUGGUAAUUGAAGCAUAUCUGACACUCCCCAUUUCUUGGUUUCUAAUCUAUCAUAUAACAGAACUUAUGCAAGCAAGUAUAUUCCAAUUAUUGCAAGUGUAAGUGAGCAUCAACCUCCAACUUGGCCGUCCUAUUUCAUGGAUAUCAAUGUUUUGGCUUUCUUGGUCCCUGCUGGCAUCAUUGUGAGUUCAACGUUUAUGAUAGUUAGAUUUUAUACGGAACAACAUUGCAUUUUUCCAUAGAGUUAGUGUUGAUUCUUUUCCAUUUUCUUAUUCUUCUUUUGGUAGGCGUGCUUUUCGCCUCUGUCUGAUGCGAGCUCUUUCGUGGUCCUCUAUAUUGUAAUGUCUGUAUACUUCUCCGGAGUUAUGGUGAGUUGCAUGCCUACGAAUUACAGAUUCAUCUUUCCCUUGCCUACUUCUUUUCUUCCACCCUGAAUCACCUGUCCUCCUGAUUUCUAGGUUCGUCUUAUGCUCGUGCUUGCUCCAGCAGCAUGCAUCAUGUCUGGAAUUGCGCUCUCUCAAGCUUUUGAUGUUUUCACGGGUUCCAUCAAAUACCAGUUAUCGUCUAAAUCCAAAGAUGAUGUUAGUAUGCUUCUCUCUCUACUUUAUUCGAUCUGAUGAAUCAUCUUUGCUACCCAAGUUCUCGACAAAACAUUAUUUGUCUUUCGACUGUUAGGCAGAGGACAACACUUCUACAAAAAAUGCCCCAAAGGAUGAUGCUUCUUCUGGUAAGACUGACAAGGGUGAAGAAGUUUCAAAAGAACGGUCUUCAAAAAAGGGCAAGAAGAAAGAGAGAGAACCUGCUGAAAAACCUUCUGUUAAGUCUAAGAUUGUGAAGAAAAAGGCUCUUGUUUUGCCUCUUGAAGCCUCUAUAGUUGCGCUUCUUCUCCUUAUAAUGUUGGGUGCUUUCUAUGUGGUAUGCAGUCUUUCUUGGAGUUGUUAGUUUUGAUCCCAUCUUUUAUAAUUAGUUGAGACGAAAAAGUAAAAAUGAUUAGACUUCUAAUGCAUACUUUCUUUUUUGUAGAUACAUUGUGUUUGGGCAGCUGCAGAAGCAUACUCAGCUCCAUCAAUAGUUUUGACAUCUCAAUCGCACGAUGGCCUUCACGUCUUUGAUGAUUUUAGAGAGUCUUAUGCAUGGUUAAGCCAUAAUACUGACGUGGAUGACAAAGUAAGUUUUUUAGAUCCUAUUAAGCCUGAUUGUGUUAAGGUGUAUUUGAUAUAUGAGCCUGAGCUUGGUUUGCGAAAAAAAAAAAUCAUGUAGGUGGCAUCAUGGUGGGACUAUGGUUAUCAGACGACGGCUAUGGCUAAUAGAACUGUUAUUGUCGACAACAACACCUGGAAUAAUACUCACAUUGCUACUGUUGGCACUGCCAUGUCAUCUCCAGAAAAGGCGGCGUGGGAAAUUUUCAACUCCUUGGAUGUGAAAUACGUUCUUGUCGUCUUUGGUGGUAUGUUUUUUUUGGCUCAUAAUCAUGACAUUGUUAUCUUUUAUAUUCUCUGAUGAGACAAUGAUUUUAUCAGGUGUGAUUGGUUACCCAAGUGAUGAUAUUAAUAAGUUUCUGUGGAUGGUGCGUAUUGGAGGCGGCGAGUUUCCUCAUAUAAAGGAAGCUGAUUAUCUGGUACUUUUAUGUCCUUCCCCAUUCAAUUUUAGCUACAUGCUGUGAUGGCGCAAUAGUGUCAAGGCGUUUGAAUCUGAACCUGGUUACCUAUUAAUUUCUUUGCAUAGAGAGAUGGUCAAUACCGGAUUGAUUCAGAGGCCACGCCAACAAUGUUGAACUGCCUUAUGUACAAGCUCUGCUACUACAGGUACGAAGCUUUCCUUUAAGUGUAAACUUUGAACUCUGUUUGCAAGCUCAGUUUUUAUGUUUUUUCGUUUCAGGUUUGUAGAGACAGAUGGUAAAGGCUAUGAUCGAGUCAGGCGGACAGAGAUUGGGAAGAAAUAUUUCAAGCUCACACAUUUCGAAGAGGUAAGAUUUUGAAACUCUUACCACCAACCAGUGGCGCAUUGGUUCAAACUUAGAUUAUGGUAAAUGGAAUUGGUUUUGUCACCAGGUUUUCACGAGUCACCACUGGAUGGUUCGGAUAUACAAGCUGAAACCUCAAAAAAACAGGAUUCGUGGUAGAGUAAAGAAGCUUAAACAGGUAAAGCACCUGAAAAGAAUUUGUGAAAUUAGUCUAAAAUCCUUCUACGUACUCAUUAAUGAAUCAUUUAGUUAGUAAAUCCGUAUUAGUUGAAUUUCGACUUUAAUAGGUAUCAUCAAUUGGUACACGAGUGUGAGAUAAUGAGCUUGGAAGCUAAGAUAGAUCUGUCACGACUAAAGAUACUCGUUUUAAACGAAAUGUGUUAAUCUUGGCUUUUGUUAUUGUUAUUGUUUCCAGAAAACAAGCUCUGGAGUGAGCUCAAAAUCAGUGAAGAAGAAUCCGUGGAUGUAGAAAUCCUAUAACUUUCACUGUUGGAUGGUGAGUUCUAUGUUAACUCUUAGGUCUCUCUUUACCCUCGAGGAAGUUGUUGCGGACGCAGUCAAAGUUUCUGGUGUAGGAUUGGUAAAAGUUUUGUAGACCUUUAUGUGGAUUUGUUAAGAUGAAUUUUCAUGUUUAUUGUGGAGAAUUACACUAGAUAUCUAUGAAGAAGUUUAAAUUUAUCAAAUAAACAUCUAUUUACACCCAAACACCGCUCAACUUUCUUUCUUUCUUUUUUUGAAAGAAUUUUAAAUUUAUUUCAAUAAAAAAAACUCCUGUACAGAGUUUACUGCGAUCUCAAGAACUUAAGAAAAAAGCUUUAGACUUCCUUAGAUUCUUCCAAACCAAAUCUCCAUUGUCUUCUCAUGCUUCCCACCCAUUCUACUUCUUACAGAGGUGAUUCUGUUUCGAACUAGCUUGUCUAAUUUGGUAAUUAGGCAAACCACUGGCUGAGACGCUUUUCCUACCCUGCGUUUGUUCCUUUCAUACCAAAGUGCAUAGAUCACUGCUUGAAAACAAUACCUCAAUAGAAAAAUUAGACCUCGUCCCUGCAAACCAUUCUCUAUAAUCUGCAUCGAUAAAUACUACUAGACCCUGCCAGAUUCUUAAUGGUUCCAAUCCACACUUCUUUAGAGUAGCAACAUUCAAAAAACAAGUGAUCUCUGGUUUCCGUUGUCAGAUUGCAUAGCCCACAAGUGGAAAUUGCUUGCGGAUUCCAUCUGAUCAUCCUAUCUCCUGUUGCUAAUCUGUUUAGAAUCGCCAACCAAGCAAAGAAAGAGAAUCUCGGUGUGGCUUCAGAAAACAAUACUCCUUUGUACCACGAAACCUUCUGCAACUUAUGUCUUGUGAGGUUCCAAGUUUGAGAAGUUGAAAACUCUGAUUUGAAAUCUCCAUUCUCCCUCUUCCAAAGACAUAUAUCUUCCUGCUGAUUGAGACCGCGAUUCUUUAGAGCUAUAAUCUCUUGUCCAAUCAGCUGAAGAUUAUGAACUCGAUGUCUUCUUCCUCUAUACAACUGAACUGCAUUCUCCACUGUAGAAUUUAUAGGAAUUCCAAGAUCCAUACAACCUCUUUCUCCUGUUAACUCAAUCAGUUGACCCAGCGCCGACCAUUUCUCAUACCAAAAGGAAGUAGUAGAUCCACUAUUUAUUUCCUUUUGUAACAUCUGCAUAACCAAAGGUCGAAGCUUCAACAGCUUCUUCCACAUCCAAGAGCCUAAAUUGCUCUUCCUUAAAACUCCAGAAAGAACCUUUCCUAAUGAGAUAUUUCCGAUCCACUUAACCCAUAAUGAAGAUCUUGCGGAUAAAAUGCACCAGAUUAGCUUCAAAGAAGAUACUUUGUUCAUCUCAGUUAGGUUUUUUAAGCCCAGUUCACCUUCAUCUUUUGGCAUACACACAUCAACCCAAACUACCUUAGCUUUUUGUGUAGAGAGAACCGGACCAGACCAAAGAAAGGCCAAAGAAAGGCUGCACAUAUACUAUUUAUUUCUUGGAUACACUGAUUUGGCAAUCUAUAAGCCGACAUCCAGAAAUUGGUAAUGCUAUAGAGGACAGAACCAAUUAAUUGAAGCUCUGCAUGAUCAUUUAACGUAAUGGUAUGAUAAAACAUUUGCUGAUUAACUCAGCUUUAGAUCUUGUUCAAGGCCCGAGUAGGGUGUUUAACUGUUCCGGCCAUUUCCUCUUAAAGAAGCCUGAUACAGUACAAAAGCCCAUUAUUAAAGCCCAAAACAUCAGCAGAAUCUUGUUUUCAUGUUUUGCCAAGACGAAUCAUAUCCCAAAGUACGACAGUCACCGUUCAGUUAAAAGUAUCAGACAAGAAGCAACCACGAUGCUUAGCCCCGCCACUCUCACCCGGAAAACACCACUCCCGUUCAACUCUCUCGGGUUUUCCGGUAAUAACACAUCGUACUUCAACCGAAGGAGGACUCUUACUGAAGCUGGUUCAAGCAGGGCUCUUUCGUUUGGGCACAAACUAAAUUGUGGUGGUCGUGUCAAUUGGUCUGGGCGUUCUGGUACCGUGUUUGGACAUCUGGGUCGGGUCUAUUCGAUCUCAGGUGGAAGUUUAGGUGACUCCGGCGGAAUUGGUGAUUCAGGUUCAGGUGGUGGUGGUGGUGAUAGUUCAGGCGGUGGAGGUGAUGAAGGCAGUGGCGGAAACGGAAACAAGUGGUCAUUUCUGUCAUGGUAAAUAUUUUUUAUCUCCUCUUAUAUUAAUAUACUUCUUUGUGUAAAGAUUGUUUCUUUCAAACGCAAAUUCGAUCUACAGACGUUGGAUUAUAUUCAUUGAGCUCUAUCUUAUUAUGUUUCCUUGCUUUUGAGUUAAACAGAUGAAUUCACUUUGUGUUACGGUUUGUCUUAUGAUUUUUUCUGGUGGUGCUUCAGGUACUUGGCUCUUCUCUCAAAUUAUCCUGUUUUGACCAAAGCUGUGACAUCAGCAAUUUUGACACUCAUUGGUGAUUUGAUCUGUCAGGUAACUCUCUUAUUGGUCUGCUUGUUUCUCAGUAGUUAAUCAUAUGUAACCUCUUGUUGUAAAAGGCAAGAUUGCUUAUGUCUUGUUCCACUUGGUUUUCAGCUUACAAUCAAUAGAACCUCAUCUCUGGACAAGAAGAGGACACUCACGUUUACCAUAUUGGGAUUAGGACUAGUCGGUCCAGCAUUGCAUUUCUGGUAUUUUUUUUCCGUGGACCUCUUACCCUUAGUACAUCGUCAGAGAGUUUUGAUGCAAAACAUUUUUUACAAUCUAGUCAUCUGAUAGUUUAUGCAUAUAUAUGUUAGCUUUCUGUGUGUUGUAUUGUUUUCCUUAACCGUCAAAGCUAUAUUAUAUUACUUUUCUGCUAAGUAGUUUGUUCAUUUGAAGAGACUCAUGCAUCCGUUGAUAUAUUAUUACUUGUGCCUAUUUUCCACUUGCUCUCUGACAUUUGCAACUUCAUUAGGUAUUUGUAUUUGAGCAAAGUGGUGACAGCUUCCGGAUUAUCAGGCGCAGUUCUGAGGCUUUUACUGGACCAGGUAUAGCAAAUACUCCUGUUUUGCGACUAACAUUUAAUUUUGCUCUUUUGCUUGCUUUGUGUAAACACCAAUCUUUUUUAUUUUGGCAGUUUGUUUUUGCUCCUGUUUUUGUUGGAGUUUUCUUAUCAGCUGUUGUGACACUUGAAGGAAAACCAUCACAUGUCAUACCGAAGCUGAAGCAGGUUGGAUUACAGCUAAUCAAUCUUAAUUAAUCUUCCACGAGAAUGUUUAUUGCAUGGUAUCUUUUUUUUUGGUAUUCUAAUUGAGUCCACUAAUUUGUGGCUGUGUAGGAGUGGACUGGUGCAGUGGUAGCAAAUUGGCAGCUAUGGAUACCAUUUCAGUUUCUUAACUUCAGAUUUGUUCCACAAAACUUUCAGGUUUGAUUUUACUAAACUCUGUUGCAACAUGAAAUGGUAGUGGGGAAGAAAAUAAAAUUCGAUGAAAGAUAGAGAGAUAUGCUUCAAGCAUAACGACCAUACUCUGUUUCUCUCAUUAAUGUCUUAAUCCUCCACUUGGCAUAAUCUUUUGACCCCAUCAUAUCAUAUCCCAGCAAGAAAAGUAUAGACAAAGCACUUUUUCGCAUAAUGAGCUUGAUGCGAAUUGCAAUGGAAUGAAACUAUUAGCUCUCUAGAUCAUAUCAUUUUUAGGGUUAGCCAUUCACUGUUUGAAUGUCUCUGAACUGCAGGUGCUCGCUUCAAACGUAGUGGCAUUGGCUUGGAAUGUGAUUUUAUCAUUCAAAGCUCACAAAGAAGUUGUUGCAAAAUAGGCAAUGUUUCGUUCCCUACAAGCUACAGGUAUUGUUGGAUUGUAAUCGGCAGAGUUUUGGGGGCAGAGAGUGCUUGUCUGCUGAUUCAAAUGUUUAUUACUCCAAAGGAACCUUGCAAUUAACAUUUAAUGAAUGUAGAAACAAGCUUGUCUUUCAACAUUCGUCUUUCCCACAACCAAGCUGAUUUACAGUUUCAAAAUAUAUUAAAAAUUCCUUUGAUGCUUUAAUAAAUUUAUAGUUAUAAAUCUUAAAAAUCUCUCAAAAAUUUAAAGUUUACCGGACCAAUCAACGACCCUUAACAAAAAAAAAAUUAAAGUCUUAAACACCUCCAAUAAUAUGCUUUAAUGCAUCUAAUCAUGUAUAUGAUUAAAAAGCAAAUGAAUUCUUCUCAUCAUAUUUUCACCGCGCACUUCAUAAGGUUUGCUUGAAGAUCACAUCCCAAUGUUCUUUUGGAACUUUGUAAUCUGGUUCAGGAAGAUCCAUGUCAUCUGCCAAAAAGAAAACACCAUUAUCAACCAUCUCACCUGAUGUGAUUCUUAGAAUAUCAUUGCGAAAAAAAAAGGUAAAAAUGACAGCUACUAUAACAUACCAUGACGUGAGGGGCGAUCCUGACGCAGUAAACCGGAAAGCCUGUGUAGAAUUUCAAAGGUCCUCCUGAUUUCAAGGUUUGCAUCGCACAGUCCAGCGAACCAGUGUUAUGGAUAUUUACCCUGAGCGUCGGGUUGCAUUUUCUGGAUCUGAGUUUUCACAAAGUCAAAUGGAAGACUGCAAGCCGCAGCGCAGAAUCCCGAAACAGCACUUGCUCCUGCCAAAGGGACACAACAAUAUAACACAACCAUCAAACUCAGAGAGAUCUAUUUACCUGGGAAUACAUGACCACAAGACAAAACUGAUAAGACCUUGUUUAAGACUUAGUGCAGAACUAUUUUAACUUAGUUUAGAGAGUUGAGCAUAAAAAUAAUUUUCCAAUAGAGCUCAGGGGUCAAAAGAGAGCGAGGAGAAUGCAUUCGGAUCAAUUUGAGCAUGGUCGAGAUAUUUAGAAACUCAUCUCACUAAGUAUUUUCUCUAGUCUACUUCUUUAACAGAUUUGAUGAAGUUAAACACACAACUGUGUUAUGUAUGACAACACACUCCUGUAAUCAUCAGUAGCUGUUGUAAAUGUAAAUUUACAAGAAGAUUCUGUGGGAAGAGAAGCUUACCUACGACUGUGGAUGUCUCCCCAAGACCAAGAUAAUCUCUCAUAUACUCAGCACUUUGAUCAUAAGACGCAAGCAUCCCCAUGUUCAAAGCCAUUGCUCUGACCACAGUUGGCCCACAACCUUUCCAGAGCGCCAAAACUCCUUCAUCAGCGGUAAUACGGUAAAAGCGCGUGGAAGGCAUUGGUAUAGUUCCUGCGCUGAGCUAACGGCAAAGUGUUAUCAGCUUGCAUUCUGAUAAGCGCCAGAUCCGCUGGACUACCAACGCAGGCACCAAUUGCACCAGCCGUUAGACCACAUAGAGCUUUUUGAUACAGCGGUAGUGGCUUCCCAUCGUUAGCCUCACUUGCUUUCGCAGUCAGCAUCCUGAUAUAUUCAUAAGAACACACUACUUGAUUAGUACAAUAAAGGUGAUGAUAAAGAAUAUUCAUUCCUCAACAUGGUGGUGGUCACACUAGCUGCAGAUCCCUGACCUAGUUGAAUCCUCACCUUCACCAAAAACAAAUGUAUCACUUCAUCCAAUCCAACGAUUGUACAUUGUGAUGCACCUAAUAGCGUAAUUCAUCGAAACAUGUCAAUAGCAGCAGCUCAAACAGACACGAAUCCAGAUCUGAGAGACAACUACACUCGGAUCUGAUGAUGAACACAUUUCCAGAUUUCGCGGAUCCAGCAAACCACAAGCAAUAACUCCAACUUAUAACGACGAGAUUCUACAUGAAUACGCGUGAUCGAUGAAGACAUUUGACACACAGUACCUUGAUCAUGUCAAUAGGCUGGAUAACGCAAGUGGCGAGCAUACCAGAGGCACCGCCAUUGACGAAGGGCUUCACGGCAGUCCAGAUACCAAUCGGAGCUACUUUCUUCUCCUCCGCCAUCUCUUCCCUUUCUUGUUGGGAAUCGUACGGAACUCUCGAACGCAGCGAGACGAAGAGAUUCCGUAGAGAGAGAGAUUCCGUUGGUGGUGGUGGAGAAAGAAACGAAGAAGUAAAGCGAAAGCAUAAAUGCGUUUUAUAUAUUAAACUGAACUAAACCGUACCAAACAUUUUUGUGUGGAUAAUUAUCUAUCGGGAAAAUUCCUAAAAAUAACCAGACUAAUUUUGCUUUGCUAAAUAAAUACACGAAUGUUUUAGACUUCCCGAAAAAUACACAGACUAAAUUUCGUUACCCAUAAAAUACAUCAACUUUUGAAUUUCGAAAGUUUCACACCACGAUUUUGACGGCGUUAACUCUGACUAAAAGAAAAUUAAGAAGCCGUUAGUGAGUUAACUGAACACGUGGGGAAUCCGUGAAAGCACGUGUAACUCCAAAAAUCCCAAAUCGAAAGAAGAAUAAACCCUAAUUCCAAUUCGAUUUAGCCCCAAAUCGAACAGGAGAAGAUAUUUCUUUUCAGUCACUCUUUGGGGAUAUCUGUGAUGAAGAAGUUAGAGGCGGCGGUAGUGAUGAAGUUAGAGGUGGUGCUAGUGAAGAAAUUGGAGGUGGAGCUGAUGAUGAAGAAGAAGAAUCUGAGAGGCAAUUAAAAGAUGAUGAACAUCCGGCUCCUGCUGUUGACACUGAUGAUGAAUGGGAAGACUUCAAUCGACGGGAAAAAGUGAUUUCGAGAACUACAUACAGCAACGAUAAGCCUCCUUACCUGUGGUUAAUGCAGACUUUCAACAGUGGAGAAGAGUUCAAAGAUCAGCUGUUGCGCUAUGUUCUGAAGACAAAUUAUGAUGUGAAGCUUUGCAGAUGGGAGAAAACAAAGCUGGGAGCCAUUUGUACAAAAGAAAGAUGCGAGUGGAAAAUUGAUUGCUCAGUUGAGAAGCCAAAGGGUAAGUGGAUGGUGAAAUCUUAUGUGGGUACACAUAACCAUCUCAAGAGUAGCAAAACAAGGAUGUUGAAGCAGGGUACAAUUGCGGAGGGAACAUUCGCCAAACUGUGGGAUUAUGAGAGGGAGCUUCAGCGCUCAAAUGAUAAUACGACGACUGAGAUUGUGACUAUUCCUCGUGAAGAUGGUAGGUUUGUCUUCGAUAGAUUCUACAUCUGUUUUGAGAAUCUGAGGAACACAUGGAAGCGUUGUUGCCGGCCUAUUAUUGGACUUGAUGGGGCGUUUAUGAAAUGAGAGUUAAAGGGUGAGAUUCUUGCAGCUGUUGGACGAGAUGCGGAUAAUAGGAUUUAUCCUAUAGCUUGGGCAAUAGUUAGAGUGGAAGAUAAUGCUUCAUGGGCUUGGUUUGUUGAUAAGUUGAAGUCUGAUUUGGAUUUGGGUUUAGAAAAUGGAUUCACUAUCAUAUCCGACAAGCAGAAAGGAUUGAUUAAUGCGGUUGCAUACCUCCUUCCCGACGCAGAGCAUAGACAUUGUGCUAGACACAUUUUUGCAAAUUGGAAGAAGGUCUAUGGACAGUCAGAGUACGAAGAUUAUUUCUGGGCAAUUGCAUACAGCUUCACUAAAGGUGAUUAUCAGUUCAACUUGCACGCUUUGGAAGUGUUCGAUGGAAAAGCAAUCUGGUCGUGUAUUUGAUGUAUGGGGCCCUACUGCUGUGAGUGAUCAGAAUUCCCAAGGCUCUCAACAACAACCUCAAGACUCUUAGGCUCUAUCUCUUUGUUAUCUUCUUGUAUUGUACUUUUCUCAUUUCUAAAACUCUGUAGGAUGAUCUUCUUUUGGUUGGAUGUUUUCUUAAACUUCUUCACCUUCUGUCAGUUCUCUUUAAGAUUAUCUAUGUUAUGCUUUAUUUAAGAAAGAAGACAGGAAGAAGACACAAAAUAUAACAACUAACAUAAACUUCAUCAGUGAAACAUGACAAACCGAAACACUCCAACGCACAUCCAUCGUUAAUACAAACCAAAACACACAACACACAUCCAUCGAAAAUACAAACCGAAAUAGAAAGGGAAAUCCUAAUGAGAGAUGACAACAAAAGACACAAACUAUAACUACUUCUUCACCAUGAUAACUGCCAUGAUGAUUACGGUAGUGAUGAAGCCUCACCACGAAAGACCAAUGAAUUGUCUUAGCAAUUUCUCUUUUUCAACUGAUGUUAUAAGUGCAAUUUCAAGUUUCUCCUUCUCCUCUGCGAGUUUGCCCCCUUCCUCCAACAGUAAUGCCGUUGAAUCUUCAGCUGGGGCUUCUUGACAAGUUGUCCUAAGCAACUGUUUAAGAUUUUUUAUUUCUUCUCUCUGACGAUCCAUCACGCCUCUGGCCUCCAGUAAACUAUGUUUCUGCCAUUCAUUUUGCUCCUCCUUAUCAACCCAAUCUACGAACCCAUGAGAAUCACACAACCAAAACCUUCGACCCGGAUUGUCAUCUGUCCAUGCCUUCGCCGUACUCGUUCGUUUCUUGCAGUAGCAUAAGGGACCGCCGAACAUAUUCUUAUAGGAUGACCUUGCACCUGAACUCGACCCUUCACUCUUAGCCAUCGAUUUGGAGAUUUGUGAGAAAAAUAAGAGAAGAACGAAAUUAGGGUUUAUUCUCAAUCGAUUUGGGGAUUUUUAUGAAGGAACCGAGUUUUUAACAGCUUAAGCACGUGUUCAGUUAAGUUAUUAACAUCUUCUUAAUACUUUGUUAAACGAAGUUAACGCCGUCAAAAUCGUGGUGUGAAACCUCCGAAAUUCAAAAGUUGAUGUAUUUUAUGGGUAACAAAAUUUAGUCUGUGUAUUUUUCGAGAAGCCUUAAAAAUUCGUGUAUUUAUUUAGCAAAGCAAAAUUAGUCUGCCUAUUUUUCAGGAAUUUUCCUUUAUCUAUCGUUUGAGAUCUGAAUCUAGCAUUUUGUUAAAUUCGAUUUAUUUAUUAUUUUGGCAUUUUUUUCAUGCUGUAGUAGCUAGUGGACCAGCAGAGUUGAAGAUUCUGUUGCAGAUUGAUAAUAUCGAGGCCCAAUGGAUAAAAAGCACUUGACGCUUUGUGGCUGGGUGUUACUGCAACUAGAGAUAGAUAAGAUUAAACUAAAAUAGUAAAACCACUGGAACUUGGUAUAUGUUCCCAUGUAUAUAAUAAGCACACAUGAACCCUGUACAUGAACACAUCAACGAAGGUUGUACAGGAUCGAGACUAACAUUUAGUCAACAAGAAUCUUAAGAAAACCUUAGCGAGGUCACCUCCAGGAACAACCAUUGGAGGUUGGUACUUGAUUCCACAUUUGAACCCUGUUGGGAACCUACAGAACAAAACCAAUGUGUUUACAAAACCAACAUGAAGGUAAAGAAAACAGUAGCAACUAGUUCCAGUUUGUAGAUCAUACCAGUCAACAAACUGAACAGUUAUUUUAGUCUUGAUAGUACCAACAGCAGCAUUAACAUCUUUAGGAACAACAUCUCCACGGUACAUCAAACAACACGCCAUGUAUUCCCGUGCCUUGGGUCACACUUAGCCAUCAUACUUGCUGGCUCAAACACAUCAUUAGUGAUCUCAGGGACUGAUAGCCAGUGGCGGACGGAGAGUAUACGGUACCGGGGCACAUGCCCCCAACUAACUUUUUAAUUUUCCUUAACAAAUACUAUAAAAUGUACAUUAGUGACCCCAACUCAAAAAUAAAAUACAAUGAAAAUUUUUUGUACCCCCUAUUAAAUAUGUUUCUGUAUCGGCCCAUAGCUGCUUAUGGUAAGCCUUUGCAGCUGAGAUGACUGUAGCGUAGCUGCGUAAGACGAUUGAUGGCUCCAUCAAACCUCAACGACGUUGUCAGGGAUCAUAUGAUCUGAGAUAUCAACCUGUUUAGGUUCGUGUAGGUAGGCCACAAUAUUUGCCCCCACGAUACAGUUCAUGGAAUAGUAUUUUUACUGUGGCUGGGCUGGCAUGGUGGAACCCCAAUUUGCAAAACGGAUCUUAUGUUUUUGAAAGCCUGCAAGGGAUUUAUUUAUAACCAAAUGAAAUGAAAUAUUCUUUGUACUAAGUAACACAAAUCUAAUUACAUUUUAAUAAUGAAGUUAAAAACUAGCAACUUGCAAAUCACUCGAGAAAGUUAAUAGGUUUGUCGUUGUUGUUUUUAGAAAUUUUCAACCAAGGAAAAGUAGUAUUUUGAGAUAAGUAAUAUUAUCUCCGUUUCAAUAUAGAUGAUGUUUUAGAAGGGUUAUUCUGUUUCAGUUUACAUGAACUUUGAGAUUUUAAAGUUUACUUUAACUUUAUUGAAAACUGUUCAACCAAUUAGAUUUUAUAGUUUUUAUAAUUGGUUAACUGAUUUUAAAAUUGUAUCUUUAAAAUCAAGUAUAUAUAAUUUUUAACGUUUGUGCAUACAAAACAUCAAGUAUUAUGAAAUGGAUACUGAAUUUGAUACUGAAUUUGUUUAUUUUGGGGGCGCAUUUGAACCUCAACGGAGACAACUUCAUAAAGUGAAGUAUUCUUUGGAUACUGAAGUUUUGUGUUGAUGCGUUGUGUGAGAAUGUCAGAUUAGUACUAAUAUUUAUUGCCAUAGAGGACUUGGAUUACCUUGAGCAAACCAUUCGGCUCCAUUUGAUGUGCGACUGGAUUGUAGAACAAUGAUUCAUAUGUACAUGAUUAAGCAUGAUUGAAAUGUUGAUAAUUUUUCAAAUGAAAGAGAUAUUUACAACCAGGAGCUGUCCAAGCAUAAAAUAACUAAAGGUAUCCCACAAUUACGAGAGCUAUAUAUAUCUACUAAAAUCACUUCACCUCUUAGUCGGAUUGGUAUACUACGGACACCGAGAGUCUGAGAUCAACUAUUACGGAACUUGACACAAGUGCUCUAAACCCAGGGUUGAUCUUGGACUAAAGCUCACGAAACAUCUGCUUUACGCGUCAAAUUUUAAUUAAAGGCAUCCAAAUUUUAUAAUAUAGUCAGGUUUUAUAUGUUUUUAAAAAUUUCAUGCUUUAGCUAGGCAUCCAAUGAUAUGGGGGUAGAGUCUGCCUAAACCAACAGAAUGAAACAAUGCAAGUGUGGGAUAUUAGAGCAUGUAAUCGAUUCAUUUAGCAAAUAUUCAUUUAUGUGUUACACCAUCAAUGUAAGAUAACAGAGUUGUGCAACUAUCCUCUUUCCUUUUUUGAUAUUUGUUCAAGCUAAGAAAACAUUUGAUCUUAGUGGUCAUCGUUUAGUUUUUCUCUUUCACCUUCCAUGCACAAUAGAGCUAUUCCAAUUUAUCUCUCUCUUUUUCCUUAUAUUAGGUCAUUAUAUAGUUAGAAACUUAGAAUAAGCUUGUUUAAGAUUUGCUUUUAUUAGAAUAAGAUUGUUUUAGAUUUGCUUACAUCAGGAACCCAAUAUUUUAGUUUACAUGCAAUUCAUGUAUGGAGUUAUGGUCCUAGUGUCUUCUUCAUCUUGUUUGCACAUGGGAGAUAACCAGUACUAACUCUUUCUUAAAUAUGAAAUAUGGUCCUGAUUAGCUAGGCGCACAUAACAUUAGGUAGGAGCACAUAAUAUUGGUUAUUACUUGGCUAUGCAUUUGGACAUUGUCUUAGUUAUAUAUCUUGAGUUUUAGAUUAUGUUCAACAUUUAACAAUUUACAUAUAUACAUUCAACGCCCACAUGACUAAGAAGUAAAAGAGAAUAACAAAUAGCUAGCUCAACAAGCACAUGGACACUAGGACACAUGCUAGCCAGCACAAGAACAAACAUCGCUAGCAACCAGAUCCUCAAACCCAUAAGAAUAUAAGGUUCAUAUUAGAAUAUAAUAACUUAAUAUACAUCUAUGUUCUAGUAUUUUAUAUGUAUGCUUUUAUGCCAAUGAUGGAACUUAGGUUUAUUACAGUCACUUUUCUUAUCACUGAUGAAUUGUUCGGAAGUUGGUGAAAAUUUGUUUAUGCGGAUUCAAUGGAUCUUGUAAGUUGUAAUCGUUUGUUAUGAUCCUCUAUAUCCAAACAACUGUCCAAACAAUAAUUGAAUCUACUUGACACCUUGAACCCGAAACAGCCACUGAACUAUUAAAUCAGUCCACUGAACCAAACCGGUUAACUAUCAAUUUUCCAAUUUUGCUGAGAAACUAGAUAUAAUUACUCGUACUUACUAUAAUCGGAUCAAUUCAUAUAUUUCCUAAUUUAGGAGUCAUUAAUGUCCUUCACCCAAACGAUCAAGUCAGCAAAUCAACCGUAUCUUAGCCGCCCCACUCAACCCAAAUAAAAACAUGAAAACAUUUAUUUCAGUUUUUGAAAGACACGUUAUGAAUGAAUAUAUUCAAGUUACUUUUUUUCAGCUCAUUUCAAGUUACUUAAUAUAGGAAAAAAACAUUAAAGACAAUCACAAUCUUACAGGAUCGUAAUUUCCGGUUUGACACUUGCACAAUAAUAUAUACUCCAAAAGUUAAACUAGCUAACCAUAUUUAAAUUUCUAAACCAGAACAUCAAUUUGUUUCGGUUAAAACUAUUUUUCGACCCUUACGAGAAGUCCAAAAUCCGGAAAAUAUAGAAAACCGGAUAAAAAUAACAAACCGGGCCAGAUCUAAGAUCCAGAUCGAAUCUCAUGUGUUUUGUCUAAUCUCAGGCUGUCACAAAUUUUGGCGGACCCCAACCAAUUAUCAUAAAUAGUCUCCACCCAAUAAUAAUAAUGAAAGAAAAAAGAAAAGAAAAGAAAAGAAAAGAAGAUCUCAUUUCUCCCUCCAUCUCCCUUCCUCCGCCGAAGAAGAAGAAGAAGAAGACGAUCGUAAGGAUUAAGGUUUCUUCUGGGAAGCGAAGAAGAUGAGGGAGAUCAUUAGCAUUCAUAUCGGUCAAGCUGGGAUCCAAGUCGGAAACUCCUGCUGGGAGCUUUACUGCCUCGAACAUGGCAUCCAGCCCGAUGGCAUGAUGCCCAGGUAAUAUUAUAUAACCUAAUCUUCAAUAAAUCGCUAGGCCGUAAUUAGACGUUAUAUAGAAGAUUAACGAGAGCUAGGCGCUUUCUAAACACCUACUUUUAGAACAACUGUUUUAGUAAUUAAACUUUACAUUUUACCAAAAAAAAUAAAAUAAUAACUGAACCUUUUUUAUAAUAAUUGAACUUUGCAUAAGCGAAACUAGGCGCUGUUACACGAUUCUGAGAACAAUUGUUUUGUUAAUUAGACUAAAAACUGUUGGGUCAAAAUCGGUAACUAAGAAAUUGAUGUCGGAAAGUUAUCGAAAAUAAAAAAAAUAAAAAUACGGAAAACUAAAACUUCAUAUUUUUAAAAGUAUUGCGCAAUUUAAUUAGCGCCUAAGCAAGCAUUAGUUACUGCUUACACUAAUUUUUUAGAAAAAUGUAGAAAAUCAUUAUAUUGGCGUUUGAGCACAGCCUAAACCGAUUUUUAUAACCUUUUUAGUCGAGGUUUGAGAGAUGAAUCUAAUAGCAUGUUCCUUUACAGUGAUACUACGGUUGGUGUAGCACACGAUGCGUUCAACACGUUCUUCAGCGAGACUGGCGCUGGAAAGCAUGUCCCUAGAGCUAUCUUCGUUGAUCUCGAGCCUACCGUUAUUGACGAGGUACGUACCGGAACGUACCGUCAGCUUUUCCAUCCAGAGCAGCUUAUCUCUGGUAAAGAAGACGCUGCUAACAACUUCGCCAGAGGCCAUUACACUGGUGAGAAAGAGGAAUUUUUUUUUUCUGUGUUGUUCUAAUUUUCUUGGAAUUUUGCAAAAUGGUCCUUUAAUAUUUUGUGUAAUUGCAGUUGGGAAGGAGAUUGUGGACUUGUGUCUUGACCGUGUGAGGAAGCUUGCGGACAACUGUACUGGCUUGCAAGGUUUUUUGGUGUUUAAUGCUGUUGGUGGCGGAACUGGUUCAGGCUUGGGGUCUCUGUUGCUUGAACGUUUGUCUGUAGAUUAUGGAAAGAAGUCUAAACUUGGAUUCACCAUUUACCCUUCUCCUCAGGUACUUAAACUAAUUAGUAAUUAUAUUUGAACGGUUCUUUAAUUUGGUUUUGAUGCAUAUUGCCUUUUUGAUCUUCAGGUCUCUACUGCUGUUGUUGAGCCUUACAACAGUGUUCUCUCAACUCAUUCCCUGCUUGAACACACCGAUGUUGCUGUCCUCUUGGAUAACGAAGCCAUCUAUGAUAUUUGCCGGAGAUCACUAGAUAUCGAGAGGCCAACCUACACGAACCUGAACAGGUUGAUAUCUCAGAUCAUAUCGUCCCUCACAACAUCGCUGAGGUUUGAUGGAGCUAUCAAUGUGGAUAUCACUGAGUUCCAGACCAACCUUGUUCCCUAUCCUCGUAUCCAUUUCAUGCUGUCUUCUUAUGCUCCGGUCAUCUCAGCUGCAAAGGCUUACCAUGAGCAGCUAUCAGUCCCUGAGAUCACUAAUGCUGUGUUUGAGCCAGCUAGCAUGAUGGCUAAGUGUGACCCGAGGCAUGGGAAAUACAUGGCGUGUUGUUUGAUGUACCGUGGAGAUGUUGUUCCUAAAGAUGUUAAUGCUGCUGUUGGUACUAUUAAGACAAAGAGGACUGUUCAGUUUGUUGACUGGUAUGAUCUACAAACUGGAACUAGUUGCUAUUGCUUUCCUUAGCUUCAUGUAAACACAAUUGCUUUGGUUUUGUUUUGUAGGUGCCCAACAGGGUUCAAGUGUGGAAUCAACUACCAACCUCCAACGGUUGUUCCUGGAGGUGACCUCGCUAAGGUCCAGAGAGCAGUGUGCAUGAUCAGCAACAACACAGCAGUUGCAGAGGUGUUCUCAAGGAUCGACCACAAGUUUGAUCUGAUGUAUGCCAAGAGGGCGUUUGUGCACUGGUACGUCGGUGAAGGAAUGGAGGAAGGUGAGUUCUCUGAGGCACGUGAGGACUUGGCCGCACUGGAGAAAGAUUAUGAGGAAGUGGGUGCUGAAGGUGGAGACGAUGAAGAAGAUGAAGGUGAAGACUACUGACACUUUCUUCUCUGAAUGAUGUGCAACCAAAAAGUUUUUUUCAAAAUUUAUGUUUCUACUUGUGAUUCUUGUUGAUUACAUGUUUCUUUUUUUUUUAAUCCUGUACAAUUUACGUUGCACAUUCUCCACCGUCUUGUGUUUAUUUUGGUUCAGUUCAUUGGUAAAGUGACCUUUGAGUGUUCCAGAGUUCAUUAUCAAUCUUUGUCAUCUUCUUAAUCGUCCAUUUUUUUCUUUAGUUACAAUAGGACUCUGUAGAGAUGUGUUCUACUUUUACAUUCAUGGGUCCACACUUGCAUGAAUUGAAAAGAGAAUGUUAGAUGUGAUCAUGUAGGGCAGAAGAGCUGAGAGAGUGAAGGGAGAUCCCAAAUGGGAUCGGUCGGAUCGAAUAUUGGAUACUCUGAAUGCAUGUUGUCGUAGUAAGUGGUAGCUCCAUUCAUUGCAUAUAGAGAUGCAGAUAUCUGUCUUUCGAUGUCAGCUAGACCAGAAUGUUGAUCGGUUGUGUUAUGAUCGUUGAGAUGUCCAUGUGCUUCUUCCACUCUGUAAUUAGCCAAAGGAACCUGAUGGUUGAGUUCAGAGACAAGUGGCCAAGAGUAAGGAAGCUGGACACUGUCGGCUUCUGGUUGUAAUAUGGCUGAUAAAUCAGGGCGGUACACGUUAUUGAGCGGCAUCAGUGUGGUAGUGGUGUUGGCGGUGGGACAAGUAGCAGGCGAAGUGUAAUUGAUGUUGUGUUCUACAAAAGAAGAGGCUGGUUUGUUUUGUUGUUGUUGUUGUUGAUGUUUCAGGCUCUGCUUCUGGUGAAGGAGGUUUCUGAUCUUCAAAGACAGUUGUGAGUUGUUUGGGAAAUGGUUUGCGAAAUUGGUGCGAGUGUUGGAGCCACGUAGGAGACAGGCAGCUUCGUCGUAGGCUCGAGCAGCUUCUUCUGCGGUCUCAAAGGUUCCGAGCCACAUACGUAUCUUUUGAGUGGUGUCUUUGAUCUCUGCCACCCAUUUCCCUGAAGGCCUUUGUCUGACACCAACGAACUUGGUCUUAUUGGUGCCUUUGCUCUUCCUCUUUAUUUUCUGCUUUUGAGUUGUUUGAUGAUGCUCCAUUUUUUCGGUAUGGUUGUUGUCCAUAGACGGAGAUAUAUAAGUAUUAAUAGGUUUAUAUGUUCUCGUAUGUUUCGAGGUAAGUGUUAGUGGGUGCCUCGUCUUCCCGAAGACUACUAGUUCUGUUAUUUUAAUGAUGCUACGAAUACAAUUUUAUAAUGAUAUAGUAGAAUGACUCCCGAGUUUUCUGUUGUGUGGGUUCCAUGUAUUAAUUACGUGCGCACCAUUUGCUAACUUCUUAAUAUAAACAAAGCACUAAACCACCAUGUUGUCGUAACCUCUAUUUAAACUUUUGAUUAAAGAAUUGACAGUAAUCUUUUUGUUUAAAUAAUAUUGCAGGGUUAAAUGUAGAUGUAGUUAUUUAGUACGAAUAAUUUCUCGAAAUAAUAAAUUAUAGUCUUAAUUUAGAGAGGAAGAAAAAAAGAGCUAAUCAAAAGAUCACAAAUCAACAACAGCAAUAUGUGUAAAGAAUGAUUUACUUCAAAAUUCUCACUUUAAUACAAAAAAAAAAGAAGAAAAACUUCAUCUUUCUCCCAAACAUAAAGCCAACAUCGAACCUGUCUUUUCAGGGAGUCACAACCCAACCAAAUUCCCAACUGACGCUUACCAAUUUCACAAACUUUCCUUCCCUUCUAAUAUACACUUUCCUACCAUAGCGAUAGAAAUUUCAUUUCAUAACUUAUGAAGGACUAGACCCAUUCUUCAUCCCUCCCAACAACAAAUGGUGAAUAAUGCAAACCCAAAAAUAAUGUAAACACAUGAAUGCAAAACUGACGACGCUUUGUGGUGGAAAAAUAAAGCUCACAAGACACUGUAAAUGAACAGAUUGGUGUGCGUUUAGGAUGAAAGCAUGGAUUGGAGAGCGUGUUGCUGUUCGGGUUUCAGUGUUGACCAUAUUGAGCCCAAUGCCGAUGGCGGCAGUGUUUGCUGAAGUUGCCUUAGUAUAUUAACCAUACGACCUGCCGUCUCUUGUGUCACCACAUCUUUCCCUGUAAGCACCUGGCCAGCCAUGAUUUACACACACAUUGAUACUUUUUAUCAGUUCAACAAUGCAAAAAUCAAAAAUGUUGUCUAUGAGAAGCGUAAUUAACAAACAAACCUCAGCGAAAACUGUUAUAAUUUUAGGAAGAUACUGGUUAUUGGGGCCUAAAAGGUCCACAUCUUGCCUGCAAGUUUAACAUCAAUCAGCCGUUUUAGACAGUCGGUCACAAGGAAUGCAAAAAAAAAAUAGCUAGCGCCCAGUAAAAAUUAAAAUCUAAACACAUUGGUUACCUCUCAACCAUUGAACAGAGCUGAUCAUGAACCACUUUGGCUUCAAUAACAUCAUUACUUAAAGGCAAACAGUUCAACCACGCAGGAAGUACCUAAGAAACCCAAAAACAAAGUAAAACUUAAAGAUCAACAAAAGUAACCCACAUGUAUUCGUGCAAAGCAACCAGAUGGCGAUAACUAUCUUAAGCUAUACCUGAGAAGAAUCGAUACUGUCACGGUGAAAUAGGCAGAUCUUUCCCACAGCGGAUACAGCAUUGUCAUAUGCCAUGGCAUUUUCAGAUUGCCGAGCAUUUGGCUGCUGUAUCACAACAUUUAAUCUUGACAGAGCCUCUGUUGAAACAAAAACAUGUGUUACUACUUAUCUGUAAAGCAUGGAUUAAACAACCCCUAAAGACCUACAACUGGGCAAAAGGUAUACUUUACCUCCAACAAGAGGCUUGAAUACAGAUCCGCCAAACUCAGCACACACACCAAGCCCAUAAACGGCAGCCUGAAACAAACAAGAGGUCAUAUCAAUUAGUAUACAGAUUCAGAAACACCAGAUAACAAAAUGUAGGAUAUACCUGUCGAACUUCUGGGCUCUCGUCAUUGCAAGCUUCCAGUACGAAUGGAAGAUAAGUAUCGUAAUAUCUGCCAAACAAAUAUCCGAAAAAGUACAUAAGAACACUGACUACUGAAAAUGCGCAGUGUACAAAGAUUCAGUGAAUGCAUAUCCUUUACUUGAAGGCAGCAUCACGGCAUUGCUCUGCAACAUCAUCAAAAAUGCAUAUCGCAAUCCUUCUCUCUUCAGCGGUUUUAUCCCUUCCCUGAACUCAACAAAAACACACAUCUAUAUCAAAACAGAAAACCAAGGCAGACUAGAACUAAUAUUGCAUCAGCGCCAUCCCCAAAGCCACAUAUUUAGAAACUCUAUUCACCCGAACCAGAGUGCUAAAGCUCCACUUGGUAUCACAGAACCGAAAAAUAAGAUUUGAGUGAUGACGGUAACUUACCCACAUAGGAGUUAAGUAAGAGGAUAACUCAUCGAAGAAAGGGAGAAACGAGGCCUUGAAUGUCUUAACCAGUGUUCCCAAUAUUUCACCGACCUAUGUGCAGACAAUAUAUCAAGUAUGAAUACGAGCGUUGAAGAUAGCAAACUUCAUUACACUUGCAUUUGACAAUGGUUAAUCACAGAAAGCUAACCUGAUCAAAAAUUUCUUCCUCUUGCUCAUUUUCCUCUUUAAUAAGCUCCCCCUCUUCAGCGUCAAAGUCUUCAGCAUUAGCUCUCUCUCCCCUCUCUCGCUUCCUGCUAGAGCUUGCUGUCAUAACUUGCUUUACCUCGUCAACUAUGGAUCUAAUUUUCCCUUCGUCCAAUAGAUUUCCGGAGAUCUGAAAUACAUUGACAGGUUAUAGGUGCCAUUUCUCCAACGCAAUGCUACGAUUUACUCUACGAGAUACAUAAAAAAAGAUUUGCUCAAAGCUCUCUAUCUCAUACCCUAAACCUAAACAAAGCUUGAAAAUAAGGCCAGCUGUCAAGGCAACAUAACUCUUCAUUCUCGAUACUCUAUGCUCAGAAGGAUUAAACAAGUAAUAAAGUAAGGGGAAACACACGAUCAUUGGUCUACAGGCUUCCCAAUACAAGCAAUCACAUAGAUGGCCAUUAUUAGCUAAACCAUUUAGCCUACCAAAGAGAGUGCAGUAUUGUCAAAUGGAAAUGUUGGAGUGACUUGACGCGGCCAAUUUAUAAUAGGAUUGUUUAACAUAAAUUCUUAUUCUAUUGAAAGGUUACCUGCAAGCAUUCAUUGAUAGCUUCCAACAUACUCACACAGAUCUCUGUAUCAGGUUCCUACAUAAAAUCCAAUCAUCAUAUAUUGGAUCAAAGCCGGAAGGGAAAAUAGAAAGAAAAAAUGAACACAAUACACACUUACUUUAUGCAACGCUUCUAGCAUGUUUGGAAUUAUAUAGUCAGAAAGCUGCUUUAAAUAGGAUAGAUCGCGCCCUUGAGCUUCUCCUUUCUCUAUCGCCAGCUUAGCUGAGCGCAUUAGUUCCGGCAUGGCUAGAAAAGAAAAAAUAUCCAAUUUAGAAACUUGUCAUUUAUGGAUCCACAGAUUGGAUUAUGGACAAUAUAUUUACUGAUGUACCUGACACAGCUGCUCUUCUAACUUCUUCGUGAAAAUAGAAUUUCAGCAAAGGAACCAGUGUAAGUGCAACCUACAAUAUACUAAUUCAGUCUAUCCAGUCCCAAAAACAGCAGAGGAUAGUGACAAAAAUAUAGAGCCGACCAACCAUACAAACCUGAUCAAUCCAGGGAAAAAACCCUUCUUUUAACUCAUCAGCAUAGCAACAAAGCAUGUUACAAGCUGUGGCUUUUUCUUCUAGGACACUUGUUUUGAUUCCUAUUCGUUUGUCUCCCAGGAUAAUGGUCUCCAUGCUGCAUAAACAAAUCGAAUUGGUACAAAUCUACCACGUCAAAUCCAUACGUAAAUUACAUUUAUCACAUAUUAUCGCAACCUUAGGUAAGAGUAAAAAAUGGAACAACAAAACUAUUUUGACAAGAAAUAGACGGAAAUUAUUUGUUAUAUAAAACAAUUAAAACAUGCUAUGUCACAAAGGAACAGAAUCUCAGAAUAAUAAAUAUCUCAUGGCAAAAAAUAAGAAACAAUUCAGCGGAAGCUGCAGCUGCAGCUUCAACAACAUACAGAGAUUACUCAUGCCAUUUUUAAAAAGAUUGAAGUAGUUUUCAUGCAAAGGAAUACGAACUAAUAAAGCAGGUACAGAGGCAUCAGAACAAUCAGAUGAAGUGUAAAGAAUAGUAGAAAACCUUUCAUCAUCAGAAUCCUCUGCUUCAUUUUCUGAAUCAGCAGAUGUAAUUGUUACAUCUGGUUUAAGUUGAGCUGACUGAAGCAAAGGAGGCAUCACAACAUCCAUGUAUGGGAGAAAAUCUUGGCCUAGACACUUGCAAAGCCUAGCCCAUGCCUAAGAAAAUGUAAGGUAAAUAUAAGAAAGUGAAUUUACAUAUAUAAGUUUACAAAUGACAUAUCGGCCAAGUGGCCUAGCAUGUUUUAAACAGAAUUUACCUGUAACAUAUAGCUCGUUAUUGGAUCAUCUGCCUCCAUUUCAGUCCCUUGCAAUGACAUAAGAACUUCCAUGACCUGGAAUAGACAUGAAAAAUAUUUUCAUUCGACAGAUGAAAAUCAAAUAGAAAGCUUGAGAUAGUCAUCUGUAGCACAAAAAUAAGAUUACAACAUAUAGCAUCAAUUUUGAAAAUAAUUGACUCAUGCAUUAAGCACACCUGUCUAGCAUCCUCCUUAAAUUUGUCCUUUCCAACUGCCAUUCCAACAAGACUGAUGCAUUCCAUGGAUUUGGCACGAAGCAUCCGCUUAGACUUGUCAGUUGCGUUCAUCAAGAUAGUUUUGAGGUAAGGCAUGACAACAUCAUAGUACUUUUGGAAGUGUUCCUGCAAAUUCAGAGUAUGUCAGAUCAAGAGUUGCAUGCAAGGAAAACAAUAGAUGUAACAUAACUUCUUCACAUAUACCUGUGAUGAAUCAGCAACUGAAGCAAGAGCUGUUAAAGCUCCUUCUUGCACCAUUUGUUUUCCAUUCUGUCAGAAACAGCGUUAUAAACCAAAGUUAAUAAUAGAGGGCACUCUUUUUAGUUAGUUAUUUAAAGAAACAAAAUUGCACAAUACACUUACUUGUAGUAGCACCAGUAACUUGCUCACUAUUCCAUCUAAAUAAGGUGCCAAUAUUUCAGGUGUACAAUUCUCACUGAAAUUUAGCACUGCUGAAGCAGCAUGAGCCUAAAUGAGGUCGCAAGAUACUGCUUUAGAAAGCGUCAGAAGAUUAUAUUAACAAAUAUACAGUUAACGGAAAACUAACCUGCACUCGUGGAUUCUGGAGAUCAUCCAUAGCAGCAGCAAGCGCAGGGAGCACUCUCUGAUGAUGUUGGUUUUGCAAAUCAGGACCCAAAUCUGUAGACAAUUGUCCAAUGGCAUUUAUGGCUGCCCACCUUACGCGAGGAUGAGGACUUUGAAAUUGGCUCAAAACCAUGGACACCACUUGCUGUAGAUUUUUUAUCAUCACCUACAUUAUAUUCAAGAUCAAAAUGUAAAUCCUUUGCAAGUCCUCGCCAAAUAAAUCAUGAAAGAAACAAUCACGAUUUAAUAUCCAACUAAAAGCAAAAGCAACAAACCAUACAGUUGCCAUCACAAAGAAAUUACCUUUGAGCAACCUUCAGCAAUCUGAGCAAGCGCAAUCAAAGAAGCGUGGUGCUUCUGCCACUCAGAGGCAACCAAGUAAGCAGAAAACUGCUGAUACGCAACCGGAACAAUGGUGUUCCCUCCCAAGGCAAUUGCUAACCGAUCCAAACACUCUUGACCCAUGCUGUAGUUACUCGUCUCACCAGCAUCCUCGUCCUCAGUCUCAGCACUAUACCAAGCAGGAUCGUCCUCAACAUCCUCAAGCAUCUUCAUAAGAACCGCAAACAACCUGUCAAUAAACUGAGGUAGCUUCCUAACCAUCCCAGGGGCACGCUCACGCGCCUCAGCCAAAGUUACCAAAAACUCAACCGCGAGAUGUCGCGUGCUCUCCUCGAGGGACUCAGCCUCUGCGAUCUGAAGCAUCGAGCCAACUAUAUCAAGAAGCUGCCGUCUAAGGAACCGUGGCUCAGUCCCAGCCAAUUCGAUCAAAAGCUCUAGCGCCUCCUGAGCCGUUGCUUCGUUCCCGUUAUUAAGAGACUCAGUCAACGUCCUAAUCAUCGCAGGUAAAACGUCUUGGAACCUAUCACGCUCAUUAGAGUUCGAUAAACACUGAACGAAACUAAUCACCGCGUUGAGAGCGGCGAUUUUGACGUCUGAGCUAGCUGAUUCGCUAGUCAAGCACUGGAGAAACACGCCGUGCAGAUGCUUGAUGUGAGGAGUCAAAGUCUCCCCAACGUACUGCGACAACUGCGCCACGAUCAGAAACGCCGAUUCCUGCAAUUUCGACGAAUCCGACGACACGCACUGGAAAACGAACGGAAGCAGCUCCGGCCAUCCGUUAUCCGGGAGGAUCCCCGAGGCGAGCUCGGAGACCGUAUCGCAAAUCUUCUUGGAGAUCGAUUUCGCCUCCUCGCGCUGGAUACAAGACAGCAUCGAGGAUUUGAGUGAGGAUUGAGUGGGGAGAGAGAGUCGCGGCCACAGGUAAGCGUCGUCGCGCGUGAGAAGCUUACGGAGGAGGACGGCGGCCAUGGCGCGAGCUUCGGGGUGAGGAGAGAGCUGGAGAAGGUGAGCGAGCUUCAAGGCGAGGGUGUCGGGACUGGUCUGCUUGGCGAGAUUGAAGAGAGCCUCGGCGGAGGAGCGUUGCUCGUUGGAAGAGGACAUGAGGUGGGAGAUGAGAGUCUCGAACGGCGCCGUAUCGGAGCCGAGGACCAUCGCGAGCUGCGCUUGUUGCUGAAGCUGAUCGGAAGCCAUGGUGGGCGGCGGCGGGAAAAAACUAGGGUUGAAAUGCUAUCUAUCUCUCUCCCCAGAUGAUGCGAGUCGAGAGAGAGGAGAGAAAGAGAGUAAGCGAGGACGAGAUGAGAUGAGAAUUUGUGAAGAGAUAAUUAUUUUUUUUGUUUUUAAUAUUCUAUUUCCAUUUUUUUUUAACUAUUCGUGAUAUGAGGUGGUGUCUGCUGUGGGCCGCGGGGUUAGCCCAUUAUUAAAUCUAAGGGAAAAAAUAGACAAUAAUAAUGUGAUCUCUUAGCGAAGCGAUUUUGCCACGUGUUCUCUCUAUAAUCAAUUUUUUAGACUAGAUUUGCAAAGUGAUUUUACCACAUGUCCUCUCUACAAUCAAUUUAAGAAAACAAAUAUGACAUAAUUACUGAAAUUGAUGACAUGACUUCUAAAAAUACAUGACAUGGAUAAUUUCAUUUAAUGUCCAUUUAUAUUUUUGGCAAACUUAUUAGAAUAUAGUAAUAAUUCAUAUAUUACAUUCAAUAUUGAUAUUUCUUUUUGAUAAACUUUUUGAGCGACAAUAGACCAUACUUUUUCCCCUCCAUUUUUUAAAACUUAUAAUUAAUAGAUUUUAUUUUCAAACUCAAUGUGCCAUAAUAGCCCAAUACACCAUCUUUGGGAACUUCUUUUCGAACUAUAAACUCUUAAAUUUGUUCAUGUAAAAGUACAAAAUAUGUUUAAAAAUCUAAUUUUAAUCUUUCAAAAGAAAUAAUUGUUUCCUUAAAAUGUUAAUUUUAUUUGUACUAAGAAGACUGAGGGCAAUCAUCUUAUUUCUCACAUGGGAAUAAAUAUAUUAGCGUUCUAUGUUUUUAUACGGUGAGCAAAAAUAUGAAAACUACAUACUUUGUGGCAAAGGUUUAUCAUUAAAAAAAAUUGGAAAUAACACUUGUCAUAAAAGUGUUUUUCCUAAGUUGUCAUAAAGGUUAGGUUAAAUUUAUUAAGAAAAAUAAGGAGGUUAUGAGAUUUACCAUUUCAUCUAUAUUUUGCCUUUUGAAAUUGUAAUUCCAGUUGGACUAAGAUUUUAGAUGUGAUUGGGUAGAAAAAGGAUCAAUGUAAUUAAGAAAAGUAAAGAAGGUAUAAGAUUUACCAUUUUUAUCUAUAUUUUGCUUUUUGAAACUUCAAUUCCGGUUGGACUACCGUUUUCGAUGUGAUUGGAUAGAAAAAAAAAUCAAUGUAAUUAAGAAAAGUGAGGAAGGUAUAAUAAUCUCUAAAUUUUCUUUUUGGUAGCUUCUUUCUCUUGCUCACAGUGCUAGUGAUACCGUGUAGAAGAAAAUAGAUAAAAAAACAUAUCAUUUACCAUAAAAACUAUGAAUUUUAAAAACUUAUUGUUAGAUAUUAACCCAAAGAAAUAUUUAAGAAAUUAAUAGCAAAUUAAAACAAAAGGAGACAAAAUAAGUUUAAAUGAUGCGCAUUGCAUAGAAUAGAAUAUGAAAGUCUCUGGACACAAAUACAAUAGGCAUGCAUUGUAUUUGAUGGGCUCUAGAUGAGCAUGCUUUAUUCACAUAAAACAAAAGUAGAUAUUAGGAAGAAUUAAAUAAAAUGAUUAUUCAGGUUUUCUUAAAUCCUUGAUGCAGCUCCUCGAGAUAAUUUAUUUACACCAACCUUCGCAAUUUUGUCGGGUCCCGGAGCAACCCUUAGUAGAGGGACAACAGAAGCAAGUCUUAUCUUUGGUUUUGAGUUUUGGGCAUAUUUUUUGCUCGCAUGUUCCUUUAGCUGCAUCGACAACUAUAUACACAAAAAAGUAACAGCAAUAUCAUUCGGAGGAAAAACAAUUAUCGAGGAUAUGAUGAUGGAAUUACAAUGGUGAAAAAGAUAGAUGAUGAACAAAUAAAAACUAUUAUAAAUGCAUACAUUCUUGAAGAGGAGAUAAAACAAUCAAAAUGAUGCAAAAUAUAGUGAACUGUGAUGACGACAUAUUGUUUAUGAUAUACACGUUUAUGAUUAAUUCUUUUGAAUUUAAACUUACUGGUUUGAUGGUUAAAAGCUCCUUUUAAGAUUGAUUAAUUUAUAGAUCGAAGUGUUGCUCGCCUUACAUGGCGAUCCAUAAAAAAUGGGUAGAUUUGUUUGACUUGUUUUGUGGUAAUUAUAUUGGUGUUUAUUUUUUUCCAUACUUAACUGUUUACGGAAACAGUCAAACUAUUGUAUGGUAAAGAAAAAUACAUAUGAAUUAUUAACUGAUUUUUUUAAAACACAAACUACUAAUUAUUUAUAAUCAACUAAUUCUUAAUAUAUAUAUAUAUAUUAAAGAAUUUACUAAAUGUAUCCAUGAGUAAUGCUAAGUAGAUUACCACGGCGUUGCAACUGCCCUUCUUCUGUUCAUCCAUGGCUGUUUUUGGGAUUGGGCAAUCCCGGGGACAAAUACAAAGGGACUAGACACAAUGUAUCCAGAACAUGUUUUUAAGUGAUAAAUGUAUUCAAACAACUUGGAUCUGCUUCUUGUGUUGAAUCUCAAAUAUAAUAGUUGUCUGUUCUUGUUUGACUACAGAUUGGGUUCGAGAUGAUUGGUUUUUUUUGCUGAGUCAGCUGGGAUUCAAAUGAACCUAGUAAACAUUUUUACAGCCAUCAGCAAACGUCAAACGCUAACACCGUAACCCAUCUGUAAACGGUUAAAAGUGAACCAAUUAAUAAGCUUUUGGAUAAGUCGUAUGUAACCGCCAAACGCAAACGCCAAAAGCUCUUAGAUAAUAAUAAAAACAUGGUUUUGAGUUUUGACGGAUCACCAGCGUCGAUAGGGAUGAAUAUGUCGACGGGAUGUGAGUUUCCGACGAUUCAAACCUUCGAGAGAGCUCCUUCCGCCGCAGACUUCGAGUCCGGCGGCGAGCUCACGAACUUCCCUGCGGUACUUUUUUCACCUCAAUACACUUUUCUCUUUCUUCCUCCUCCUGCUGAAUCCGAGUCUCUUGAUCUUAAUCUUCUGAAGGUUUUCCGAGGAUGUGCUAGUGACUGGGAGGCAUGUUCUAAGUGGAAUCCAUUCAGCAAUGGCCUCGAUUAUCUCGAGGUGUGUGUGUUUUUCUUUUACAAUCACUCGAUUGAUUAUCGAAGAUUGCAGCAAAAUCUUAUGCGUCGAUUGGAAUUGUAUGAAGGAGCGUGCAGGUUCAGUUGAGGUGGAGGCAAUGCUUUCGAGGACGGCUCCGCUAUUCAAUGGUGAUAUCAGAAGCCAUGAGAGGGUAAGUAAAACUCCAUUUCGAUAUAGAUGUGAACAGGUUUCAGCUGAUUUGAGGCUAUAAUUAGUUGUCUCUGGUUUCUUGUUUGUCCUGUAGGUAUCAAUGCCUUUCUCUGAUUUCAUUAGACUCUGCAAGCAGCAUAUGAUAAGCAAAGAGAAAGGUUCUGGUGUUGAUGCAAAGUCUGCUUCUCUAACUCCUCCUUUGCCUCAGGAUCCUACUACACCUGGACAAAUAUACCUAGCACAGGUUAGUGUUGAUUUGGGUGGUCUAUGAAUAUGUUUGCUCUUCGCUUCCUUUUUGAUUGAACAACAUGCACAUGUAUGUGUUUUUUUUGUGUCCAGUUUCCAAUUCUGAAUGAUGAGAAAGAAGAGAAGGUUCAGCUCAAGAUUCUAAGACAAGACCUUCAGACGGUAUGUUUCAUCUCUUGUUUUGUACUGCAGCUGCUGACAUGAACUUUCUUAACAUCUAAUCGCUAAAUUGUAUGGAUGCAGCCUUCACUCUUAGGGAGCAAGUCACUGUCUUCUAUAAACUUUUGGAUGAACUCUGCACAAGCUCGAUCAAGUACCCACUAUGAUCCACAUCAUAACCUCUUAUGCGUAGUAUCAGGCUGUAAAAAAGGUUAGCCAAUUCCUUUCCUUCGAGUUAUUAUUUUCUCUUUCUCAAGGAAUCAAAUUGGUAAUGUAUGGUCCAGGUAUAAAUGAAAUUACUUCACUGACAUUUAGGGCAUGUGGUUUUAUAAAAUGUUAAGUCAGCUAGUUUGAAGUCAGUUUAAGUUUCAUCCUAAACUACUGGUAGAUUCAUUGAUCUAACAGUAUAUGUUGUAUGUUUUCUUACAUCUAAAUCAAUUUCAACCUUCAAAUCAUCAACAGUUGUCUUGUGGCCCCCUUCCGCCAGUCCCUCGCUCUAUCCGAUGCCUAUAUAUGGAGAAGCCUCAAACCAUAGGUAUCAUCUUGGCCUUUCCGUACAUAGUUUUGUAGUUAUAUCCUAAGCACACUCUGCGUGCAGCAGUUGCAGACUUAUCAAUGAUUUUUAUGCCAGUGUCUAUUUUACUAGAGUUUUCAUUGCAUAUUAUGUUUCCUGUUCAUGUAGUUCGGUCGGUCUAGACAAUCCAAAUUUAUCUGAUUAUCCAAGAGCAGAGCUUUCCCUCCAAUUUUCACAGGAAGUUACUCUUAACGCUGGUGAUGCAGUAUUCAUUCCGGAAGGUUGGUGAGUACACUCAUUUUUUUCUCAGAAAAGCUCUCCUAGUAGCACAUAGCUUUGUGUUUCAGAAUUAGCUGAAAUUGCUAAAAUAUCUUCUAAGAGAUCCUGCAUCAAAUGAGUCAAAGUGGUUUUCCUAAUUACUUGAAGCUACCAUGACUCUGUUACGUAGUUUUUUUCUGGCCGAGCCGCUAGUCUGUAUAUUUAAUAACUCCAGUAACGUAUGCAAAAGAAAUCUUUAAAGUGUCUCCGCCGGAAUUGGCUUUUUUUAGUCUGUGGCUGUGUAAUCGCUCAUGUUAUGUAGUAUUCAUAUGCCUGGAGCCUCUGACCCAGAUGUUUAUUCACAUGAGUCCUUGAGGUUUUAAUUCUGGACACAAACAAAGAUGCUUGAAAUGUAUUUUUGUUAGCUAGCUUACUUUCAUUCUAGUGAAAAUGACACUUAUUUGGUUAGGAGAAGUACCUUGUAAUAUAAUUGUAAGUAUUGAAGAUUUAAGAAUUUACUAAGCCUCAUAGUUUGAUGUGAGAACAUUCAGUAGAAGAUUAAUGGAUUAUUUCAUAAGUAUCAUCUUACUUCAUGCAGGUUUCAUCAGGUGGAUAGUGAUGAGCUGACUAUUGCUGUCAACUUUUGGUGGCAAUCAAACAUUAUGUCUAACAUGCCGGAACAUAUGGAUUCAUAUUAUCUGCGCCGGAUUACAAGAAGGUUUGAUUAUAAAUCUUGAAUUCUUAUAAAUAAUAUCUUUUUGCGUUACCGUUUUGUUUUGUGUCCUAACUUGUAUUCUUUUUUCUUUCCAUGUGCCUGCAUCUUGUGUCAUAUAAUUAGAUUGAUAGACAGAGAAAUGGUGUGUAAGUUAUUCUGUCUCAUCAAUAAAUAUUGUUGGAAGUUAUGAUAGUUUCUUUACUCAUCCUGAUUUUGAGUUUAAAAUGUAGGUUCGUCUACUCUCCUUUACUUGCCUUUACCAAGUUUACUACUCUCUAUUUACUGUGCCACUUGGAUAUUGACAGAGCCUGUUAGUUUCGAAGCCUUCUUCAACUCUUUUGAAGCAACCGUCUGAGCAUCUUGACCAAUGCAAAAUUGGACAGACAGGUAAUAAGACGCUGAUGUGUAAAUCCUAAGAAAGCCUUCAAUGGCUUGCCUGACUUUUCCGGUGAUGAAAUCAUUUCAGAAGGUGGGGAUGGUAACUCAAGCAAUCAAAGCAUUGAAAAAGGCAUCAGCACGUUACGUGAGAAAACACCGCUGCAUGAUCUAGAUCCUUCUGCUUCCCACGCACUUCAUGACCUUAUUUCCUUAGUCCAUGACCACGUUAAUGCUGUUGGUACAAGUAGGGAACUGCAGCACACAUCACCCAGUUCUUCAGACAUAGCUCCAGAGAGGGACAGUAGCAAGAUCCUGGUGAAUGCAUUGUCUUCUCUAGAAGAUGAUCGUGUUGCGCAUAUGCUUUGGAAUCUAGAAGCAUCUAAACUUCGGGAUGUUCUCCUUGCAAUGGCAGUAAGUUUAAAACAAGUGCUUCUAGCGCACUUCAUCAUUUUGGUCGAAAUGGAUAACCUUUUUUUGUUUUACAUGGAGUUUAAGUUCUUUGAACUAACGUACUCGUAUCAUGUAACUCACUUCAGCGUUAUUUCCCAAGAACCUUAGAAGCGUUAAUAAUCCACAUGCUCUCACCUGUUGCUGCGGAAGUGCUAACACAGAAGUUUGAUGAGAUUGACCAACAGAGUGGUGAAGAAGAUAGGUUUGUUCUGAAAGCAAAUCUUCUAGUGUUUUAUUUCCAUACUUUGAAACUUAAGAGUAAUGUGUUAUUUGACUUCCUUUUCCCCUUUUCCAAUUCCUAGGAGCCAGUUCUAUCGGGAAUUUUAUGGUGCCUUCGAUGAUGAAUCAGCUGCGAUGGAUAUAAUUUUAACUAGGAAAGAGACUUUUGCAUUUCAGGUAUGUUCCCCACUGUAUCGAGUGUGAACCAUAGUAAAAUCAAAGGAGAGAACUUUUUUGUAUAUCAGACUUAGUUGAUGCAGAAAAGACUUAUCAUCAAAUUCUAUAAAUUUUUGUUAUACAGGCCUUUAAGAAUGUACUAGACAAGUAUUUGGGGGUCCACAUUACUUCACCAACAACAAACCUAUGAAGCAUGUCUCGGCAUCGUGUACUGGCGAGAUACAUGUGAUCGGACAAGAGAGAACAUGUUGCUAUUGAUAUAGUAAAGGGUGAUAAUUGCUGUUCAUUUCCAAAGACUGAAUCUUAUUUGGAUAAUCUAUUAUCUUAAGCUUCUGCUAAAAAAAAGAGUCAUAACGAUACCUUUAAGCUAUAUAUAUGAAGAAUUUCGAACCUGAUGUAUGGUAUAAAAUAGUUAUAGAUCUUCAAACUUUUUAUGUCAAAUGGAAAUGAAUUAUGGAUCAAAAUAAAAAGAGUUGAUUACAUAUUAGAACACAUCUUGUUUUUAUUUUACAUAAAAAGACACAUCACAUGUGAACACUUUCUAGUGGGUCCAAAUAGUUAGUUUGACAAAAAUGCCCUUGAAGGAAAUGAGAUUGGGUUUCGUUCCGUUGGGGCUUGACUCAUUUUUGAAUUGACUUUACAGCUUGUAGAGUUUAUGUAGUUUUCUAAUUAUAUUAUUAUUAUUAUUUCAUCUAAUGUUUUUAUUGAUUUUUUCUCAAAUACUAAGAUAUACAAAACAAUUAUAAUUGUUACAAUAAAUUGUAAUUUUUUUUCUUUAUUUUAAAAUCUAUUUUCAUAUAUAUAUUUUAUAUAUAUUAAUAAUUAUAUAAAAAUGCAUGGAUAUAAAAGAUGUGGACGUAAAAAUGUGGUCAUGGAUGGGUUAAAUGAACAUGCACAGAAAGUUAUUUUUACAUUUUCUUUAACAAUUCACAUAUUUAUUAUUUGUUUCUAAUUUGAACCAAAAAAUAUUUUAUAGACAAAAGUUUUCAAUUAAGAUGUAGGUAAAUAUAGGUAAAUCAUUCAUCUAAGUUUUCUUUAGAAAAUGAAAAAUGUGGACUAGAUCGUGGACAUGGAAGAUGUGGAUGGAUAUAUGUGGACACGAGUUCAUGUGGAUACUAUUUUUCAUCAAUUCACCAAUUUUCUUGACUUAAAAAUAUCGACCAUCGCAGCCGCAACCACCACCAUUGAGUUCAUGUUCCAACUCGCUAAAGGUUUCAUCUUUUGAUCUGCUGUAGAUCGCUGGAGACUUACCCCGUGAACAUGUCCAAUCAAACACAACUAGUUCUCAAUCUCAGAGAAGACAACUCUGAGCUCUAAUAGAUCUGUGAAUCUUGUGGACUGAUGGUGACGAUAGAUCGUGGAGUGAUGGUGACGACGACCGCGGGUCGACUCGUUUUCUUUUUCAAUGUUUUGAGAUUGACGAGUAUCCUAUUUUUCUGAUGGAUUCCUUGUUUACGAGAAUAAGAGGAAGCGAUCUGUGAGCAUAACAUAUGGGUAAUUGGAGUUGGGUGCCUUGUAGGUUCUUAGCAAGUGAUUGAUCGUGUUUAUGUGAGUUGAUAUAAUGAAAUGUCCACAGUUUGUUGUCCACAUUUUUUAUGUCCACGCAUUUUUAUAUAAUUGUUAAAAUAUUUAAAUAUAUAUAUGAAAAUGGAUCUUGAAAUAUAGAGAAAAAGAAAUUACUAUUUAUUGUAAAAUUGUAUUUUCUUUAUAUAUUUUAAAACUUGAGGAAAAAAAAAUAAGGUAGAAGAAAGAAUGAAUAAUAAUAACAUUAAACAAAAAAUUAAAACUUUUCUUUAUUCAAAGAGAAAAAAGAAGAUAACUUGACGAAGAAGAUGUGAUGAGAAAGAAAGAGAUCACAAAGGGUAUAAAGGACAAACAACAAGAUAAAUGUGUCUAUCAAGUGAAAUGUGUUUUUUAGUGAUAUUAAUAAGUGAAAAUGUGUCUUGGGAUGUAAAUUUUUCAAAUAAAAUUUUGUUGAUAUUUGAGUAAGUUAUAUAGAAAGACACAUUAUGACUUCUAUUUUCUCUAAAGGACGCAUUGUUUAGUUGACACACUUUGUUUGGACAGCUGUAUUAUUUUGGACAUAAAUGACCUUGCUUUUGUGCAAGUGGAAGAAUGUUUGUUUUAGAGAAGCAUCGAGCAGCUAACUAAGUUUGUUUUUUGUUGCAAUCAAUGCAAUAGUUAUUACGAGAAAAUGUUGGUAUAUGGGUUUAUGUGAAUUAUUUUUGGGAACAGAAAAAUAAUUAAAUCUAACUAAAAAAAAUUAGAUCUAGGGUUCUUCACGCCAUUUACGGUGGGGCUUCUUCACAGCCAUUGACGGUGGGUCUCCGGAGCUUGAACAGAGGAGGCAAGCUUGAACGGUGAAGAGCCUGAGCCCGAGGCGAGAAGACAGACAGUGAGCUUGUGAAGAGGUGAGGAGAGGUGGGAAGAGCUUUACCGUGUGUAGGAUCUUUUUCACAACAAAAAAUCUAACGGUUGUGGAAGAAGCUUGCUUUUCAUGAGUAGUUAUUAGUAGGUUGUCCAAUUAAUCUGUUCCUUUUUUGAGAUAUGAUUUUUAUUAUUUUAUUUAUAAGUGCAGAUAGAUGAGAUGUGUUUGGUGAUAUGUAGAGAAUGAGUAUUUGGUUCCAGAGGUAAAUGGGAGUUCGUUUUGGACAAGAGAAAGAUGCGUGGACGGGAGAUGUGUUGAUGAGAAAUGCGUGGAUGGGAGACGCGUGGACAUGAGAUGCAUGGACGGGAGACGCGUGGAGCCACUUACACCACCACUGUAACUACCCUCACAUCUUACACCACAUCCUUUAUUGCGGUGGUCACCGCCAUCUCCACCUCCAUAUCCUCCACCUUCACGUCUUCCACCUCCACCGUAUCCACCACCAUCGUAUCCACAACCAUCUCCUCUACUCGAGUAGCCACCUCCACCAACCACCACCAUUGUAUCCACACUUAUGUCUUCCACCAUCGCCACUACAAGAAAACAUGUAAUUACCGAGUGCAAAAUUAGUCACAAAUCAGUCGUAAAACAUCUGUUUGCGACUAUUUUGCGACUGAAUCGCAUAGUCGGAAUACCACGCGUCGCUAAAACAAUUAGUCGUUAAUCGGUUGCUAUUUUACAACUGACUAGCGACUGAUUUACGAUUACAAUUAUUAGUCGCAAAGCAGUCACAAUUCAGUCGCAAAAUAUUACGACUGAUAUGCAACUAACUGCUAUUUCGUUUACGACUACUCCACGGCUGCUCUUAAGUUGUUAUAUGGUCGAUGUCGUAGUCGUUUUUCAGUCACAAAAUCAAUUAAUAUAUUUUUUUAAAAAUAUAUUUUUUUAAAAAUAUUAAUCAAUUAAAAAAUUUUGAUUAAUCAAUUAAAACACAAAAAUAUGGUUUGCAAUUGAAUUAAAAUAAAUGAAUCUAGACCAUUAGAUUUAAGCAAUUUAAGAUAAUCAACGAUUGAGAUAGUAUCCCUUAAUUAGUGUAUUGACCAAUAUAAAAAGAGAAGAAAUUUUUUUUUAAGAGAAGAGAUUAUUGAUUAUAUUUGUGUAGGGUUUGAAGUUUUGGAGUUUUGACUUGAAAAAUAUAUUUUUAUAGGUCUUAGUUUUAACUUAAGAUUAAGUGUAUAAAUAGUAGAUACAUUUUGGUUAAUUUUUUUUAAGUUUGUGAUUUUAUGUUUGGAGUUUUGAUUGAAAGUUAUGAUACAGGGUUUGAAGGUUAAAUUUAAAGUUUGGAAUAGUAUGGUUGAAACUAAUAAAAUUUUCUUCUCCAUUUAUAUACAGUUUGUUUAGAAAUUUUCUAAAUUUAAAGUAUUAGAUAUCAAAUUUAACAUUUGUAAAAUAUAUGUUUAAGAUUUGGUGUUCAAAUUUUAAGAUAGAGUUGUUUGGGUUUAGAUUUGGGUAUAAGGUAAAUUAUCAAUAAAAAAAAAAAAAGCCUAAGAUUAAUUUAUAGUAUUUGGAGUUUAAUUUUAAAUUUAAUGUAUAUAGCAUAUACGAGGUUUAUAUUUUGAUUAUAUCAUUUAAAAAGUAUUUAAAGUUUAAAUUUAAUUUAAAUGAUAAGAUUGAAAAGAUUAGAUUUUAUAAUGUUAUAUGCAGGUUUAAAUUUGGGGUUUAGGGUAUAGAUGUUAAGAUAAGAGUUUAGGGUAUAGGUAUGCAGUCGCAAAACAGUCGCUAAUUUUACGACUGUUUUGCGACUACCUACUGUGAUCGAUAUCUAUAGUCGUAAAACAGUCGCAAAAUUAGCGACUGUUUUGCGACUACGUAUUCUAUACCUUAUGUGGAGUAUGCAGUCGCAAAUCAGUCGUUAUUUUACGACUGUUUUACGACUACAGUUGCCGACAACAUUAAAUGGUCGCACAACAGCCGCUAAUUACCAACUGAUUUGCGACUGAUUUGUUUAGUCGCACAUUAGCGACUGAUUUAUGACUAACGUAUUUUAGUCACAAAUCAGUCUCAAAACAGUCGCAAUCCUGUCGCAAUAUUUUGUGACUGCACGAUCAGUCGCAACAUGCAGUCGGUAAAUUCAUGUUUUCUUGUAGUGCGCCUCCAUAACCACCACCGCCUCCACUGCGGUAUCCACCGUUUCCUCCACCAUAUCCACCACCACUGUAACCACCACCAUUGUAUCCACACUCACGUCUUCCACCAUCACCUCCAUAACCACCACCACCUCCAUUGCGGUAUCCACCGCUUCCUCCACCACGGUCUCCAUCGCAAACGCCAUCGUUUCCACGGGACUGAACUUUGUUCAUAGUAGAGAUUGAGAUCGAGGAAUAUAGAGAUUUUGAGAUUGAGAUCGAGAAAUAGAGAUUGAGAUUCCGAGAUCGAGAUAUAAAGAUCGAGAAAAGGCGAAAGUGAGAAAGAGUAUUAAGGACAGUUUAUGAUGGAGAAGAUUAGGGUUCAAUCUCUCUAACCUCUCAUGUCUGAGUUUGAUAUAUGGAUCUAGAAGAUGUUAUAGAAGAAAGGGUUUUCACGAUUUUCUAUAAAGCGAAGAUAUAAGGUUUGAUUAUUAAUUAGAGAGAAAAAAAAGUAUUUUAUUUUAAAAAAGAAACAGAUCGGUUUGGUUAGUUAGAAGAAAAGGUAACGAGAGAUAUCAUCUCUCUUAGAUUAGUUGGAGGUUAUCCUAGUAAAUUUGCAAAGAGAAAGUGUGCUAAAGAUUCAAUGUGUCUUUUAGUGAAAUUGGUAACUCAAAUUGUGUUUCUAAGCGUAACUUUUUCUUGAUAUUUUGCCCAUCCCUAUCACCGAUUGCACAUCUACAAUCAGACUGGAUCGAUGCGGUGAACUAGAAAACUUCCAUUUAUUUAUCAAAUUCAUCAAUUUACCAUAUGUUACAUCUUAAACAAUACCGAGUAAACCCUAAGAUCAAUUACAUGUGCUUUUUAAUUUGUCAUCCAUGGGAGUGUUAAUUUAAUUAAAUAACGAUAAAGUUAUGUAAACUUUCCUUAAGACUAAUAAAGGGACCAAAGCUCUUUGUAAUAAAUAAAGGUUUAAAAGGGUUAGCUAGCUCUCUACUUUUCUUUUCCUUAUAAAGUGAAACCCUACCAACUUCUUCGCGGCUGACCAACAGAGAAAUAAAAACAUUCGGAAUCUUCCAGACACAUACACUAUUGGCUGCUCUCUGGUACGUGAAAACUUGUUCAUCUGUUUCCUCGUCUCUACUUUGUUAAAUUGUUUUCUUCUCGCAAGUAUCGCCAUGGACUAGACUUUUACCUUCGAGUCUAGCGUGUGAUGACUCGAAACACAUAAAUUAAGAGCUGUCUGCACCAUUAAUUAAACAUUAAUUACAUGUGCAACCUCUUAGGUUUUUCAAGAUCAUUAGCAAUUGCACAGUUUAAAUGCUUUUUUCAGUAUGGUUAACUUUGAAGACCCACAUGGUUUUGAGUUUUGCAGAUUUUUUUUACUGUGAAAAGAUGUGUGAAAAGAUGAGUUUAUCCGAAGAAGAAAUCAGAAUGCUUUUCAGAGUCACCAAAACACUUAACCAUAUGCUCAAAGAUCGUGGAUACAUUGUCACGGAUGCUGAACUUGAGAUGACACAAGAACAGUUUAUCGACAAAUACGGCGAGAACAUGGAAAGAAAAGAUCUUGUCACUAUCAAGACUAAGAAGAAAGAUGAAUCUGAUCAGGUUUGUGAAUACCAAGGAUACGAGUUUUUGUUUUUAAGUGUAUUUUUUUUUCAAUUCUUCUAACUAAUGCUCAAGUUCGCUCCCCUUGUGGUGGUGGUAGAUCUUUGUCUAUUUUCUACAAGAAACAAAAGUUUAAAUGGGCGACAUCAAGGCUUGCUUUGAGCGCAUGGUAUCUCAUAACGUCUUGAGAGCAAUUCUUGUUGUGAGGAAAGAAAUGAAUCGCUUCGCUUCAUCUGCUAUAACCGACGCAAACUCAAAAGGAAUACUUUACUUGGAAAGUUUUAAGGUUAGUGAGAAAGUUUAUGCUGCUUCCUUGUUUGUGUCUCGAAACAUACUCUUAUAAAGCUCAUGUUUCAUGUGCAGGAGUCAGAGCUUCUAAUGAACGUGAAGGAACAUGCUUUUGUUCCAGAGCAUAUAGCUCUGACAACUGCGGAGAAGGAAGCUUUGUUGGAGAAGUACACUGUGCAAGAGAAUCAGGUUAGGUAUCUUGACACUCUUUAAGCGAUGAAAACUAGUUUAUUGUGGAGACAAAACAAAGCUUUGAUGUUUGAUCUCUUUUUUGUUGUUGUUUUUUUCACUAUAGCUAACAUGUUUGUUUUUUACUCACUUGUGUGGUGUGUUGUCGAUAGCUUCCACGUAUUCAGUAUACGGACCCUAUAGCGAAAUACUAUGGGCUAAAACGUGGAGAAGUCGUGAAGAUCAUACGCAACAGUGAAACAUCUGGUCGUUAUGUCACAUACCGCUUUGUUAUAUGAUAUUAAGAGCUUCUGAUAGGAUCAGGUCUUGGAUUUGUCGGAUAAAGACUUAGAAUGACUUCAUUAGUUUUUUCAUUUAGUGAAAUUUUCACCAAAAAAUGUAAGGAACUUUAUAUGUUUUUUAUCUCAACCAAUAUAUAGAUAGUAGUUUUUUUUUCUUGACAACGAGCGGCCAUUCUAUUACUCAAACUCGAAGUGGUCUGGGUAACCAGACCAAAAUUAAAUAUAACUUCUUAUGAAAGGAUCUAGCAGUCUUAGCUAAAAAAUCAGAAAUCUGGUUUUGAGCACGUGCAACAUGAGUGAUCUUGAAGUCCGGGAAGCAUAUAUAGAUAGUAGUUGAGCACGUGCCACAUAAGUGAUCUUGAAGUCCGGAAAGCAUAUAUAGAUAGUAGUUGAAAGACUUGGACCUUGAUCAUGAUAUAUAGUGCAUGUCAAGAAUAUAGACACUGCUCAAUGGCUAUAUUAUAAGUAAUCAAACUAAAAAAAAAAAACUCAAGUCCUAAAAACUGAAAAGUGGAUUCACAAAGGAGAUGCUGUGGUUUUGUGACAUGCUUCUUCAGCCAAUAACCUCUGAGUUUGAGUCAUCAGAAGGCCAUAUCACGGUCUCCAUCAGUCGCUCACGCAUCAAGGCCAAGUUCUCAUCUGAUAUAUCUUGGUAUAUCUUCCCAUGGUCGCAUUUCUAUAACAAACAACAAACUAGAACACCAUUAGUUUUUGAAUCUUUUCUGGUUCCCAUGACAGAUUUAGAGGUUGAUUUUACCUUGAUCCACUUGCCAUACAAGUGGAGGCGUGUGAUCAUAACUCUUUCUGCAAGCUCCUGACUCUCCUACAAGUCAGUUGAGACAAGAUAAACACAAGAGUUGUCAUCUGAUUCUCUAGUCAAUAUGUUUCAUGCCAAGGUCUAAACAAGUCUGAAUUAAAAGUAAUAUACCACAACACAGAAUGUGGCUAUGAUAAAAACAAAUAUAUUUUAGCAAAAAAAUAAAAACAAAUAUAUGAAACUGCUUAUUCUUAUUCUCAUUCACUAGCAUAGGAAGAACUCUCAACCCAAAGGGCUCUCCCAAAACCUUCUAUAAUUUUACAACCUUGAACAAUUUCCCCUCACUAACUGCAAUCUAACUAACUCACAAGAGCUACAAUGUACUAAAUUUAGUCCUACACUAAAUAUAGUAGACUAAUAGAUAAAGUUUAAGCAGCUAAACAUCUUCAACUAAGUUUUUGUUACCUUGCCGAGUUUGCGGAGGAAACGUUUGCCUUCAGUUGGUCUAUUUGAUACGACAUAGCUGUUGUAAUACAAAAGAUACACCAUAAGACCAUAAGCCAAGAAUGAUAAUCAAGUAAGUGUGUUUAUAAAUCUAAUCCUAGAGAGAGCUUAUCAAAUGAGCGACUUACUUAUAGAACCAAGUGUAUUGGGGAGGAUUCAUUUCGUAUAACUGAUGAAGAACCGUCCUCACAGCUUUGUAAGUAAAGUAGUUAAUAAGUUGCUGCAUAAUUUGUAAAAGUGAUGAGAGAGCCAUAAGCUUAAAACAAUUUGUCAUUCAAAAAGUUCUCACCGUUUUGACAUCUCCGAAGGUAUCAUCGUAGUUCCCAGCAACGUCCUCGUUGACAAUCAAGAGCUUCUUCUUGCUCCUUCUACUCGCAAUUCUUGGUACGCGUUUGGAAGAAAUCCUGAAAACAAUGCUUGAGCCAGUAAAGGAGCUUCCUAACUCUAGCUUUCUUGAACUGCCAUGGAUCUUCUUCUUGCUCCUCGUGUGAGCAUCCAGACAUAAACAUGGAACGCUCGGAGAAUCCAUCACAGAUGAGCCAAUAACAAACAGAGCACCCACCAUUACUCCCAAACAACAAGAAGAUCAGAACUAUUCCCCCGGUGAUAUGGGAGAACCAGUUUCAAAAAUCAACAAAGAGUUGGUGGAUGGAUGGUAAGAAUCUGAAGAAAGAAAGAUGAAACGUGUUUGGGGUAAUACAAAACAGAGGAACACGAGUUGGGUGUGUAAGAUGGAAAAUGGCCGUUGAAUAACAGCCAGUCAAAAACUCAUAGAGAAGUCUUUUAGAUAUUUAUUUUCUCUUCCUAAAAGCAAAGGCAAAGACAAACAAGAAAACCCACCGGGUGGGCUUUCGGGUUCACGUGGAUACUAAGUAGAAUAAGGUCGUCUUGUAACUUGUAACUCAGAAAUUGCACAUAAACUAAAGUGGACAACCCCCAUAUCACAUGUCCAUCUUAAAGGAAUAGACUAGGAAAAUAUUAAUGUAGAGAAAAUAGAUUGAAUGUGGUUAAAGAGGUGCAAUAGACCAAUUGCAAAGAGGAAAAGUCCCGGUACGAUGUGGACCACCCAUGUUAUAGCUUUUGAAGGUUCACUACAUUGCAAAUAUGAAUGACUUGAAGAUAAAUGUAACAGCUGAAUAAUGUAGAAAAUAUACAUUUAUAUGGUUAAUAAGAGGUGCCAUAGACCAAGUGCAAAGAAGAAAAGUCCCGGUACAGUGUGGACCACCAAUGUUAUAGCUUUGAAGGUUAAAGAUUGUGGAGGAUGGCAACUGGCAAUAAAUAUAUAACUUUGCAAAGAUAGACGAAUUUAAGAUUGAGUAUAUAACAGUUGAACGAGCAAAGGUCUUGAUUUUUGCUUCAAGAAUGAUGAUGCGUUCAUGUGUACGUAGUCAUGUAUGUGUAAGUGAGAAGACGACGUUAUUAAAUUUUAAUUGAUGUCACGUAUAAGAUCAGCAUGACAUGCAAAAAUAGACUCUGCUUAAGAAAAUCAAGUAUUAACGUAAUCACUGAUGUAGCUGAUAGGACAACGACACCAUUUAUCAUCUUGAGCGAUAAUCAAUCACAUAUCAAAUUAUCAACCGAUAAUUUUUUCCCUCUGAUUACGUAAGCGAUCCAAAUAGAACCGUAGCUCAAUAAGAACAUCCCUAUCAGUUUAGAGCACAAAAACAUGUUUCAAAAAAGUCUUCGCCUACUAGUAAUUCUGAGGAUCCCACUGAUAGACCUUCCUCUAAUUUGCACGAGGUACAUUCUAUUCCUCGUUCUAAGUCUGAUACUACUUUACCAUCGUUAGCAGUCGCUGCGCCAUCUGCGUUACAAAUUAUGGAGGAAACUUCAUCUCCCGUACACAUUAGAGAAGCCUCUCACACUUAUGAGACGGAGCAAUAUUUUGGGGCGAGUUUUAACCAAGACUCACCUCACUCUUAAAACAGAAAUGAGAAAGGUAUGUUAUUGGUUGGAGAAACAUAUGGUUAUAACACAACUAGAGGAGGAAGACCAAUAAAACCGACUCAAAAAGUUCGAGAUAUGGGGUGGAAAACUGUUAGAGGAAGAGGUAAACGAGGUCGUCGCGGCCGAGGAAACUACUAUCACUAAUAUUAUCAUGUUCUUUAACUUGCUCUUUACGAUUCAAUCUUUAACUUGAAUCGUCUGUUAGGGAUAUGUUUUCCUUUUUGUUGUUGCAUACUUUAUCAAACUCAUGAGAAAAUCAAGUAUUACUUAUGAAUUUUAAUAUGAAAGCCUGUUAAAAAAAAACAUGUUUCAAGCUACCUUUUAUUUUAAAAUCAUAGUUUUAAAUAUACAAGACACCCUUUAGACUUUAGUUUAGCUUUAUUUGUCUUUAAAUUAAAAAGCCAAUAGCUAGAAGUUUCAAUACAGAGAACCACAAGACCACAUCCACGUGGUCUCGACCGACCACACUUCAGAACCCGGAAAGCCCUGAAAAUAUUUAAAUCAAUUAAUAAGCUAAAAACGUAUACCUAUUCGAAGCAAAGGUAAGUCUACUUCUUUAUAUAUAUAUACACACACACUCAUAGAGAUGCAUCAAGAUUCCACUUACACAUUCUAAAAAACUCUAGACUUUUAUCAAAACCAAAGAAAAUCAAGAACAUAUGGCGAGAUCACCAUACUACGGUUCAUCAUACUUAGACUACCUCUCUCUCCCAAACCCACAUCUAUGUUUCUUCUUCAUGGUCGUCUUCUUCGUGUUCUCCUUCACGUGGUACUUGAACUACGAGUCCAUCCUCGAAGACACCAUGAAUAAUCUCAAGUUCUUCAUCAUCCUCUCCCCUCUCUUCCUCCUCCUCCUCGUCCACUUCUUCUCCGGGGGACUUUCCUUGUACGUCCCCUUGCCUGAACAAGACUCCAUCCACCAUGCCGGUUCUUCCCCUUGGGGCGUAGCGGCCGUGCUCGUGGUCAUCUUGUUCAUGGUCUCGUACCAGUCAGACAUCCAUGAGAUGUGGUUUCCCUUUGGGGCUAAGUAGAUCGAUCAACUUGAUAUUUCCUUAAAACGUAUUACCAGCUCUGUCUAGCUAGAUAUGGAGCAACCAUGUUAAAUAUCAAGUAGUAUAUAUGUACUUUUCUCUUUUGAUGAAGAUUUUAGUCCCGCAUGUUUGUAGGAGUGAAACUUUUGUCCGAAGAUAUCUAAAGUCAUAUCAGAGUGUCCAUAUAUGUAGAUGAAGUUGUUUCUGCUUGUAUUCGUAAAUAUCAUAUGGAAAAAUGAGAUGAAGAUGACUUGUUUUGAUGCAAUAGAAAGUUUAAUAGAUGGCUUGUUUUGAUGCAAUACGAAUAUUGCACCUAAUGUGUGUACAUUGACUUUGGACCACUACUGGUAGUAAUGGUUCUCCUUGUCCUCUUUUGACAAGUGGGAGAUGUUAUUGUCGUGAUUUUCACCUUUUUGUAAGGAAAUGGUCGGUCACAACGCCGUUAUAUAUUUUUUGGCAGGAAUAUAAAAUGCUCCGUUACAAAAGAAUCUUGGAUACAGCAGAUUUGUUGCUUAUUUUUAUAAAGUUAUCGGAAACGUUGCAUUGCUUUGGUUAUAGAAAGAGUAACGUUGAAAGCAACUGCUUACUAUUAUACUAAUACCUAAGGGUUAUCUUUAAUUUUCAAGUUUUGUUUAUGAGAAAAGGACACCGACGUAUUUUACUUUCAUUUCCCACCACACUUUUAUAAAGUUAAAGGCGUAGAUUUUAGUGUAUGACAAUUCACAAAUACUCAGGAUUGAAAGCGAUGUUUCCCCACUAUGAUUUUGCCAAAUUUUCUAAUAGAUCUUCCAAAAUGAUAGACUGGAUGAUUGAUCCACGUUAUGUGUGAGAAAAUAUUAUUUCUAUAAAGUUCUGAAACACACAUUAUUUCAAGUGAGACUUGAGACCAUAAAGAAAAAGUAAACAUGCCUCUUUUAUAUCAAAUUAUGUGAACUGUAUAAUGGACAUUAAAUAGCCCACCGACUGACCCAUAUGGGCCCAAAUAGAGAGACGAGUAGGAAAAGAACUCUCAAACAAAGGACGAAAGCCAUAACUCAGAGGUUCUCUUCAAGCUCAGCUAUCUGCAACUGUCUCAAACCAAGAGACAUAUAUUCUUCUUGUGCUAUUAAAGCUGAAACAUGCAAUGCAUUAAAAGAAGAAAAAACUCUUAUCAUCCGUAAGUUCUUUCACUACAAUAAUCCUUGCUUUUACUACAAUCUUAUUAACCGGGGAGCUUAACAAGAUCAACCAACCAGGUCAUAAAAAGGUAAAAACGAUCUGAACCAAAAGAGAAAGCUUACCAUGACUACUUCACACGAAUUUCACCUGGAAAGCUACUCUCCUGACUCUCAGAUAUUAAAAGCGACGAGAGAACUAGACUACGACUACUAAGACAAGCACAUUUUUGAUAUAUACAUCAUAGAGCUGCAGAGAUCCAUCACUAAUAGAAGCGAAAACGGUAAACACGACCACUCUCAUCACCACCUAUCAUCAUAAGUUCCCGUGCAAGUAUCAUAAUCAUAUGGUUGUUCCUCGUUCUCCAACAGAAUCAUUCUCAGAUCAUUCUUCGCCUGAAACUUCCUUCUCACCUUGUUCCUUACCCUUCAAGUUUAUUUUGGGUCUCCUUCCCUUCAUCCACAUUGCUCUUCUCAUCAUUAACAUCUUUCACCGCAACACCCUCUCCUCCAGCCACAUGGUUCCCCUUCCCAUCACCACUAGUACGCGAAUCAGACCCCCCAGCGUCAUCCCCCUCACUUCCAGACUCAUUCUCCACAACUUCUUCCACCAUAUUCCUCCUCUCAAGAUACUGCAACCUCCUCCGCAAGUCACCCAACUCCCUCUCCAUCAAGAACAGCCUCUCCUUCAACGUCAAGUUCUCUUCCUCAAGCUGCGCAAUAUGACUAUCCUGAUCAUCAACUCGACUCUCCAACACAUUGUUAUACUCAUAACCACCGUAGCUCGGAUAAAUCAUCUCAAACCUACUCAAAUCAUGAUCCAACCUCCUCUCAACCUCCACAUGCUCCUCCACAUCGCUCUCACUCGAUCCUCCUUCUUCAUCCUCAUCCUCAUCAUCAUGUCCAUCAGAUCUCAGCCUAAUCAGCCCCUUCAUGGAUCCGUAACCGUCAACGCCCCACUCCUCCUUCGCCAUAUCUCCCAAAACCUCCCUCGACGGAGAAAACAUCGGCGUCUGAAGUAUCGCCGGCGUCACGGGGCAGGGAGACACCAGCUCGGCGAUUCCGCCGGAUUUCUUCGCUCGGAUGAUAAACGACGUCGUGUUCCUCGGCGCGUAGGGAACGUAUCGGUUGUUACUGUUACCGUACUUCUUCUUCGGGUAAAACUUCUUCGUUUUUAAUCUGUUCUGAGAUUGGAGCUCGUUGAGCGUCGGCGGCUUGUAACCGCCGCCAGGUUGUUGCGGCGGAGGAGGGUUGUACAUCCUCAUCAUCGGUGGUGGCGGUCUCUUAUCGGUUAUGAUCUUCUUCCCUUUCCAGUUGUUGUUGUUGUUGCUCCGGUUCGUUUUGGGAUGGUUAGAUCCGAAGUUCUGAUACUCCGAGCUCAUGCUAGGGUUAAGGUUGAAGCUCCGGGGAUUCAUCAUCAGAGUCUGGUUGUUGUUGUUGCUCAUCAUAACCGGUGGCUGAUGGUUUAAACCGAUAAUCGGAUGAGCCUGGUUCAUAAUCCGAGGCUGAACCGGGUUCAUUAGGGACGGCUGAGGUGGAAUCAUCCUCUGCGGAGGAGGUUGAGCUAUCAUCUGUGGCGGAUUCAUGAGCUUAGAUUGAUCGUUCAUCUUCACAAUACAAACACACUAAAUAAUGAAACAAAACCCUAAUUUCGAGAAAUCUCGAAGUUGAAGCAAAAUCAAGCAGAUAGAUCGAUGAAGCAAACCACGGAUCAAAGAAGAAACAACACAGAGAUCAAUCAAAAACAAAGGCAGCAAGCAAGAGAAUCUCUCUGGAAUUUGAGUUUUCAGAUUUUAAUUCUUCGAUGAUGAAUUCAGGAGUUUUGAGAGUCUUGUAAUUGGAUCUGGGGGAAUUUUCAAAAUUACAAGAGGAAAAUUAAAAACGAAAAGAGAACUUCUGGUACGAACGGCUUUGUGAUGAUAAGAUUCUUUAAAUAGAGGCCAGGGUAGGCUUGCUUGGUCCAAUCAACGAAGGACAUUCUACACGUUAAAAGCAACGGCUUAGAUUUUAUUCAUUUUGAAGCUAAGAAGAGUCGGUUACGGGUUUCUUUGAUGUAAUCGCAAGUGUUGGUUAACUUAAACCGGAACACAGAUGGUACGCAGGCCCAGACCUGGUCGGGCCUUAAUGGGCUGUCCUCUGUAUUAUAAAAAAUAACGCGGGAGAACAUAUCUUCUUACGUGGCUGGAGGAAAUCCAAAGCGGGGCCCAGCACCGAUUUCUAUUCUGACGUGGCAUCACCCAAAUCACUGUAACCGUGUCCUUCUUCUCCAGUCCACCUCGUCUCUUCCACAUUCCAUUAUCCGCUUUACUCUCUCUCUAGAGCAACAAUGGCUACGGCUGCUUCUUCCCUUACGAUCGCGUCGUCGUUCUCCGAACCACGGACUCAGAUCCGUUCAUCGAAACGCUCGAACCUUCCAGUACUUCAAUUCUACAUCCCGUAUAAGGCUAAUUCACGGAGCAGGAGACUCGUCGUACGCUCCGUUUCAGCGCCCAACGUUGAGAUCCGUACCGGACCCGAUGAUCUCAUUUCAUCCCUCCUCUCUAAGGUCUGCAUUGGUUUGAGUCAAAUACUUAAGUGGAAAGCAGAGCAAAUCCAACUGUGUGUUUUGAUGAUUAUGGUUUGGUGUGUUUCACACACAGGUUGCGAACAGUGAUGGAGGUGUGACGCUUAGCCCUGAGCAACACAAGGAGGUGGCACAAGUGGCUGGAGAGCUUCAAAAGUACUGUGUGAGCGAGCCUGUUAAGUGCCCUCUCAUCUUCGGAGGUAAGCUUCUUGCUAGAUUGCUUCUGAAUCCUUGAGUAAAAAUGUAAAACUUUAGAAUUGUUCUGGUGCAGAUUGGGACGUGGUGUACUGUUCUGUACCGACAUCUCCUGGUGGAGGCUACAGAAGCGUGAUAGGGCGUCUCUUCUUCAGAACUAAUGAGAUGAUCCAAGGCAUUGAUUCUCCUGAUAUAGUGAGGAACCGAGUUUCCUUUACUGCGUUGGGUUUUCUUGACGGAGACGUCUCCUUGACAGGUGAAACUGCAUAACCCUAGAGAUAACUUUUUGGUCAGUCACAAUAUGUGGUUAAUGUUUUAACCUGUGUUUUGGUUUUUGUAGGGAAGCUGAAAGUGUUGGACAGUGAGUGGGUUCAGGUGAUAUUCGAGCCUCCGGAACUCAAGGUUGGUUCUCUUGAGUUUAAAUAUGGGUUUGAAAGCGAAGUGAAGCUUAGGAUCACAUACGUUGAUGAGAAACUUAGGUUGGGAUUAGGGUCUAGAGGAUCGUUGUUCGUCUUCAGGAGGCGUCAGUAAUACAUUUAUAUACUUCCAUGUCUCUUCUCUCCCUCGUCCAACAGAACAGAAGAAACAACAUAUGAGAGUACCGCGAGAGUGUGUAAUGGUGUAAAAAAUCACAAAAUGUGUGUUUAAGAUGGAACUUUGUUGUAAUGUAAACUUCGUUCCGAGGGUGUAUCACUUACGAUGAGUUGUUAGCUAUAUAUGUUAUGAAGUUGUGUUCAAAUCUCUCACCAGAGUGUUUAAACUAGAAAAGCACCAUCUACAGAUUCAGAAUUGUCACCUGUUGAGGAACAAAGCAUACAUGAGUAGUUUCUAAAAGAUUCUAUCUAUAAUGCUCUCGAUGCACGUUUACUCUAAUGUAUAAUACACAAAGAUGCACAUAUAAUGAUUACCACAAGCCUGAAUAUGAUUACCAAUGCCCUCGCCCUCUUCCUGAUCUUCCCCUUUCCCUUUCCAUGGCCAAAUUUAUCGUCUGUUCUUCCGUAAUCAAACAUAUUCGUUCUGAUAUUCACCUCCUGACCAUAAACAGCAGAUUACAAUCACAUCUCUCUCUCAGUGUAACCAUUUCUGAUUGAAUGAUCCCAAGCUCAUAAGCCAUUGACUGAAUGACAGAUAAGAGGUGUGCUGCUAAUCAAAAUAACAGACUUGUUGGUUGUUUACUUUUAAUCAGUUGAGCACUUAGAAGACGGAUUUCAAUUACAAAUAUCCAGAUAUAAACUAUACAUGCAUAAAGGCCCAAUAACUAACGGUUUUAUUGAAAAGCCCAAUAACAAACCACUGCGUCGUCUGCUAGCGAUUGCGUGAGUCAGAAAGUCAUCAAAACAGAGAGAACAAACUCUCUCCUUGCCUGACAUGGAGAUAACCUCGGUCAAGACGUAUUGGUCGACCCGGUGGAUAUGACUACGAACUCGAUGGACCUAACAUAAUUAGUCAAGAAUAUUUAUACCCAAAAAACCAACACGGAAUUGACCCAAAAAUCAAAAGUCUCAUGCUCUUUUAGACUUGGUCUAUAUACUCGAACGGUUUUUAUAGUGUUAUAUUCGAAUACCAAUAUCAAACCCAAUCCGCACUGAAAACCGAAUAAAAAUUUUGAUUUUUUUUGAAAAAAUUAUUUUUUAAUAUUUUCUGUUAUAUAUAUAUAUAAAUAUAUAUGUAAAUGCGUUAAUAUGGUAUUCACUAACUUUAAGUUAAAUCACAUUUAAUAAAUAGUUUUUAAUCGAAUAACCUAUUUAAAACCCACUAUGAAUAUUUAUUUAUAUUAAAAGUCCACUUAUAAAAAUUAAAUAUCACUAAUAAUCUGUACCACUAAUUAAUAUUAAUAUUAGUUAACUAUUUUUUUUUUUGAAAAAAUAAUAGUUCAAAAAAAAAUAUUAGUUAAAUUUUAAAGUUUCAUUUUAUAGUAAACAAACUUAAGAAAUAUAUCUCCAUCGAUUUAUAUAUAUUCCUGUUUUAGUAUUAUAUAUAUCAAUUUAUGAUUUAGUUGUAUAUGUAUUAUUAUAUAGAAUAAACAGAUUGGGUAUAAAAUGAACUUACGCAGAAAUUAUGAUGUAAUCAUAGUAUCAAGUAAUAUAUUAGAUGCUUUGUCGUUGCGUCAAAAGCAAUAAAGCAUUAUAGAGAGAAGUUGGUCCUGAAUAUUUUGGAAGGAGUUGUUUCAAAAUAGCGUAUUAACCGUGUAUAGUUAUUUAUUAUUGUUAUAUAAUUAUGUUUAUAUUUUAAAUUUCAAAAAAAUGUUGGACACAAACUUUAUCAACCGGUCAUGUUGAUGUUUUAAUAGAAUGAAAUUUUGGACAGGAGGUUACACAUCCCUAAUACACUUUUAUGCAGUUAUAUUUUACAUUAUACAUUAUUUUAGAUGCAAUUAUAUUUUAAGAUGGACUAAACAUAUAUCAACUGAUCAUGUUCCUGAUUUAAUAGUAUUGAUAGUUAGUUAUUAUUGUUAUAUAAUUAGGUUUAUAUUUUAAAUUUCUGAAAAAUGUUGGACACAUCAUUUAUCAACUCGUCAUGUUGAUAUUUUAAUAGAAUAUAGUUUUAGACCGGAGGUUACACAUGUCUAAUACACUUUUAUGCAAUUAUAUUUUACAUUAUGCAAUUAUAUUUUAGAUGCAGCUAUAUUUUCAGAUGAACUAAACAUAUAUCAACAGUCAUGUUCCUAAUUUAAUAUUCCCUCCGUUUUUUAAUAUAAGUCGUUUUAGAAUUGUGCACAUAGAUUAAAAAAUUUUUUUUUUUUUAUAUUUUCUAAACAAAAACAUCAUUAAUUAUUUAACUAACUACAAAUUAACCAAUAAUAAAAUAAAAAAUAUAUUAUCAUUGGUAAUAUAACAUUAAUUGAAUUAAUAAAUUUUAUAGGGAUUAGCAUUGAUAAGUAAUGACUUGCGUCUUGUUAGCGGGAGUCAAGCAGAAAGUCGUCGAAACAAACAGAGCCACAAACUUUCUUCUGAAUCGGUUUAGCGGUUAAGUCGAUAAAGAGUGAGUAAAAAUGACGAUGGAGGAUGCUAACUCCGUCUACGUCGGCGGCCUCCCUUACGACGUCACCGAGGAAGCUCUCCGCCGUGUUUUCUCCACUUACGGCACCGUUGUCGACAUUAAGGUAGAUUUUCCCCACUUGUUGCUGCUUACAAGUUCCUAAUUUAGGUUUCACACUACUCAUUUGCUUUCCUUUUUUAAUUGCAUAUGGUGAGAUUGUGAAUGAUCGGAGUGUAAGAGGGAAAUGCUACGGCUUCGUUACAUUUUCGAAUCGUCGAUCUGCUGAUGAUGCUAUCCAAGACAUGGAUGGCAAAGUAUGGUUCUCUCCAAAAAAAAAACUAAAUAUUGAAGCUUUUCACUGCUACACUUCUUUGUUGUGACGGUAGUGAGCUUGUGAUCAGAUUAUUGGUGGGCGUGCGGUGCGUGUGAAUGAGGUGACAACAAGAUUUGGUGGUCAGGGGAGGUUUCAACCACAAAGCCCCUCUGAUGGGAGAAGUGAUUUUGGUUAUGAAAGGGAUCGGUUUAGUGAUAGGUCACGGGAACGGGAUAGGUCUCAGGACAGGAGAAGAGCUUAUGAACGUUCACAUGGUUUCGAGGGGAGAAAUGAUCAUGGUAUGCUGGAUAGGGAUGGUUACAAGGAGAGAGGUUUCGAAGAAGGAGAUUGGCGUGGGGAUAGGUCUUUUGAGGAUAAUGGUAGGGGGGUUCACAGGGCCAGUUCUGACGAAGAAACAAAGAGAGAAGAUAGGUAAAAACGUUCCGUUUUAACUUGUAGAUGUGUUUUAGACUUCUAGUGUUCCUUAAGUCCAGAACUGGGAUGCUUCUGUAGAGUUUCGUCACUCUGUAAACCAAAUCAUCCAGACCUGUUGUGGACCUUGUGGAAAGGUCUGAUUAACUAUUGCCAAUAUAACUGAAAUGCAGAAUGUUUAGUUUAAUGGAUUUGCUGAGAAGGUUUGCUCUUGUUUCCUUUGUGCAUUUUGCUGUUUGAGGAAUGUUUUGGCUUGCACUGUAGCUUCGUUGAUAAUUCUUUCCGUGAAACACCAUUCUUGGAGACAAAACAGUUUAGGAAUUUCAGUGAUCCACUAUAGAGUAAAUGAUGAAAUUCUAUAUGAGGUCACUGCUAUACCCUAUGAAAAUAGCUUAGUCCAGCCGCUAGGUUGUAGUAGGUGGGACAUUAAGUUAUCAAACUAAAGUUAUUUUAGGCGUUAGUUGCACCUUAGCAUAUAGAUUAAGUUCUAUCAGAUUCUUUUCUGCAUUGCUUGGACUUUACACUUUAGCUGCUUUAAGCAACAAAUUAAUUGCUUUGGUUUUCUUGAGAUGACUAAAUCCUUGUGUGCUUUUAUUGAAUUAACAGUACCAUGCUUGAUGGUGGGCGUGGUAGAGAUGGCAAAGAUCACUUCUCUAACUCAAGUGGAGAUCGCAGCUUUCAGGUAACGAUAAUGUUUGUUAGGAAAUUAUUGCUGCAUAGUAUAGUUCAUGUAAAACUUGCGUCUUUCAUACAGGUGAAAGAAGAAUUGGAAGCGCUGAUCAAGACGCAUGACGUGCUUCAAGAUGAGGUAUGAGAUCGCAUACCUGCUCAGAUAGGCAGUUGUUUGAUUUCAUGAAUCUUUUCCACAAUUUACUCUUAGACAUGUAAACCAAUGGAGCAACAGUUUCCUUACAUAGUCGUGGGAGAUGGAAGAAAUUAUUGACGAGUUUAUAUUUAAGGUUCUGGUGAUGGAAGAGAGAUUGGAAGUAAAAGAAGUUCUGUGCUCAGAGCUAGAGAAGAAGUCUAAGGUAUGUGUCUACUAUAUUUUACGAAUUCAACAUGUUUUAUUUUUACUUUUAUUCUCAUUUGAAAUGGUUAAACGCAGAGAUUAGAAGAUUUAUUGAGCAAUGAAAAGAAACUGACUUCACAACGCCGAAAAGAAUUGGCAAAGGUAAACAACCAUAGGAUCACAAAGUUCGUUUUGUUUAGGGUAAUGUUCUUGACAAAGUUCGACUAUUGGUAUAUGUUCUUGGUAGCUACACAAAUCAUAUUCAAAGGUCAGAGAGUGCGGUGACAACCUGAAAGGCUGCGAACAGGAACUCCAGGUUAGAUUCUAUUUUUUGUACUCUAGUGAUUGUCAUAACAUAAGGAUUAAGCCUCAUGGUGACAUGUCUUUGUUUUUCUAUUGCAGUCGCUUGUUAAUUCAGCAGCUAGAGAAGGCGUGGCUGGUGCUGAUGAAGGACUAGAAAACGGGUAUGUGCAGUACAAGGUGUAGUGUAAUGAAUGCAGUCAUUCUCAUGUAUCACAUGUUAUGUCGUAAGUAUAGCUUUGUUUCUUUUGGAGACGAGCUUAGUGAUAUUUGAAUAUUUGUAUUAAUGGAUAGGAGAAUGAAAGGUAACAGGUUUACAAAAAUGAUACUAUAAUUCUAUAAGAAGCCAGAAACCAUGCAAAGUUACUAGAAGAAACCUCUUCAAAUGUGAAAAAAAAAUACUCAAAUGCUAAACCUCUUCAAAUGUGAAAAAAAAAAUACUCAAAUGCUAAACCUCUUCAUCAUACAUUAGUAGCUACUUUCCCCGGAAUCAACUCCACUGACUCUUCAUCAACCUUCUCACUGUUGUUCAACACUUGAGCUUGACCACUGGUGGGUUUCUUAGCCACAGUCACAGACUGCUGAUAACCAAUACCAACCACAGAUUGUAACAAGGAGAACCAACCAGUGGUGGACGCAAGUGAUGAGGAAUGGGGUCACAUGCCCCCAACUAGUUUUUAUUUUCCUUCACUAAUUACUUUUAAUUUAAGAAAUUUUUUUAUAAUCCUACAAUGAAACGUAAUGAAAUAAAAUGUUGUGCCCCCAUCUAAAUAUGAUUCUGCAUCCGCCACUGGAACCAACCCAACCGGACUCGCAUGCUUAUCCCAAAUCAGAACAUUAAUCACAACAGUCAAGAACUUGUUCACAACCUCAGUCACCGUAAAAGCCGUCGCGGAGAUCUAGCAGCAAACCCAAAGAAGCUAAUAAGAGAACCAAACACACACGACAACGCCACUGCGAAAAACACAACGGUCCAUUUAAGAUCUUUCUUUCCAUUUAAGAUCUUUCCAAACGAAGCAAGAAACAGUCAUUUUAAUCUCCAACUUUUAAAAAUUGUCUAAUUUAAAUUUAACUUUUGCUGACUAAACCAUUUAAGAUAAACGAAAAAUCAAUUCGUUUAUUAUCAGUAAAGAUUAUUUACAAAGGUUAGAUCAAAGUUAUUAAGAAAAGUAAUAAGAGUAUAGGAUUUCCCAAUUUUAUCUAUAUAUUGCUUUUUUAAAUUUUGAUAUAAGUUGGAUUAAGAUUUUUAACGUGACUGGCUAGAAAAUAUGAGCACAUAAAUGAGAUUGAUAUAAGAUUUUUGUUGUUGUUUUCAGACUUGCUCACAAGUGAUAGUGAAACGGUGUUAACCAGAAGACAUAUAUACGAAAUUAGUAGCAAAUCAAAACAAAAAGGAUAAAGAAUAUGGCUAACUAAUGUGCAUCAUAUAUCACCAUGAGAAUGAAAUUCAGAAUUCUUAGAAAAUAGGUUGGUUCAUCUUAACUUAUAUUAUACUUUUUAUCAAACUAACUAUCAAAUUAAUAAAUAGUAUACAAAAUAAUAUUCUCGCACUUUCCUUAAAUAAAAGUUACGAAAUUACCUAAUAUGAUUAACGUAUGUAUGACAAUUAAUGAUUAUGAAUAAUAAAUAUUUGAUAACAAUUUUUGCAUUUUAGUUAUUUUUUGUUUAACUUUAUAUUAUUAAAAGAUAUUAAACAAUCACAUUACCAAUACCAUAUAAUAAAAAUAAUACUUUUUCUAUAUUUUAUAUUUUGAAUCUUUAAAAUGACUAUAAAUUACUUAAAAUUUUUCACACUAAAAAUUUGUGAUCAAUAGUUUAACUUUUUUUAUAAUAACAAGAUACAAAUGAUCAUAAAUCGUAUGAAUAUAAAGUCCUAUUUAAUAGACAUUCAUAUUAUAUAUUAAUAUAGUUUAAAAUUAAACUAUAUACAUAUAAAAAUACAUAAAUAUGUUAAUUUAUAAAUUUGUAUUGAAAAAAAAUUGAAACCUUAAUAUUUUAAUUUUGAAAUUUGCACUGAAAAUAUCGCACAUUAAAAUAUCAUUAGGCCUGAAUUCUACAAUGGAGUUUUUAUAUGAAAUUUUGAAUUUCAAAUUUUCGGUCCUGGGGGACGGCGGAGGCUAGGUUAGCCGAAAGAUGGUUAUCGGUUCAAGAACGCAAGGUGUCAUGUAUCAAUUGGUUGAAAGGCCGGAAAGAAAAUGUUGAAUUCUCAAUAAUAAAUAUUUAUAUUAAAAUAUACUAUAUAUCUAUGUCCAUGUCAUUGAACUUUAGUUAUAUAUCUUAUUGAAUAAAUAAAAAGAUAUGUCAUUGAACGUUAGUUAUAUAUCUUAUUAAAUAAAUAAAAGAAUAGUUUUGAUUAUUUACCAAAACAAUAUUGUAAAUAAAUAAGACGUAUUGUUUUGAUUUAUGUGUUUAUUCUAAUCUAAUUAGAUAUAUAAUAUAUAAAUGAAUACAAAUAAAUAAUAAUAUACAAAAAUUAUUCAGUAGGCAUAUAUUGUAUAUGUUGGCCUCUAAAUAAACAUGUGUUAUUCAUAUAAAACAAAAAAGGAUAUUAGGAGGUAUUAAAACGUAUCAAGGUUUUUAAAUCCUUGAUGUAGGUUCUUGAGAUAACUUAUUAUGUUCAUCUGCCACAGUCAGCCGCACACUGUCUUGGGUCCGCGUAACAUAUUCUCUCCUCGUUAACUCCACAACAAAAACACCUGCGGGCUUUGUCUCUUUUUGUGGGGCAUUGGAUUUCCGUGCAAGUUUUUUCAGGUGGCAUGAACGGGCGUUCAAUAAUUUGGCCAUCGACAACUAUAUAAACAAAAAAUAAUAACAAUAUCAUUUAGAGCAAAAAAAAAUUAUCAAGGAUAUUAUGAUGUGAUUAAAAUAGUGAAAAAUAGAUGAUAAACAAAACAAAAAAAACUAUUAUAAACACAUACAUUCAUGAAAAGGAAAUAAAGCAAUUAAGAUGAUGUAAAAGAUAGCGAACUGUGAUGACGACAUAUUAUUCUUUGUGAUAUUUUUUUGAUACAUACUAUUUUUUUUUGUUUUUUUUUUGUUUUAUUGUUUGAUGGUUGAAAUUUCUAUGUAAGAUGGUAGUUAAUUUAUAGGUUUUUCAAUUAAUCUCUAGAUCUAAAGGCCAUCGACAACUAUAUAAACAAAAAAAUAAUAACAAUAUCAUUUGGAGCAAAAAAAUUUAUCAAGGAUAUUAUGAUGUGAUUAAAAUAGUGAAAAGUAGAUGAUAAACAAAAGAAAAUUAUUAUAAACACAUACAUUCAUGAAGAGGAAAUAAAGCAAUUAAGAUGAUGCAAAAGAUAGCGAACUGUGAUGACGACAUAUUAUUCUUUGUGAUAUUUUUUUGAUACACACGUUUUUUUUUGUUUUUUUUUUGUUUUAUUGUUUGAUGGUUGAAAUUUCUAUGUAAGAUGGUAGUUAAUUUAUAGGUUUUUCAAUUAAUCUCUAGAUCUAAAUAUGUAAGAUAGUAAUGCAUAUUUUGUAUGGCGAUCCACAAAAAUUGGUUAGAUUUGUUUGACUUGUUUUGUGAUAAUUAUAAUGGUGUUCACUUUUAUUUUUUUAUUGUGCUUAUGGAACUAGUCAAACUGAACUAUUGUGUGGUAAUCAUAUUUGAAUAAUAUGUAUGAGUUAUUAACUGUUCUUUUUUAUUUUUAAAACACGAACUACUUAUUAUAUAUAAUCAACUAUUUCUUUUUAUACAUAUACAUAUAUUUAUUUAUUUAUUUAUUUAUUAAAUGUAUCUGAAUAAUAAAAAAUCAUUACUAUUAAAACAGAAACAUGACUUAUUGAUAAAAUUGAUAAAAGUUAUGUCCAACUAUGUAUUUUCUUUAUUUAAGGAGCCACUUAUUAUUAAUAAUAUUAAUUCAGAAUCACUAUUAAUAUUUAUCUCUACUUUCACCGGACAUGUGUUUUCAAAUAAAUAAAUGCCCCUCAUUAAUGGUAGAAUGGUAAUUGCCAUAUGGACUAACAAGUAGCUAGGGUGUCAAAAUGAGUUAGCUUGCUCAACUCAGCUCAACUCAUGGUGAGUUUGGAUCUUUCAUGAGCUAGCUCAACUCAGCGCAUUUACUAUAUGAGCUUUAAUAUACAAACUCGAACUCAGAUCAUCUAAAUCAUGAGUUAAAUGAGCUAACUCGCGAUCAUACAUAAAAAAAAUUAUAAAAUAAAUAAAAAUAGAAUAUUUUUUAUAGUAUAAUUUUAAAUUUAAAAAUCCAAAGCGUCUAUAUUUAAAUACUGAAUAAAACCAAGACCUAAUAUAUUUAAUCAAAGCUAAAUCAAUGGUCCAAAAAUAUAUUUUACAUAAAAGUCAUGUGAUGAUUCAUAUUCAAACUCUUUAUCUACUCAAAUCGUAAAGAUAUAUAUUCCGCAUGAAAGUCUUAGGAAUAUUUAGUUUUAUAUUUUAGUUCUAAAGAUAUAUGAUAUGAGGAUUUAUAUCAAUAUUCCUUUACAUUUUAGUAUAUAUUUAUUACUUUUGGUUUUAUAUUUUAAUUUUAUAAGAUAAAUAUGAUUAGUAUAGAAAUUAUUUUUUCUUACGUAAGAAAAAUAGAAGUCAUCAAUAUAUAUAUACAUAUAAAGUAUAAAACAACCAAGCUCAUGAGUUAGCUCAUGUUCAUUAAAGAUCGUUCAUAUAACUCGUGAUAUAAUUUAGGCUCGAUCAUUAAAGUCAUUUAUUAAAUAAGCCUAAAAAAUAGAGAUCAUGCUCAUGGCGUAUAGCUCAUUUUCACACCCCUACAGGUAACCAUACAAAUCGUGGGUGGAAGCUAAGCAAGCUUGUAACACCCCCAAACCGUUUUAGACAUUGGUCAAUCAACCGGGCAACAAUCAAACAAGAACAUACCCGAACGAUCUUCCUCUGCCAAGUCCGGAAGUGUUACAACGGGUUGAGAAUAGACGUUCCAAGUCACAAAACAUAAUUCUGUAACCCAGAGUAUCCAUUCUAAACUUGUGUCCUCUAAUCUUUGGCCUGAGGCUUUGCAACCCGUACCGAAUCAUAGAGUUGUGUUAGGUUGGACUAACCUAAUAUCAGAUUCAACACGUCGCGAAUAUAAAACAUACUUUAUUUCAUAUAUAUAAAACAUGAAGUUCACAAGCCCAAAAUAUUAUACAUAUGGUCCAUGGACGCAACCGAAAGUAAAACAUACAUUCAUAUAUCUUGAAAACGAGUCUUUAGCAAAAGAUGUCCAAUUUACACCAGCUCCUACAGUUCCGCGAGCGCUAUGGUCCUUUCUACUGGUCACCUGCAAAAGGAUGUGAGGAAUGAGUGAACUAGUUUCACUCAGUGAGCCAGGGUUCCCUAUCUAACAUAUACAACUACCCGUCAUUCUAAAUCCCACCCCAAACACAAGCAAGACGAGUAGUUCAACAAACAUAUUCGAAGCUUAAAUGAUUAAGCAGUAAACAAUUAAACCAUAAUAAAUUAAAACACUCUUUAUGAGUGUCACAUCAAUCAACCAUAUAUAUAUAUAUACUCCUAGGGCCCAACAGAAUCAUUCUUCCUCCACAUAAGGGACACCGGCAAUCCCUUCACUAUUACACCACACAGGCGUAGGCGCUCGGGAAUCGCCCGGUCACGGUCCUCAAUCGGAAUCACCGUGCCCCAGUCCCCUAUUGGACUCGCCGGGGGCUGUCACAUCCACGUGUGACACUCGAUCCACAAACUGACACCUAGACCAGUCCGGCUAUCCUAGCUCGGAAGCCGUCUCCGAUGUCAGGAACCUGCAUUAAAAAUUCAUUAACAAUCAAUUAACUGUGACUCACAGUGAUUAGCCGAUGUGGUUUGACUUUCUGAUUCCGGAUGUUGACCAAACCUUUUUUAUUCCCUCCAAAUCUUUGUCUUGGUACCGUGAUGUUAAUCCCCAAAACCCAACCUCAAUGUCUUGAAUGAACUGGUCUGGACAGAUCAGAACUUGGAAAGAACCUUCUUUCUCUUCUGGACAGUCUUUCGGAACUUCCCGGCAGUUUAUCGGUCUUCGAAAAUGUCUCUCUCUAGCCAUGCUAGAAGACACCUCCACGUCCACUUGCCCUUCAGUAUGUCUGGUGUUCAUGCAUCGCGACACACGGGCCUCUGCAUGUCGGUUCGCAUGCGCAGAUCGCAGGUACUGCGACACCACGUGCUUCUAUGUGUCAAGCUGCAUGGAUCUGCUUCAUGCACGCCUACACCUCCUUCUUGUGUGGACACUCAGCAGAUUAAAUGGUUGACACCACGUCCUGAUCCCUUAGAUCAAGCCACCUCGAGCUUCUCGAUCGAUUUGCGCGAUUUCGGUCCUUCUGGUGAAUUUUCGUCCCGCGAUCAAUCCCGAAUAUUUUUCCGCUCCUGUUCUGAUGAGCUAAAUAUUUUUAAUAGACUCCAGACUAACCUUAACUUUUGAGGAUAAAAAUUUCUCAAGUCUUCGGCUUCCCCGAGAAAUUCCAUAAAACCGAAAUCAGGUUUUUUUUUUUAAGACGGGUUAUUACAAAGCUCAUGAGGUAUAACUCAUGAGGUAUAGUUUAAAAUUAAACUACAUACAUAUAAAAAUACAUAAAUAUGUUAAUUUCUAAAUUUGUAUUGAAAAAUAUUGAAACCUUAAUAUUUUAAUUUUGAAAUUUCCUUAAUAUUUUAAUUUUAAAAUUUGCAUUCAAAAAAAUCGCAUUAAAAAAUCAUUAGGCCUGAAUUCUACAAUGGAGCUUUUACAUGAAAUUUUGAAUUUCAUUUUUUUUUUGAGUCUAGGUUAGCCGAAAGAUGGUUAUCGGUUCAAGAACGCAUGGUGUCCCGUAUCAAUUGGUUGAAAGGUCUGAAAGAAAAUGUUGAAUUCUAAAUAAUAAAAAUUUAUAUUAAAAUAUAUACUAUAUAUAUAUGUCUAUGUCAUUGAACUUUAGUUAUAUAUCUUAUUGAAUAAAUAAAAGGACAUGUCAUUGAACUUUAGUUAUAUAUCUUAUUAAAUAAAUAAAAGGAUAAUUUUGAUUUAUUUACCAAAACAGUAUCGUAAAUAAAUAAGAAGUAUUUUUUUCAUUUAUGUGUUUAUUCUAAUUUAAUUAGAUAUAUAAUAUAUAAAUGAACACAAAUAAAUAAUAAUAUACAAAAAUUAUUUUUAUAUAUGAUGUUCAUCUCGCGCAAUUGCGUGGAUCUUAAUCUAGUAGAAUAUGAAAGUGUCUAAACACAAAUACAAUAUGCAUAAUUUGUAUUUGUUGGGCUGCAAAUAAGCAUGUGUUAUUCAUAUAAAACUAAAAUAGAAAUGAGGAUGUAUUAAAUAAAAUGGUUAUUCAAGUUUUUUAAGUCUUUGAUGUAGAUUCUCGAGAUAACUUAUGGCUUGCCGCACCUACGCGAACAUUCUUCUUGGCUCAUGUAACACAUGUUUUGAGCCUUAACUUUGGAGGAACAACAAGAACAAGUGUGAUUUUCUUUGAGUUCGUGGCAUGGGGUUUGCGUGCAAGUUGGUUUAGCUGCUGCACCCUGACCAUCGACAACUAUAUAAACAGAAAGUAACAACAAUAUCAUUUGGAGGAAAAAAAUAAUUGUCAAAAAUAUUAUAAUGUGAUUACAAUAGUGAAAAAGAUAGUUGAUGAACAAAAGAAAACUAUUAUAAACACAUACAUUCAUGAAGAGGGAAUAAAGCAAUCAUUAUGAUGCAAAAGAUAGUGAACUGUGAUGAUGACAUAUUGUUCUUUGUAAUAUUCUUACGAUGAAAACACCUUUUUUUUUUUUUUGAAUCUUUACGUUUACUGGUUUGAUGGUUGGAAAUUAUGUUUAAGGUGAAGAUCAAUUUAUAGAGUUUUAGCUUAUAGAUAAAAGUAUGUAAACUAGUAAUGCAUGUCUUGUAUGGCGAUCCAUAAAAAUUGGUUAGAUUUGUUUGACUUGUUUUUUUUUCUAAUUAUCGUGUGGUAAUUAUAUUGGUGUUUAGCUAUUUUUAUUUAUUAAAUAGAGAGAAGAUAGGUACAACUUUCUGUUUAACUUCUGUUUUCUUAUGAAAUUGGUUUGCUGGUUUCAACAAGUCAAGACUGGGAUGCGUAUGUGUAGUACAAGGUGUAGCGUAAUGACUGCAGUCAUUCUCAUGUAUGAUCUGUUCUGUUUCAAGUAUAGGUUUGUUUUCUGUGGAGACGAACUUAGUGAUAUUUGAAUAUUUGUAUUAAUGGAUAGGAGAAUGAGAGUAACAAGUUUACAAAAAUGAUACUAUAAAAGCCAGAAACCAUAACAAAGUUGCUAGAAGAAACCUCUUCAAAUGUAAAUACUCAAAUGCUAAACCUCAUCAUCAUACAUUAGUAGCUACUUUCCCCGGAAUCAACUCCACCGACUCUUCAUCAACCUUCUCACUGUCGUUCAACACUUGAGCUGGACCACUGGUCGGUUUCUUAGCCACGGUCACGGACUGCUGAUAACCAAUACCACCACAGAUCGUAACAAGAAGACAAACCAACCCAACAGGACUCGCAUGCUUGUCCCAAAUCAGAACAUUAAUCACAACAGUCAAGAACUUGUUCACAACACCCGUCACAGUAAAAGCCGUAGCGGAGAUAGCUUUCCUCGCAGCGAACCCAAAGAAGCUAAUAAGAAACCCAAACACACACGACAACGCCACAGCGAAAAACGCAACGGGCUCAAACAAACUCCCUCCGUUAGCAUUCACCGCCGUGAAAACAUCCGUGUACUCCCCCGUGAGGAACCAAAAGAUCGGCGCAAUCAUCAGCGACAAGAGAUUAUUAUAUAAAACAAACCCCCACGUGUUGAGCUCAAGACUCGAAACCAUAUGCUUAAUAUAAACCAUCUCGGUAGUUAUCGUAACGAGAUAAGCCAAGGCCCACGAAUAGGCCGUUAGAGUAAAAGCAGAGUCGUUCGCCACGUAACCAACCGCGCCAGCGAGGAUCACUAACAAAGACAAGAACGUGAGCUUCGAAGGACGCGGCUGGGAGCGGAAAACCGUAUCCGCGAUCGCGACGAGGAGAGGGGUGAGAGACCUGAACACGAUGAAGGUGUCGACGUUAGCGUGGCGGAGGAGGUUCGUGUUGGUGAAGAUCGCGAGGUAGAAGACGACGGCGGCGGGGAGGAACUUCUUGGCGGUGUCCCACGUGAAGGCGUCGUGGUGGAGGAAGCCAAGCUUCCCGAGGAGGUAGACGCCGACGGUGGAGGUUAGGUACUGGAGGGCGGUGAGGAGGCCGGGGUAGUUGAAGUAGGUGAUUGCGAACUUGUUGAUGACGGCGAGGAGGCUGGAGCAGAGGGCGUAGCCGACGACGAGGCUGCUCGUGGCGUAGGAGGAUGAUGACAUUGUUUGUGAUUGUGUUUGACCAGAUCGGAGAAGAGAGGAAUUGGAUCUGGAUCGAGAAGUAUUAGAAGGAGGGAGGAAGGGAGGGAGGCGACGACUUAUUUACACGAGUGUCGUGCGGGAUUCGCUAUUGCAUGUUUGUGAUCUUUUUAAGUCUUUGACGUUACUUUUUAGUUAAUGAAUCAGUGUUAAUUUGGUCAAAUCAACCACUAAGGGAAGCUAAUUAACAAAAUGAUUCUUUGUGGGGUUUGAAAUAUACAGCUAUACAUUUUUUUUUAACUUUUAAUAAUUAUGCAAUUGCAACUACGAGAAAUAUUAUAGACGAUUUUAUAGAUAGAAUCUGACAAUUCUACGUGCCCUAUGAGGAUUCACGCUUAUGAGAUCCAUUACUUGACGGUAUUCCUUGUGCACACGGUGCAUAUCUAUUGUAAGUCUUUUUCUUCCUUGAUUCGCAUAAUUCCGUCUUUUCUGAGAAUUGAAACUCAAACCUCUUGGUGUAGAAGCAUUAAUGAACUCUUGUUCAAACGACUGGACCAAGUGGACUUCCACAACUAUACAUUUCAUUUAUAAUCAUCAAUAUACAGCUAUACAAAUACAAUUAGAGCUAGGAAUUAAAGUUAUUAUCCGCGGGUUACGUCCUCUUUGAGCGUGUGUGGUUCAUAUACUCCUAGGGCCCAACAGAAUCAUUCUUCCUCCACAUAAGGGACACCGGCAAUCCCUUCACUAUUACACCACACAGGUGUAGGCGCUCGGGAAUCGCCCGGUCACGGUCCUCAAUCGGAAUCGCCGUGCCCCGGUUCUCUAUCGGACUCGCCUGGGGCUGUCACAUCCACGUGUGACACUCGGCCUUGGUGAUCAAGCCAAGUUAAACCGAGCCCAGCACUUUGCGGACCCCGACCGGCUUAGUGGUACCAUUUGAGGAAGCAAUGACCUGCAAACUACUACUAGAACCACCACGAGGUUCUCACACAACAGUACCAACACGAGGUACACACUAUAACAACAUAUAAUAAUCACACAAUCACAAUAAUCCGGGUGCUUAGACUAGUCUUGCUAUCCACUUAGCCCAGACAUCGUCUCAAGCCUCGGAUCCACAAACUGACACCUAGACCGGUCCGACAAUCCUAGCUCGGAAACCGUCUCCGAUGUCAGGAACCUGCAUUAAAAAUUCGUUAACAAACAAUUAACCGUGACUCACAGUGAUUAACCGAUGUGGCUUGACUUUCUGAUUCCAGAUGUUGACCAAACCUUUUUUAUUCCCUCCAAAUCUUUGUCUUGGUACCGUGAUGUUAAUCCCCAAAACCCAACCUCAAUGUCUUGAAUGAACUGGUCUGGACAGAUCAGAACUUGGAAAGAACCUUCUUUCUCUUCUGGACAGUCUUUCGGAACUUUCCGGCAGUUUAUCUAUCUUCGAAAAAUGUCUAUAUUUCUAAAGCACCUCACUUCUUUCUCUCUCUCUCUCUCUCUAAGCCACGUUUUGGAGUGUCCUUGGUGUGUCUGAAUGAGAAAAAAUGCACCAAGGUAGCUGGGUAUAUAUAGAAGUUGCCGGCCAAUAAAGAAUGAGCCACCCGAUCGCAUGUGUGUCGUCCUGCAUGCUUUCGGUCGCAUGCGUGGCGACACAUGGGCGUCCACAUGCCAUGUUGCAUGCUCUCUAGCCAUGCUAGAAGACACCUCCACGUCCACUUGCCCUUCAGUAUGUCUGGUGUUCAUGCAUCGCGACACACGGGCCUCUGCAUGUCGGUUCGCAUGCGCAGAUCGCAGGUACUGCGACACCACGUGCUUCUAUGUGUCAAGCUGCAUGGAUCUGCUUCAUGCACGCCUACACCUCCUUCUUGUGUGGACACUCAGCAGAUUAAAUGGUUGACACCACGUCCUGAUCCCUUAGAUCAAGCCACCUCGAGCUUCUCGAUCGAUUUGCGCGAUUUCGGUCCUUCUGGUGAAUUUUCGUCCCGCGAUCAAUCCCGAAUAUUUUUCCGCUCCUGUUCUGAUGAGCUAAAUAUUUUUAAUAGACUCCAGACUAACCUUAACUUUGAGGAUAAAAAUUUCCCUAGACUUCGGCUUCCCCGAGAAAUUCCAUAAAACCAAAAUUAGGUGUUUUUUUUUUUUUUUUUUUUUAAGAUGGGGCAUACCCAUCAUCUUAAUUUUUUCCAAACAUAAUCAUCCUCUUCAACGAAUAGUUAUCAACAUUUCCAAAUAUUUGUCACAUCUUUUCUCUUUGAUUAUAGUUUCACUCUAUGCUAGUUUUAAAGUUCCCCACGAUAACCUAGCUGGAUGUUUCUCUGAGUUGCCGGAAAUGUAAUCUCCUGUACCCUUUUGGGAUGACAAUUAAUAUAUAUAUAUAUAUAUUUAUUUAUUAAAUGUAUCUGAAUAAUAAAAAAAUCAAUACUAUUAAAACAUGAACAUUAUUUAUUGAUAAAAGUGAUGCUCAACUAUGUAUUUUCUUUAUUUAAAGAGCCACUUAUUAUUAAUAUUAUUAAUUCAGAAUCACUAUUAAUAUUUAUCUCUACUUUCACCGGACAUUGUGUUUUCAAAUAAAUAAAUACCCCUCAUUAAUGGUAGAAUGGUAAUUGUCAUAUGGACUAACAAGUAACUAGGGUGUCAAAAUGAGUUAACUCGCUCAACUCAGCUCAGCUCACAGUGAGUUUAGAUCUUUCAUGAGCUACCUCAGCUCAGCUCAUCUACUAUACGAGCUUUAAUAUACAAACUCGAACUCAGAUCAUCUAGAUCAUACAUAAAAAUAAAAAAUUACAAAAAUAAUUAUCAAAUAAAAAAAAAAAAAUUUUAUAAUAUAAUUUUAAAUUUAAAAAAUACAAAGCGUUUAUAUUUAAAUACUAAAUAAAACCAAGACCUAAUAAUAUAUUAAAUCAAAGCUAAAUCAAUGGUCCAGAUAUAUAUUUUACAUAAAAGUCAUGUGAUGAUUCAUAUUCAAACUCUUUAUCUCUAUUCAAAUCGUAAAGAUAUAUAUUUCCAUGAAAGUCUUAGGAAUAUUUAGUUUUAUAUUUUAGUUCUAAAGAUAUAUAAUAUGAGGAUUUAUAUCAAUAUUCUUUUACAUUUUAGUAUAUAUUUAUUACUUUUGGUUUUAUAUUUUAAUUUUAUAAGAUAAAUAUGAUUAGUAUAGAAAUUAUUUUUUCUUACAUAAGAAAAAUAGAAGUCAUCCAUAUAUAUAUAAUUUAGUUUAAAUAAUUUAAUUAACAACAUAUAACCAAUUAUAAUUUUAAAAUACCGGAUACAACAUCCAAUAACCAUUAUGUUUUAUGUAACAACUUUUUUUACUUUCAUUGUCUUAUUCUAUUUUCAAAAGAAACUACGAGAGAUUACACAUGGCCAAAUUGAGUUAUUACAAAAGAUUACACAUGGCCAAAUUGAGUUGUGCUACUAUAUAACUUUAGUAUUCAUUAAUUUAAGUGGUUAAUCCAGGCCUAGCUAGUUACCAAAAAAAUCAGGAUUUACGCGGAGAUAAAUGAGGGACUAGUUUUUGGUACAGUUUUUAGUUUUCGGAUACUAUAGUUAAUUUAAUUUAGUAUUUGGGAGAUGUAACAAUAAUUGUCAAUGUCCUAGUGACAAGAGACAUUGGUAUUCACCGGUUACUGGGUUCAACUUAACCAAAGCUCUUUUUGGGCUUUUUAUUUAACUUUUUAAUGUGUGGCAUAAUCGUAAUACUUUCAUCAUUUUCCUGGAUUUUUUUUAGGGCUUCGCCUCUGCAAAGCUAAAUCCAUGGCGGCCAUCAAUUACUCUCAUGUAAAUAAUCAAAUUGUUGUGUAAAUUCGUGGUGGUUAUGCCUCAUAUACAUAGAUUUGCCAUAAAAAUUCAGUUUUAAACAUUCAAAACUCAAAAAAAAAAAAAAUUAUACAGCAAUCUCCGAUUUGUUCGCCGACUAUGGUGAAAUCUCCACGGCCCAGCUCCGCCGAGCGACUCGCCAGCCCCUAAUCGGGCGCGUUAGCCGCAUUUUCGAACAGAGUUAUGAGAUAUUACGUUUCUAAUUUUUAGUUCAUCAAAUUCUAUUGUUUUAAAGCUGUCGUUGUCAAACUACAUGUUCUUUGAAAGAGAAAAGAUAAUUGGCUACGGGAUAAGGAUAAUUGUUUCUCGGUGCUACAUAAGGUUACUUCUGUCAUUUUAACCUUCUCGGUCACAUGGUUCGUAAAUUAAUUUUUAAUAUGCAUAUUUUUCCAAUUUGGACACAAAAUUUGUAUAUUCACCUAAUUAACUCAAUAAAAAGUGAAGACAUGAUAGACAAAAAUGUAUUUAAAACUUUGAACCAAGUAUAAAUAUAUUUGUUUCUCACCAAAACUAGAAAGUAAAAUAUCUAUUACAAAAAUCCGUCCAUAAGAAGAGAAAGAAAAAUGGAUAAACCCAUAUAUCAAUAGCUUAAUAAAAAAAAUCAAAAUAAUUAGUAUAAAAUUUAAACAAUUCAAUUUAUUUAAAUAAAUAAAUAAUAAGGAAAGAAAAAAAGAAGAAGAAGAUGUCUUGUUGGAUAAGCCAAGAUUCCAAUUUAUAAGAGGGCAUUAAUUGCUAAAUGCUCUCCUCGUCCCUGUGAUCCGAUCCAUCGUCGUCUCCAAUACUAGAUCUCUGUCUCGCUCGCGUCGAUAAUUUGUGAUAAAAAUGGCGGCCGUAGGAAUCGAGACGAGGCGUCCUGAGGGUGCGAUGGAGGAAACCUGCAACGUGAAGGGAGCACAAGGAGAGGGGCUUAAGCAGUACUAUCUCCAGCACAUCGACGAGCUCCAGCGACUUCUCCGCCAGAAAACUAACAACCUCAAUCGCCUCGAAGCUCAGAGGAACGAUCUCAACUCUCGAGGUCCUUUUCUUCCUCCUUUUGCCCUAGUUUCCAUGGAAUUGGAUCGAUCGUCUUCUUUAGUUGUAGUAAUCUAGGAUUCCAUGAUUAGAGCUUUCGAUUAUUGGGAUUGAGGGUGAAGAUGGAAUCUUCUAUGUUGGAUCUUGUUCAGAUUGCUUGAUUCGGUUUGUGACUUAGGCGUCUGUUGAGUAUGUGUAGAGUUGUUGUGAGGUGAGGAUUAGUGAAAGAUAUAAUCUGGAGAGGUAUCAAGCGUAGUGAUAGAUUGAUUCAUCGUUUUAGCCCAAACUGUUAUCUUGAAGGUGUUUAGAAGUAUACUGCUAAAUACAAUAAGAGCUGUUAGUAGUGAUACUUUGGUUGUGCAACUAUGAAGCCUAGUUUUCUCUUUACUCUCACACUCGUCUAAGGAGUCAUCCCAAUAACCAAUUGAUUUGAAUUCAAAACAUUUUAAAGAUAUCUAGUUAAUUCUUUAUGAACUAAACAGUACGAAUGCUGAGAGAAGAGUUGCAGCUGCUUCAGGAACCUGGGUCCUAUGUGGGUGAAGUGGUCAAAGUUAUGGGAAAAAACAAGGUCUUGGUUAAGGUAUGAAUCCUUAUAUCAUGUUUUUAGUGUUGUUGUAAUCUUAUUGACACAUCAUAGCUAUCAGUGAAGAAGCUAAAACUCCCGUUUUCCAGGUUCAUCCAGAGGGGAAGUAUGUUGUUGAUAUUGACAAAAGUAUAGACAUAACUAAACUUACCCCAUCUACAAGAGUUGCUCUCCGUAAUGAUAGCUAUGUUCUCCACCUUGUCCUGCCAAGUAAAGUUGAUCCCCUGGUUAACCUUAUGAAAGUUGAGAAGGUUCCUGACUCCACUUAUGACAUGAUUGGUGGUCUUGACCAGCAAAUUAAGGAAAUUAAGGAGGUAUGUCAUUGAAAUAACGACCCUAAAGUCAUUGGUUUAUUUUGCUAUUCCCUCUGUUGUUUCAUAUGCUUUUAAAUAUUUUUAUAAUAUCUUAAAUUGUUCAUCAGGUCAUUGAGCUUCCAAUCAAGCAUCCUGAAUUGUUUGAGUCUCUUGGAAUCGCUCAGCCAAAGGUACACAUCAUUUGAAAACUUAUUUUGUCUAUUGUAACUAUGUUCAAGUGAGUUAGAGAUUAUUUCAUCUUCAUUUCUUGCUAGGGUGUGUUGUUAUAUGGUCCACCCGGGACUGGAAAGACACUUUUGGCUCGGGCUGUGGCACAUCACACCGACUGUACCUUCAUCAGAGUUUCUGGUUCGGAGCUGGUCCAGAAAUACAUUGGAGAAGGUUCUAGAAUGGUGAGAGAACUUUUUGUGAUGGCAAGGUUUGUAUAUGUGCUAGACCCUAUUUUGACAUUUCAAGCAUGGUAAAUAAUGCUUGUGAAUCCUUUUGCCUGUUGUCUUACUUAAUAACUAUUCCUGAUGGUUUAUGGUAUUUAGGGAGCAUGCACCAUCAAUCAUCUUUAUGGAUGAGAUCGAUAGUAUCGGGUCUGCUCGUAUGGAGUCUGGAAGUGGAAACGGUGACAGUGAGGUUCAGCGGACUAUGCUUGAGCUUCUCAAUCAACUUGACGGUUUCGAAGCAUCAAACAAAAUCAAGGUACUUGUUAAAGCUGUUAAGGAAAAAAUCGUGAAUCUGAAAAGGACAAGUCUGUGGUAUCGUAGUCUGAGGUCAUAGACAAACUCAUUAAUCAUCUCAAAUUAACUGCUGCAGGUUCUGAUGGCGACAAAUCGUAUUGAUAUUCUGGAUCAAGCUCUCCUCAGGCCAGGAAGGAUUGAUAGGAAAAUCGAAUUCCCUAAUCCUAAUGAAGAUGUAAUGCUUGUGCCUAUUUUGCAUAUUAUAGAGUUUGAGUAGAUAGGUUGUGAAGUACAUGUUUGGCUAAUGUAAUGUUUCUAAAAUGUGUUUGCAGUCACGUUGUGAUAUCUUGAAGAUUCACUCGAGGAAGAUGAACUUGAUGCGUGGAAUUGAUCUGAAAAAGAUUGCAGAGAAGAUGAAUGGUGCUUCAGGUGCCGAACUGAAGGUAAACUGUUUUUUCCCCUCACUUCUCUCUCUCUCUCUCUCUCUCUCUACAGUUUGUCUCUCUUUCUCUUAUGCUUUUGGUUGCUAUGGUCAGGCUGUGUGCACGGAGGCGGGAAUGUUUGCUCUGAGGGAGAGGAGAGUACACGUGACACAGGAAGACUUUGAGAUGGCAGUGGCGAAGGUUAUGAAGAAAGACACAGAGAAGAACAUGUCUCUGCGUAAGCUCUGGAAGUAGGAAUCUCUCUGUUCUGUUCUCUGUUAUUUCCAAGAAUCUUUUCUGUUUGUUCUUUAAGCGUUUGAAAACAAUUUUUUUUUACUGCCUAAAACGGUAGUGUGUACUUGAAUGUACGCAUACCAGUUCCGAGUUCAUCGUCUUCAAACUAAGAGAUAUUAUCCAAGAAAGACCCCCCCUCCAUUGGGCACACUAAGAUAACAUGUACUGAUUUGUUUAUAUGAAACCCACUAUGGAAUCAAAGGUAUAAUCUAAUAGGAUCAGGGUAUAUGCAAAGUGUGAAAUGUGAGCUUAUGUGACGGGUCACACAUUCACUUUGUUGAAUUUCAACAUGUUGUAUGUAUGAAACGGUGGUGGCAUAAAAUAUGAAUCAAGAUGUGGUUACAAACACUGGUCACAUUUCAAUUUUUUUUUUUUUUUUUUUGUUAAUCGCAACGUAUAUUGAGAGGAAGUUCAAAUUUCAAAUUUGAUAAGUGGAAUAAAUAAAUAACAUUUUUGGAAAAUGAAAAAUAAAAAUUUAUGAGUCAUGUGUCGGAAAAGACCGCGUGGAACUAAAGCUAAAAAAACAGAUCCAACGGUGGAGAAAGCUGCGUUACAAUUGCAGAACCAUAAAAAAAAGAAGUAAAUCUAACGGUCGUAAGAAUAGCGUCAGACCUAAGCGAAAAACCCUUCCCUUUAUUUCCUCUUUUAUAAAAACCCCCAUCUCGCCUCUUCUCUCCUACAACAUCAUUCUCCACGCACACACAAAACACACAAACCCAUCGCCUGAGAUUCUCUCGAUUCCGACAACAUGGUAAACAUUCUCUUCGAUCUUAUUCUAGCUUCAUCUUCUCUCUGUCUUUGUUUCUUUGUUCUAAAUUGAGUGUGUAUUUGUUUUCCAGGCUCUACCUAACCAGCAAACCGUCGAUUACCCUAGCUUCAAGCUCGUCAUUGUUGGUGACGGAGGCACAGGUACUAACCCCCUUCCUCUAUAGAACUUACUCACUCUUGUUCUUCAGUGGAAUCACAUGUCGUCUUUGUGUUUGUUGCAGGAAAAACAACUUUUGUCAAGAGACAUCUUACUGGAGAGUUCGAGAAGAAGUAUGAACGUAAGUAGAUAACAUCAACAUAGACUGAAUGCUCUUGAAUUGAAUUUUCUGAUUGUUUUUGGGGAAUGAUGUGUGUUUGUUGCAGCUACAAUUGGUGUGGAGGUUCAUCCUCUAGAUUUCUUCACAAACUGUGGCAAGAUCCGUUUCUACUGCUGGGACACUGCUGGUCAAGAAAAGUUCGGUGGCCUUAGAGAUGGUUACUAGUAAGUGUCACAGUUUAGAUCUGUUUAGGAUGAUGUUAUCAUGGUUGAUUUGGUUAUAUAAAAAAUCUAAUUUCUUUUUUAAUAUAUCUCUCUUGAAGCAUCCAUGGUCAAUGUGCUGUAAUCAUGUUCGACGUGACGGCGCGUCUCACAUACAAGAACGUCCCCACGUGGCACCGUGACCUCUGCCGUGUGUGCGAGAACAUCCCCAUCGUUCUCUGCGGGAACAAGGUCGACGUGAAGAACAGGCAAGUGAAGGCCAAGCAGGUGACGUUCCACAGGAAGAAGAAUCUUCAGUACUAUGAGAUCUCCGCGAAGAGUAACUACAACUUCGAGAAGCCCUUCUUGUACCUCGCUAGGAAGCUUGCCGGGGACCAGAACCUUCACUUUGUCGAGUCGCCAGCUCUUGCUCCCCCUGAGGUUCACAUUGACGUUGCUGAGCAGCAGAGGAACGAGGCUGAUCUCAUUGCCGCAGCCGCUCAGCCUCUCCCUGAUGAUGAUGAUGACGCUUUUGAGUAAAAAAAGAAGCUUCCCACUAUGUUGCUAUGGGAAGCUGUUUGCUUUGUCUGAUUCUCUAUUUGUGUUUUUUUAGUUUUUUUAACAUGUUGGGGGAAUAUUGUUAAGAUCGUUUUGGAAUAGAGCAGCGACUUGUCUUUGAACCCAAAGUGAGAUAUGAAACAUGAAACUUGCAGGAAUCAUAUACUAUAUACUUUGCAGGUCUCUAUCAAGUAACACCACAAUAAAAAAAGAAAUAUGUUCAGAAGGGACAUUUGUACGAACUACUCUUUAACAUUUAUUCUAUGCAAAACAAAGUUGUAGUUGUGAAUGAUGAUUCUAUCUGUAAGUAGUACCGUUAUCAACAGAGAUGAGGUUUCUUAUCUGCAUCAGAUGUUCCUCAUUUGAUAUGUUCAAUCUCAAGCGGAGAUUUGUGAUCCAGGUUUCUUGUUCCCAUGUUAUGUUGGGUCCUGAUGCGUGCAGUCUCUCAAUGCUGGAUCGGUAUUCAUCCAACUCUAGCAUGUGAACAACAUCAGCAGCUUCUGAGCUGUUUGCUGGAAAGUUAGACUUCUUGAUCUUGAUGCUUGUGUAGACACAAGAGGAUGACUCUGUGUCACUAGAAUUACCGGUUUCUAUGGGACCGAAAGAGACAGUGCUUAAACCGUCCAUGUCCAUGUUACAACUGCCAACAGAAGAUGCAACACUCUCUCUAUCGUCUUCUUGUUCUUCUUUGUGUGGUUCAACCAAGGAAUAGGUCCGUUUCUUUGGACCUUUAGUUGAAAAUACAUGAGACUCAUUGAGCUUGUCUUUGCUCUCAGAUGAAACAUACUCCCCUUUCAGAUUCACCUUUCUCCUCCCUAACUUUCCUGUUGAAGUCUGUGAUGUACCCUUUAGCCCCAAUGGUAUAAACAAAAUGUCAGCUUAAUAAAAAGGCUUUGAAAGAUAUAUUAUGAAAGAAGACAGAAACAACAAGUACCUGCCCGACCGUGAUCCACUCGUUGUCUUGCCAAGAUUGUCUAACCCGAAUGUCGGAUUUGUUUGCCUUUAUCUUCAGUGAGGAACCAAGUAAUCUAACCAAGACACAAUCAUUCUCCAACACCUUGGAAACUAUUGCCUUCUUCCACGAACAGCGUUCGAAAACCUCAAGAACGUCACCAGGAGCCCAAGAUUGUAGGACUUGUAAAGGAGGAGGCUCAGGUCUCAUACUCUUCCUCGGCACCCUCUCUGUAGUACCACCGUCAUUACCAUCAUACAUGACAGUGUAAUAAUGCCCAUUUCCUGAUAGUAUCUCAGCAGAUCGCCAAGCACCAGAUGGAACAGAUGAUUUGGUCAACACUUCUACUUUGGUUCGUUUCUUGAACCUCAUCCUUCCUGCUCUCAAAAAGAACCUUUGAAGAUGUGAAAAUAUAUUCACAUUCCAAACACUUAUAAGAUCAGAAUUUAACAUCACACAAGCUAAGACUCUUAUCCAUAGCAUUCUUUGAGUUGAAAACACAAAACAAGAUAAAAAGCAAAAAACUUCCAAUGAAGCAGUCAGUAAAUCACAAAAAGUAUUUUUUUAUGAUGAUCCAUUGCAAAUAAUACCAUCAAAUAUAAGUUGGAGCAGUAGAUCCAUCAGAAUCUGACACAUCCAGAAACUUCAACUUCAAUUUUCUUGUCAUAAACGUUUCAGAUUCUUUUUGCUUCACAAUCACCAGAUUGCAUAAAAGUCAUAAUUUGUUUAAUGAAAUUGAAAGUGUGAUGACUCAAUGUAUAGAGUCUUUAUUAUACUGAGAAAUUGAUUAGGAGAAAACAAUUUUUUCAUCGUUAAGCAGACAAUCAAGAGACUAAAAAACUCAGAAAUUAAAUUAAAAAUUUAUGUUUACCUUAAUAAGAAAAGAAGUUUGGUCACUAAGUGUUUAGCACGCAAAGAAAGCCAUCAUUCUUCUUCUGCUUCCACAAACAACAACAACAAAGCUUCAUCUAUUUUUUUAAUUUUCUGGGCAACCAAACCAAACAAGGAUCAAAGGGGCAAAGAAAAAAAACUUAUAUGCAAAAAUAUAAUUAGAAAAAGAUAUAAGUUUAGGCUUUUUACACGUCAGCAAGCCAAAACAAAAUCCACAUAGCUUUAGCCAGUUUUAAAUUUAAAGGAAAAGAAUCGAAAAUGAGGAAGAAAAUAAUAGUUCAAGUUGCAAACUUGUAACCCCUUUGGGCUUUGACGUUUUUGUAUCCAUUAAACCGCAUGAGAAAUGGCCCUUUGUUUGCUUUUAUUUGAUAAAUGGGUGAAAUAACCAUAACAAAUAAAGAAGGUGACUAUUAUUAUCUUUGUUUAGAGGAUGACUAGGCCUCGUUUUGGAGUUUACGGAAGCCAUUUGUACAGAAAUGCGUUCUGUAAGUCAUCAGCGAUUUCAUCAUUACGUAGACGUUAGUUGUUCAAAGGACGAAAACUUUUUAGAAAUAAUGAAAAAAAUGCGACGAAUAUCCGUAUGCCAUUUGUUUUAUAUGAUUCUUGUUGGUGAGCAGCACGAGCAAUGUGCGUGUUCAGGUGUGCCAAAAGAGCUCUAAGUUACUUUUUUUUUUUUUUUUUUUUUUUGUCAACUGGGUAUAUAUGAAACAUGAACUAUAACACAAAGUAGGCCCAAAAGAAAUGCAAUAAACUACUACAAAAUAAGGUCCAAGCAGAGACAAAUCAUUAAAACCACGAGGCCUACUAGAAGCCCAGACCAAAAAUGGUCCAAAGGGAAGCAGGUGAGGCGACUCGACACUCUUCCACGCGUUACCAAGUUAGCGUGUGAGGGACACGCGCCCACAGGUCAAGAAGCCACUGAUCUUCGCCGACCGGAAAGUCACCGACAGAAGCUCUAACCGGCGUGUUCCACCGGAAACAGGAACCCGUUGUUAGAACCGCCGCGGCCGACAAGAGGGAAUUAACGCACCGUCGACAGAGAAGAACUUCAACAGAGAUUCCAAAAUCCCCGAAAGUCCAUAAGCUGAAGGAAGCUCGACUGAGAACAGAGCCGCCAGAUCCAAAAGCCACAAACACUAUCGAUAAGAAACAGAUCUUCACUUGUAAAAGAAAUCCGUUUGCAUGCGUUCAAUCACAAGAGGAUUAAAAGCAGAGAAUCGAAAACCCAAAAGCGAAGAACUAUGAAGACGAAAUCCGAGAUAAACUCGGAACCAAGCCGACCGAAACCACCGGAGAAGAAGGUGGCUCGCCAGAGUCAAAAGCCGGCGACUACAUCCUGAGAAAGAAUGAGCCCCAGAGUCGAAAGCCGACCAACCAUCCCUGACGAAGCUGACAGUUGUCGGAAAAGGUCCCGACGGACAGGAAGUUGAUCGCCGUAACGAACCGGCGGUCAAACAAAGUCACCGACUCUCAUCUCAAUCUCUCAGUGAAAGGUAUGAAGGAGAGAACAGAGAGAAGAGAGAGGAGAGAGAGUCCCGAUCACUCCACUUCCUAGCUCUACUUAAGUUACCUAUUAUUGAUCAAAGCAAAAAGUUUAAUUACGAGAGAACAGGAAAAAAAACGUUAUGGGGAUGGUCAGGUCAGGUGGCUUACAUAAUUCCCACUUCACUUUUGAAUAUAAUACUUUUUGGCUUCUAACGUACCCAAAAAAUGUUAUAAUAUUCAUGUCGUUAUCUUGCAGUAUUUUAUUUACACAGUCUUGAUUCACAAACGAUAAUGGCCGUAUGGCACCAACUCCUAAAUCUGUUCAGAAACUAUUUGAAUGAAAUCAUCUAAAAUAAAAAAUAUUAUAUGCUCUUUUAACUCAAAUCGGUUCAAACCGUAUGAGGAUGAACAUGAGAUUGAUGCUUAACAAUUAACACGGGAGUGAAUCUGAGAUUUGUAUGUGAAAUGUAGACAGCAAAAAAAUGUUUGGUUCAUAAAUAAAUAAAUGAACAUAAUCUAAAACCUUGUCUACUCAUACAUUCAUACAAGCAAAAAAAAAACACAUUUGCUGUUGUUUUGUUUUUUUUUUUGGCUUCUGCGGAUAGAAAGAAAGUGUGCAAGUGGGUUAUAUUGCAGCUCCUUCCACGCAUGAAACUUCACUCUUACAUCCUUCACUUCUGAUCCACUCCAACACCGAAGAACAGUCCUCUCGUCCAACGAAAUGCCUUCAUAAAACAGAUUCACAACUCAUAACCAAAUGUUUAUAGAGCCAACAAACAGAAUAACUCUCUGAGUCUUCUCUACCUAUUUCUGGGGCGGUAGGCCUUUAGUGCAUUAGCUUCUCGAGAGUUUCUCAUUUCUUUGCUCAUCCUGAUGGAAUCAGGCACCACCAGCGUCUCUGUUUCCUUCUCAUAAGCAUCGUAAAUGAAAUCAAGUAUUGUAUCCUGCGACGAGGAGGACAAAAGGAUUGUAUCACCACCAAAUCAAUAGUGACAUAAAAGAGACUGAAUAGAAUCAGACACAUGUAUGUAUACCAGUGGUUUAGAAGCAUUAAGCCAGUGGUACAUAGGCUCACACCUGAACCAUGUCAUUUGCCUUUUUGCAAAGUUUCUGCGCAUCAAUCAACCAAACAAAGUGAAUAUAUGAAUACCGUGUGGAAAGAAUUAAAACCGCAACUCCAAUUUUUUCACCAGAUAAUUCAAGUCUUUAUGUAGAGGAAUCACCUGGAGACUUGCUGAAAUUUGUUCAAAAACCAAUAAAACUCUCCAGGGGAGCUUACACCCCCUUGUUGACGACAUUUUGACAGAUAUUCCAUCGCCUGAAUGACAUUGAUAUCUAGGAUAAAUAAUUAACUAAUAUAUAAAGGGAUAAUUAAUUAACUAAUAUAUAUCAAUGUAUAUAUAAAAUUCUCCAGGGGAACUGCUAUAUGACAUGACCUCAUGCAAUAUCUAGAGCCCAAGUCCAUAUUCUUCACUGAAGUGUGGACAUGCUUUUAUAUUAGACAGCUAAAACCUUGAUACAGAACCCUUGGCUAAUUACAAUCACUAAUAGAGAUAUUAGAUAGUUUUACCUGUCUGUAGCCAAUGGCCCGAGUUGCAGAACCUGUGUUUGGAAGAAGACCAAGAUCAAGAAGCCAUCUAGCUUCUGACAAAACUCCAUCAGCACCUGAAUUUGAGAGACAACAAGCAUCAAAGAAGACAAACUCAGAAGAGCAUGCAAUUGUUAUCCUUGCAAGCAGUUACUAACCUGAGAGCAUGUCUUCACAUCUGAAGUCAAUAGAUCUAUAGAGAUCAAUCCGUGGACUUGACAGGAAAAAACAAAGGAAGUCAUAGUCCAAAUCCGUCUCUAUGUUCUGGACAGAGAUGUCAUUCUCACUGAAGUCAUCAUUGGCAUCAGGAGAAUUCAAAUUAUCUCGAAAAGAAUCAUAUGGAACACGAAAGGAAGACGGAGGAGAUCCAGUUGACUGCCAAGGUAAAACAAACAAACCUUGAACAGGUUAUGUCUCAUUUUAACUAAUAAUAAUUUUCUCAAAAUCAUGUUCAAACCUUGAGUAUCUCGAGGCUACGCUUAAGCCUGUACCAAUCAUUACGAGCUAAAGAAUAAGCCUUCCGAUCACCAGCAUUGACCACGAACUCAACAGCUGCAUCCCAGUUAUGAUCGGUUUGAAAAUCAAGUAGCGUAUCGUGGACCUCAGAGAUGAUCUCUGGAGAAGGCUUAGGUACAUCUGGCUUCCCAUAGAUAAACCUUAAAACAUUACCGAGAGAGAGAGAGCAUGAUAAUGAUGAAACUAGACUCGCUUUUAACAUUAUACAAAAAGGGGCACAAGACAUACCAUCGGAGGUACAGUCCAGUGCCACCUGUGACUAUGGGAACACGCCCUCUACUAAGAAUGUCUUUAGUAGCUUGCCUUCCAUCUUCGAAAAAUUGUCCCACGGAGUAGUCUAGAGAUAAAGCAUGAAAAAUUGUGAAGUUUCUGGUUAUUGCAUACAUGAGUGUUAGAAAGUAUUUGAGGACUGAAGAAGAAACCUUGAGAGGGAUGCAGAAUGUCGAUAAGAUGAUGUGGCACCUCCUGAAAUAAUUUUGCAUAAACAUACACUUUUUUGAUAAUAAAAUCUGAUUCAUGCCAUUGCCACCAACAUCAGAUUUAAAAAAAAAAAAGAAUAAAUCUUACCAAAUAUUUAUAUAUUAGAAGGAUACCUUUCUAUCACUUGCUGAUGGCUUGGCUGAUCCAACAUCAAGGCCUUUGUACACCUGUUGUCAGUUAAAAACAAAAGCAAGAACCUUUUUAGUAUCACACCAAAGCUGUGGAACUUUAUCAAACUAAGAAGAAGAAGAAAUAAACUUCAACUUCAGCAUUUCAGACACAACCGGGUCCAAGUCCAACCAUUUAGAGUAUCCUAAGACAAUUGAACUUGAAAGUACCAGGCUUGGCCUAGACAAGGGCUCAAAUUAGUCACUCCUAGUGAGCUAUAAUCACUUAACCAGAGAGUACACAAGUAGAAAUGGACCUGGACGGAGUCAGCACUGAUGAUUUCGCCGUUGAGACGCUUAGCUAGCUCCAAGGCGAGCCUGCUUUUCCCGGCGCCGGUGGGACCAGAUAUCACAAUCACCUUCUCCUUAUCGGAGUUUCUCUUCUUAUUCGAAGUGUUCCCGUUUAGAGAAACAGAGCAAGCGGUGGCGCCGCAUAAUCUCCGGCGCAGUACAAGGGAAGGCGGUUGCAGCCUCAAGCAACAUGUACGGGCAGUCAAGAAUACGCUACUGCUAGUCACCAUCACACGAACGUUAAAGGAAGCUUAAAAGCUUGAAGAUUGAAGAUUGAAGAUUGAAGACGUUUGCUACGGAAGGAUGACCCGCGUAAAAGCUCAUCUCGAAGAGAGACGAAGACAGCGAGUGAAAGAAGGAUUAGAGAAGUACGGUUCGGUUAGGUUUACAGAUCAAACCGAAUCCAAAUUAUGAACUGAUUUGAAAAUGGUUUAGUUACAUUGUCGGUUUACAAAAGGAACAAUGGUUUUCCCGGUUGAUUUAUAUCAUAAUUAAAUACAUGCAAUGUUCUAAAAUUUGGUCUAGGCAGCGGGACGCCCGCUUAAUCGACAAAUCCGCUAUGAACGAAACGAUUUGUUACACAAUUUAUUAAAUAUCGGUUUAGGCGUUUAAAAAAUCGGCCUACGGAUCCGCCUUAACAAUAAUUUUAUAUAAGUCACCUAACCCGAUUUUUAAAACAUUGAUACAUGUUACCAAAAUUGAAACAAAUAACAUUUUGUUUUGGAUAUUCCGGUUAAUUAAUUACAUAAUUUUAUCAAAAACUAAAGCAAUAACAUUUUAUCUUUGAUUUUUCUGUUAGUUAAUAUACAUACAAGAUACCAAAAACCAUAACAUUGUUGUUAUGAAUCAGAUUGUGGAUGACCGAUAACCAAGAGAUAUACUAUCAGCGGCCCAAGAAAGAAAGACUCGGUCAGCUUUUCAUUUUCCUUAUGUCUUUAUGUUUUCUUUUUUCCUAGUUGGAUUAUGAUUUGUACUCUUUCCAUUUAUGAUUUAUCUAUGACGGUGUAAUCUCCUGUAUAAUGAACUUCUAUGUUAUGAAUAAAGAAUUAAAGAUAGAUUUUUCCAUUACUUUUACAACAAUUGUGUUUUCGAUUAGUCAACGGAGCCACAAUUGUAAUUAACACUUCACAAACAAAGAAUCCAAGUAUUGGCUAAUAUUGUAAUUAAAAUCAUAUAUUAUCAUUAUCAAAAUGAUCACAAAUUAUGAAAUGUCUAUUAUUCCUUUACGUACGUCACUAGAGAUUAGUAGUAACACUUGAAAAAGACCAAAGAACAAAAGCACAUAGAAAGAGAACAAGAGGGAUUAGGUGAAUAGCUCUCUCUCCAUUAACAGACUUGUAACUAUUAUUGUGAAGCAUCAUAUCCUUCUUGGCGACAUCAUAGACCACGAGAUCAUCGGGGCUUGAAGAAUCCGGGGAGAUGUUGAUCAGAAACUCUUCGGAUGGCCGAGAACUAAUUUGUAACCUCUGCAUCUUGUGGCUUGGUUUGGACUUGGAAACAAAUAGUAUACUAAGUUGCUAAGGAUGUCUUCUUAUAUGGUUUACUGACAACUUUGCAUGUAUAUAUAUUGCUAUUCAUCGUAGUUUUCAACAAUCUAUAUAUAAGAGUUCAAAAGUCAAAGUACGUCCUCAUAGAUAUUUAAUGUUGCGUAUUCAAACUCCUGAAGUUAUGGCUUAAGUUAUGAUGAAUAUGAUCAGGGAACUUUGCUUUCAAAAUGUAUAAUAUCUUGUAGGCAUACAAUACAAGUUGUAUUGAAUAGGAAUGUAGGAUCAUACGUAGGGUAUAUAAUACUUUGAAAUGUAAUAUAUGUUGUAGAUGAUCUUAAACCAAAUGUUUCCUACUUAGCUGAAAUAUAUGAGUACUGUCUCACAUGACCUAACCAUGUUUUCCAUAUAGUGAAGUCUUAAUUUACUUGAUAGUAGACGCUUCCUCCCUAAAAUCCAACGAUCUUAUGAAGCAACCAAUUGAUGCAGAAACCUAAAAUCAUACAUGAACAUUGAGUAAAACAGUUUUUGUGGUAUCUCUAAUAAAUGUGGCUGUAAUUGUUAUUUUUUGGAGCAACCAGUUUCAUGAAAAAGUUCAAAACCCCGUUAAAAAUCACAUACUUCAAGAAGUUACAUGUAUGUACUAAUUCCUGGCUGCAAUAAUUAAAUAAUCAUAGAUACAUUACAAAUCAAGACAUCGAGCGUUGACAAGUAUAACACUAGGGAUAAAGCUCUUUCAAAACUUCAAGAUUUGUGUUUGUUUGAAGGCGAACUUGAAGGUGCACAUGUCUUUCCCUCAAGUCAAAGUUCGCGUUCAUAUGACAUUAGACUUCUUAUUUUUAAUAGAAUUUUCAAUUGUUAUAUAAAUGCUUAAACAAAUUUAAUUCUGGAAUUUAUGUUUUUAGAACAAUUCUGGAGUAUACGCUAUAGCAUUAAUACCAAACAAACGUAUCAAGGUUGUUGUAAAAAAAUAAUAUCAGGAUCAAUUUCCAUGGUGGCAUAGUGGUUUUGGAAUGGAAAAAGAGUUGCUAUAUUAGUCCAUUCCAAAAAUCGAUUCUCGUCUGGUCCUAAUUACUAGUUUCACAUGUGGUCAGACAGUUCCGAACACCUUAUGUUAUUAAAAAAAAAAUGUAUCAAGGUUUAUUGAUAUCACAUUUUUGUCCACCGCUUUUAUUGCUGGCAUAUCCAAUCAUUUAAAAAUCAUGUGUUUUAGUUAUGAGGAUUCAAAAGUUCUUGCAAAUCACUCUACCUCACCUUACUUAGGAAUACGAUUGUACUUGAAAAAGCAAUUUAUUUUUAAAAAAUAUAUUGAGCCUCAACUCGGUGUUGAUCUGCCCUAUUCCCUUUCUUGUGAUUAAUGUUUUUUACCAAGUUUUGAAAUACUAUGAAACUUUUUUUCUCUGUAAAAUGAAAAUAUGAAAAUUGAAGCAUAGGUCGGCCAACCAAUGGGGAGUGAUAUCGUAUGCCUGAUUUCGGUUGACCAGAUGUAAUGAACGCUUGCGAUAUGGAAGUCAGAGAAAGCAGAAAGGGUUUUAACUUUUAACUAAAUGACAACAAAGCGUUGACUUAGAAAAAGACAACAAGAAUCACGGAUAAAUAAAAUAGAAAACGACGUUUUCUAAUGCAAUAAUACAUACACAUUCUUCUAACUCGAAUUUGUUUAAUUCCAUAAGAAGUUUCGGGUAAGUAAACUCGAUCGAAGAUGACAUAAUUCUUCAUGGCUACGGUUCAGCCCAUAUAUUAUAUAAAACGUGUAAACGAGAAAGAGAAACGUGAGGACGAGUCAGUCACCGAUCAAGGCAUGUUUCCGACCGGCGAAGUUAGUAGUCUCCGAAGCCAACUUAAUGUUUAUGUUAUUCCAUUUCAGCUGUCAAAGUCAACAAAUGGCCACGUCCAGCUAAUGAAUACUUAAGGUAGACAAACAUUUGAAGCAAUUAUCAAACCGUUUUUUAACUUUUUUAAAACAAAUUCGCAAAUCAAAACCCAAUAUGGCAAUUUUCCCUUAACGAUUUGAACUAUUUUCAGAACGCACUUGACCGAUUAAACCCGAUUAAACUUGAACAAUACAACCUGGGACAACUUGCAGAUUAUGGCCUUUCAGAUAAUUUAUGACAAACCUAUAUGGCUAUAUUUGUACUUUGCAUAGUACAUGUCUAUGUAUAAAUAUAUAAGUUAUAUUAUAUGAAAUUAUAUUAUAUGAAAUUAUAUUAAAUAAUAUGUUAACAGAAAAAACAUGAUCAAAUCAUUUUUAAUUUUUUUUUAUUGUUUUUACAAUAACAAUCUUUUGUAGUUUCUGUUAUAACAUUGUAAAAUUGUUUUGAUAUCAAUGAUUAUUUUGCUAAAAAGACAGCCAAAAUAUUAUUAUAUUUGGCCACAAAUUCAACAACUAUGUUCGCUUUGUAAUAUAUCUAAAUUUAUUACCAUUCAAAAUAUAACAAAAAUAAACGAUAAAAUAUAACUUGUUUAUUUAUAUUUAAUUUGAAAUAAUUCCUUCCUCUCCUUUGUUCAGCUCACAAGUCACGAUGUUCAUCUGAACAACAAAACAUGAAGUCAAACAAGCUCUAAAUCCCCUGUAAUGGAAGACAAGAAAGCAAACAUAAUCGCUACUCUAACCAUCUUAUCCCUCCUCCUCGUCAUAAUCGCCGCCCGUGUUUAUCUAAAACUCUCCAAACCCUUUUACCUCCUCGCCGGCGUCGACAUCUCAUUAAUCCUCGCCGUGUUCUGCUUCCUCGUAAUCCGAAGCCGUUACAACAGAGAGAGAAAGAACCUCGAGUCAAGAUACAUCUCCGAAGGCAGAGAGCUCAGAAUCGAGUACAGCUUCCUCCGAAAAGUCGCCGGAGUACCAACCAAGUUCAAGCUCGAGGAUCUCGAAGAAGCCACCGACGGGUUCAGAGUCCAGAUCGGGAAAGGAGGAUCAGGCUCGGUGUUCAAAGGAGUUUUAAAAGACGGAAGCCAAGUAGCUGUGAAGAGAAUCGAAGGAGAAGAGAAAGGAGAAAGAGAGUUUAGGUCAGAGGUCGCCGCCAUAGCUUCCGUGCAGCACAAGAAUCUAGUUCGUCUUUACGGUUAUUCAUCAGCGAACCGUUACAGAUUCUUAGUCUACGAAUACAUACCAAACUCGUCUCUCGAUGUAUGGAUCUUCCCGGGAAAGAGAAGACUCGGAGUUGGAGGAGGAUGUUGCUUGACGUGGGACCAAAGGUACCAAGUUGCAAUAGAUGUAGCGAAAGCCCUAUCUUAUCUUCACAAUGAUUGUCGGUCCAAGAUCUUGCAUCUUGACGUUAAGCCAGAGAACAUUCUCCUCGACGAGGAUUACAGAGCCGUGGUAACGGACUUCGGACUCUCAAAGCUGGUUGCCAGAGACGAGAGCCGAGUAGUAACUGAGAUACGCGGCACGUGCGGGUAUCUAGCGCCAGAGUGGCUUCUAGAGCACGGUAUCUCCGAGAAGUCUGACGUUUACAGCUACGGGCUCGUGCUCCUAGAGAUGAUCGGAGGAAGGAGGAGUAUAACGAGGGUAGAGAACAAGAGGACCAAGAAGAAGAAGUUGGAGUAUUUUCCGAGGAUUGUGAACCAGAAGAUGAGAGAAAGGAGAGUGAUGGAGAUUGUGGAUCAACGGUUGAUAGAAGCCAAGGAGGUGGAUGAUGAAGGGCAAGUGAUGAAGCUGGUGUGUGUGGCGCUUUGGUGUAUACAGGAGAAGGCUAAGAAUAGGCCUGAUAUGGCUACGGUGAUUGAGAUGCUUGAAGGGAGAGUUACGGUGAAUGAGCCGCCGGAUUCUAAACUGGUUGUGGUCGAUCUUUUGGCGGCAGCUGGUGGGGGUGAUGAUGAUGUUGAUGAUGUGACUACAGGUGUAAGAAGGGUUGUGGAGAUGCCAAAAUUGCAUAUUCAGAGGGGAAGGCAUUUUCGUUUUCCGUCUGUUUGUUCUAGUAUCAUAUCUCCAGUUUCUCCACGUUAGAGCUUUGGUUUGUUUCUUCGUUUGAUAUGUUAAUAAGCACAACAAAACAUAACCGGAACCUACUCUUUGUUUAUAUUUGGUUUUGUUCAAGUCUAAAACUUAGAUUGCUUAGUGUUUUACACUCCAGCCUUUGAAAUGUACUUAUGUAGUAAGCACAACCCUUACAUAACCAAGAUUAGCAAAUGAGCCGAGUCAAUAAAUAAGCUAUCAUUGUCCAAGCACACAUCAGCACAACUCCAAGUGAGAAUGUGAGAUUUAUUUAAUCUAGAAAUUUGUAUUAUUGUUUCAAACCAUUUAGGAAAACAGUAGUACGUACUUGACACUUCUAAUAAUAACAUCAAUAUUAUGUAAAGCUCUUAUUGGUAGUGCACAUGGGUGGCUGAUAUUUAAUUCAUCUUUUUUUUUUGAAUGGAUGUCAAAUUUAUUCAUUCAAUGAAUGCGUCUAUAGUUUGAAGAAACUUAAUUCGUCUUUGAAAUGGUAUGAAGGUUUGAUGUCUCUCUGUGCACUAGAAGUCGUCGCCUAAAGAACGUAGUGAAGAACAAAAGAGAGAGGUUUAAUUUAGAAAGUAAAGAGAGAGAGAUAGAGUAAAGAAAGAGAAUCUUAUUUGCUUGAUUAAUUUGGUUUAUGGGAAGAUCUCAUAUAUAUAGGGGUUAUAAGUAUGGCAAAUGGUAGAUGAGAUAUGAUAAACUAAUAAUCCAUUGUCUUGAGACCUUAAUCCACCAUGCAUGCUUGUCCCUUGUAGUGGCAUCUCCAUUGUCUUGAGACAUUAACCAACCAUGCAUGCUUGUCCCUUGUACUGGUAUCUCCAUUGUCUUGAGACCUUAACCAACCAUCUUGUUUCUUAUUGCUUCAUCUUCACACUCCCCCUCAAGCUUGACCAUAGGGACUGGUCAAGCUUGGAAACCAUGAAGCAUUCCCUCAUUAAAACCUUUAGCUUGGAAAAACCUCAUGGGAUAAAAACCAAGCCAAGGAAAAAGAGUAGAACACUUCAUGGCUAAGAGGAUUAGUGUGAUGAAAAAUCUACGAGUCCUAACUUGGAAUGUAUGAACUCGCAAACCUUGGUGCUUGCAGUCUUGGUAAAGAUGUCAGCUAGUUGAUCCUCACUUCUUGUGUAGCAGGGUAAGAUGAUCCUUUGUUCCACUGCUUGCCUAACUUUAUGACAAUCCACCUCAAUGUGUUUAGUCCUCUCAUGGAACACACUGUUGGAAGCUAUGUGUAUUGCUGCUUGAUUAUCACAAUGCAUGGUGAUUGGAGUUGAUGUCUCUAUACCCAAGUCUCGAAGUAAGUUUCUGAUCCAAAUCAACUCACUAGUGAGCUUCCUCAUUGCCCUAUAUUCAGCUUCAACACUUGAGCAUGACACUAUCUUCUGUUUCUUGCUCUUCCAAGUGACAAGAUUGCCUCCAAUAAAUGUACAAUAGCCGGUAGUGGAUCUCCUAUCCACUCUGUCUCCUGCCCAAUCAGCAUCACAAUAUCCAACUAUCUCUGUAUUUUUGUUGCAUCCUAUCCACACUCCUUGCCCUGGCGCCUCCCUUAGGUAUCUUAGGAUCCUUUCAACCAUGUUCCAAUGGUGUAUCUUGGGAGCUUGCAUAUUCUGGCUUACUUGGUUAACUGCAAAGCAUACAUCAGGCCUGGUGAUGGUGAGGUAUAUCAGCUUUCCUACCAUUCUUCUAUAGUGUUUAACGUCAGCAUAGGGCUUGUCUUCAAUCUCCCCCUCACGCAGCACCUUAUACCCAUCUUCUAGUGGAGUCUUGGCUACUCUCGCUCCAAACUUUCCUGCCUCAUUCAAAAUAUCAAGUGUGUACUUCCUUUGAGAUAAGAGCGGCAUAUUUCUAUCCCUAGAAAGUACUUUAGCUCACCCAAAUCUUUAAUAUCAAAAGUAGACUUAAGAAAGACUUUGGUUGAGAUAAUACCUUCCUUGUCACUUCCUGUGAUGAUAAUAUCUUCUACAUAAAUAAGAAUCACCACAAUUCCUUGCUUGCUUGUGAGUGUGAAGAGUGUAUGAUCAGCUUCUGACUUUACAAACCCUCUUCCAUUGAGAGUUGUACUCAGUUUGUGGUACCAAGCCCUUGGUGACUGUUUUAACCCAUAUAUUGCUUUCUUCAACCUUAGGACAUUCCCUGGCUUGACCAUGUCUUCCAUACCCGGAGGUGGCCUCAUGUAAACCUCAUCCUCCAGCUCUCCUUGAAGAAAAGCAUUUUUGACAUCCAUCUGCCAUAAAUCCCAUUCCAAGUUCACUGCCAAUGAGAGUAGAAGUCUUAUGGUGUGGAGUUUAGCUACUGGUGCAAAUGUAUCCAGAUAGUCUUCUCCAUAGACUUGGGUGUAUCCUCUUGCAACUAGCCUUGUUUUCUUUCUUUCUGGUUUCCCAAAACUCCAUUUUGUUGUGGUGUGUAUGGGCAACUUGUUUGAUGGAUUAUGCCAUGUUUUGCUAAGUGAUGUUUGAAAGCAGUGCUUGUAUAUUCUCCGCCAUUAUCAGACCUAAAAAUUUUGAUCUUGGAAUUGAAAUGGUUAGAUACAUAGUUUUGGAAGUUAAUAUAAUCUUCUAAAACUCUAUCUUUAGUUUGAAUCAAGGUGACCCAUGUAUAUUUUGAUUUUUCAUCUAUGAAUGUAACAAAAUAUUUGUAAAUUAGGUUGAUUUCCCCCCUCAUGAUCAGGAUGGACUGCUUCUACAACUGGUGCAGCUUCAUCAACAGCUGAAGGUAUAGUUUAAGUACUCGGAACCCCACUGGUUUGAGGCUGGCUGAUGUCUAGGCUUUCCAAAAUGAUUCUCAAGUUGUUUGCCCUAUCUGAAGGUCCCUGUGAGAGAUCCUGAAGGAUUUUCUAACUCUUCUCAUCAUAGUACCCCUUUGAUUCCACAAACUUAACAUCCCUUGAGACCAUAACUCUUCUUGAUUCAGGUAUGUAGCACUUGUACCCCUUCUGCGCAUGAGUAUAUCCUAUGAACAUGCCUUUGACACUCUUGGCUUCAAGCUUGUUUCUCUGUUCCCCUGGUAUCAAGACAUAGCACACACACCCAAAAACACGCAAGUGAUCAAUUGGAGGGACAAAUCACCCAAGGAGAAGAUGGCAAGGAGGUUGUAGUGGUAGAUGAAGGCAAAUGGGGUCAGGAGGAUCUCAUGGUGCUGUCUAUCUUGCAAGGCUCACUAGAUCAAAGCAAUUUUCAUAAAUAGUCUUAGAAUUAGGGAAAACAGAUCUCUGAUGUUUACCAAGAAUACAAGCCUCACAACUUCCACUCUUUAAAGAUAGAUUAGGUAACAUCAGUCCUAAGGCACGAUAAUGAGGAUGACCUAAUCUAGCAUGCCAUAAAACAUCACUAGCUAACACAGAAGCAGAAUUGAAAGCACAAGAUAAAUUUGAAAGCUUGGUGUUUUCAAGCAAGUAAAGCUCUCCCUUGCUCACACCCUUUCCCAGCAUCUUCCUGGUCUUAAUAUCCUGAAAGCACACAUCAUUAGGACUGAAAAUAACAUUGCAAUUUAGAUCAUUGGUUGCUCUCUUAACAGAUAAUAAGUUGGAUGUGAAAGUAGGCAUAUAAAAAGCUUGAGACUCCUUAUCAAACAGUUUCAAGUUUCCUACUCCUUCAAUUGGAAUUCUAUCACCAUUAGCAAUCACUACACUCCCUAGAGCAGGUUUAACAUCACUAAUCAGUCUAGCAUCCCUAAUCAUAUGAUGAGAAGCUCCCGAAUCGAUGAUCAAAGGUCUAGUAGUAUGUGAAGCACUGUGAAUAGAAUUAAAAGCAGUGACACUGAUGUUACUAGAGUUUGCAUUGAUAGCCUUGAUAAGGGCUUCAAUGUCUGACUUGCAGAUGAAGGCAUCAUCAGGGGAUGGCUAAGACAUGGCAUGGGACGUGGAUCCACCAGUGUGGGUGGUUGAGAUCAUAGCUCUUCCAUCUUCUCCUAUGUGCAUGGAGCCUGGUACUGUGGUUUCAUGAGCUCUUGCUUCAUGUGCUUUGGCCUGGUUGUAUCUGUUGGUUGAAGCAGGUCUGAGGUGAGGAUGGAGGAUUCAACAAUUGGUUUUGGAGUGGCCUAGAUUCUUGCAGUGCUCACAAGUCACAGACUUGUCUCCUCCUCUUCUUGGUUUGAAGUGUGCUUUGUUGACUGAAGAACUCUCCAUCUUCUCAGCUUUGUUUGCCAUAAACAGUUCCCCUUUUCCACCAAAGAGACCAUCUGAGCCUAGCUCCUUCCGAAGUUGAGCACACACAUCAUCAUAGCUUGGAAGCUCUUUAGCUCUCAAUAUGUGUUUAAGUACAUCAUUGAAGCUUGGGUUGAGUGUGAGAAGCAAUCCAAAGACCUUGUCUUGCUCACGCCUCUCUUCUAGUGUACUAGGAUCAGUGGUACUUGGUCUCAGCAUCUCAAGUUCAGACCACAGCUGGCUGUACUUCCCAAGGUGCUUGGUGAAGUCCAUCUCCUCUUGCUGUAAGUUGUUGAUUGCCCUCUUAACCUCAAAAAUUCUGGUGAGGUUUGAAGUGUUGCCAUAUACCUUGUGUAAGGUAUCCCAUAGCUUCUUUGCAGUCUCACAAUGUGAGUAAGACUCCAUGAUAGGAGUAUCAAGUGAGCCUUGCAAGAUAGACAGCACCAUGAGAUCCUCCUGACCCCAUUUGCCUUCAUCUACCACUACAACCUCCUUGCCAUCUUCUCCUUGGGUGAUUUGUCUUGGGGCCUCACUUGUGGUGAUGUGCUCCCAUAGACCUCUUCCUCCAAGAGCUGUCCUGGUCAAUCUCGACCAGGUAAUGUAGUUAGGACCUUUCAGGAUGACUGGAAUCCUAACUAGCUUGUGCUGCUCCAUCUUUGCUUGCUAUUGUCCAGCGGGUAAAAAAUAAAAAAUUUGCCAAGGAGAAAUUUGAAUUUCUGAGGCUAGGCAAGAGAGAAAACAAGGGAAGCCAAGAUAUGUUCUCUAGAAAUGAAGAAAGUAAACCAAACAAGUGAAAGAGUAAGGUGAAUAGAGUAAAUUUGCGGAAGCAGUUUGGUGUUCAAGAGCUUGGAUGCUCUGAUACCAUGUUAGAAAUUGAAGAACAUAGUGAAGAACAAGAGAGAGAGGUUUAAUCUAGAAAGUAAAGAGAGAGAGAUAGAGUAAAGAAGGAGAAUCUUAUUUGUUUGAUUAAUUUGCUUAUGGGAAGAUCUCAUAUAUAUAGGGGUUACAAGUAUGGCAAAUGGUAGAUGAGAUAUGAUAAACUAAUAAUCCAUUGUCUUGAGACCUUAACCCACCAUGCAUGCUGGUCCCUUGUAGUGGCAUCUCCAUUGUCUUGAGACCUUAACCAACCAUCUUGUUUCUUAUUGCUUCAUCUUCACACCUACUUUAUUUAGUAGUAGUUUCUUUGUUUGUACAUGACACAAAAAAGUUAAGAGAAGCAGCUCUUGUGGACUUUACCUCUACUAUCCUUCAGCAUAUAUGUUUGGUGUUUUGUUGUCUGAUAUCAUUGUAUAAGAAUUGAGCUAAUGGGGCUUUUAAAUUAACCAUACUUAACAAACUUGACGUGAUAUUCAUGCAGCCAGGCAGACGUUAUUAGUAUUGGAAUGGAACAUUAGACAAGAGUCCAACACAGGUAAUUGCAACUCAAAAUCCAAAGCAAUAUCGAUGUGUAAAUAAGCACAAUUUUAUAACCAGGAUUGAACAAAACAGGCUAUUUCAACAUUGUUCUGUGGAAUUUUGUUUUGUCUGAAUAGUAAGUAACAAAAUUAUUAUAGACACGAACAUAACACAAAUGUAAAAAACCAUUGAAUGUAACGUAGACUCAUAAAGCCUCGAUUGGAAGCCUUAACCAGAUUUGGUUGGUUCAAAAGUAAACCGAAUCUCCCAAAUUCUAUUAUUAGGGUGAAGACAGAUCAAAACAAAAGACUCGGGGAUAAAAGUGAAGAGAAUCAAUAGUAAAGGGGGCGCUAAGGAAAAAUAAAAGUUGCAAGCCACAUCAAAGUCCAGUUUUAUAUGGAUUGCUGCCGCUGAGCUCUCUCUGUAUCUUUUGGUGGCUUCCUUAUAGACUUCUCCGUCGCUAGACCCUUGCCGAGGUAUCUCUCUCAGGUAAGAUCUGUUUCUGGCUCAUCCUGUUCGUUCCACCAAUUCCUUCCUCAUCAAUAUAUAUAUCGUUUUGAUUUCGUUUACAGCUUUUGUUUUGUUUGUUUCGUUCCGAUGUAAUUUUCCGGCGAAAGCGUCCGAACGGACUCUAUAUUCUAAUGAAUCUUCUCUAUUUAGUUUCUAGAGGUUAAUAGAAAGUUGGAAACAAAGGGAUAAAAUUUAUGUCUUUUUAAAUGUGUUUGUGUCAAUUUUGAAGUUCUAAAAGGUUUAUAUCGCUUUUGAUGUUUAGUUUGAACAAUGUGGUAUUUAUUUUCUGAUGGAAUCAAUGUGGUGUGUAAAACUAAUUGAUGUGUUCCUUUCCCUGCAGAGUUUUUUUUUUCUCCCCAGUUCUUCUUCUCAGCAUUGCUUGUCAUCCAUAAUGAGUCUCUCUGGUGCUGCUGCAGUUGGUUCGAGUCAGUGUGUUCCUCUCUUCUUUUUUUUUGCUGCGUUUUGAUUUGGUCUUGAGUGAGUGAAUAACAGGGGGAAAAACUCUCUGUUGCAACGUUAUUGCAGGCAGAAACUUGAGAAAAGCGGUGGAGUUUGGGAAAACUCAUGUGGUUAAGCCCAAAGGGAAACACCAAGCUACUAUUGUCUGGCUACAUGGCCUUGGCGACAAUGGCUCCAGGUACUUCUUUUAUUUCUCUGACGUUGGUUUUGUAAUUUUGGAUUAUCAGCUAGCUAAAUAGUUUACAAUACAUGGCUUCUAUAUUACGGUUUCCAUCUCCGGGCCUUUUUUGAAUUGUGUGGAUAUUUCCUAUACACUAAUGUCUUUGAGUUAUGAGUGUAACUUAUGCUGUAGUGUUUAAGUUUAAGCCUUAUCCAUGUAACUAAGUUUUCUUUCAAGAGUUUUGGUGUUUUUUUCAAUGCAAUGUCGCUUCACAAUCAGCUGAGACAAACCAAGUUAAAUUGACUAUAGAACAGUUUUUUGCUUCUAUUAAGCCAUAUUUUCUCCUGGAGUUUUGAUUAAUACGCAGUCAGUUUUAAAAGUUGGCAGUCAUGACAUUAAAGCUCUUUUUGAUUUUGUCCUUACUGCAGCUGGUCCCAGAUUUUGGAGACCCUUCCUCUUCCGAAUGUGAGUUAUAGGCUUCAAGUGAUCUCCAGCAGUUGCCUUAAUUAUGUUAAGCGUGCUCAGUUACUUUACCUUUUGGUCAAUGUUAACCCAUCUGUGUAUAUGUGAUGUAGAUCAAAUGGAUCUGCCCUACAGCUCCUUCUCAACCAAUAAGUCUGUUUGGUGGUUUUCCCUCCACAGCUUGUAAGUUAUUUUCUACUUAGCAUUCGUCUUUCCUUCUGGUUAGUGGAAACUGUUACUAAUCAAAAUACUAAGGGAGGUUAAGAGAGUUGCACUUAAAUUUUAAUCAUGUUCUUGCAAAUGAAUGUGCCAACCAAACCCCAAUUUUUUUUUGAAAAGUUAGUCUAUAAGGCUCUAAGCAAAGUAGUCAACCAAGUAGUUGGCUUGUGGGCGAGAGUAUUAUUAGCCAACACAUCGUUGGUUUGGCUCCACAUCACUAGACCAAAGAGUUCUUCUAUUGUUCCUUCUUAAUAAUGGGAAUCUCUAUUCAAAAGUUAAUCAUCAGACUCGUGCACGAAUAAUAAUUCUGAACAGUGAGUAUUUUGUGUGAGAAAAAAGUUUGAUGAGUUGGUACUGUUGCAGGGUUUGAUGUUGUGGACCUCACUGAGAAUGGACCUGAUGAUGUAGAAGGACUGGAUGUGGCUGCCGCACAUGUUGCAAAUCUGUUGGCAAAUGAGCCUGCUGACAGUAAGUUUUCCUUCCAAAAACUUGCCUCUUCAUUCCCCUCCAUAUAACCAGUCAAGUUCGACUUUAUUGAGCCUGUUUCGGUUUCUUAUCGAAUCCAUUUCUAAAAAUACUGUGUUAUCUUUUAUUGCUUACAGUUAAGUUAGGUGUUGGAGGGUUCAGCAUGGGGGCAGGGACGUCUCUGUAUUCUGCGACUUGUUUUGCCCUUGGCAAAUAUGGAAAUGGCAAUCCUUACCCUAUCAAUUUAAGCGCAGUCAUUGGCUUAAGCGGGUGGCUUCCUUGUGCUAAGUAAGUCUCCUCUUUGUGCCAAAAGUCCUAACGUUCUUCUUGUUUUAUAAGAGCUUUGAUGGAUCUUUUCUUCUUCGAAGGACACUGACUGGUAAACUAGAAGAGGAGCAGAUCAAGAACCGGGCUGCAUCGUUACCCAUCUUAGUUUGUCAUGGAAAAGGUAACUAAGCAAACUAUGUUACCCUUAAAAUUUUGAAAUGUUUCAUCGCUCAAUAUGCAUAGUGUAAAUGCAAUUCAUGCCUUAUUUUGAAUUUUUAAACUUUUAAAAUAGUCUUCCUGUUCUUGUGCUGAUUCAUGUACCUUUGGUUUCUAGGUGAUGAUGUUGUACCGUUCAAGUUUGGGGAGAAAUCUUCACAUGGGUUAAAAAUAAAAAAAAUCGCCAAGAAGAAAUUUGAAUUUCUGAGGCUAGACAAGAGAGAAAACAAGGGAAGCCAAGAUAUGUUCUCUAGAAAUGAAGAAAGUAAACCAAACAAAACUAUGUUACCCUUAAAAUUUUGAAAUGUUUCAUCGCUCAAUAUGCAUAGUGUAAAUGCAAUUCAUGCCUUAUUUUGAAUUUUUAAACUUUUAAAAUAGUCUUCCUGUUCUUGUGCUGAUUCAUGUACCUUUGGUUUCUAGGUGAUGAUGUUGUACCGUUCAAGUUUGGGGAGAAAUCUUCACAGGCCUUGUUAUCACAUGGGUUUAAGAAGACGACCUUCAAAGCUUACGGUGCACUUGGUCACUACACAAUCCCACAGGAGACGGAGGAUGUAUGCGCGUGGUUGACAUCCACCCUCGGCCUCGAAGGUUGAAAAAGGCUUUUCAAUGAUUUGUCACUCUCUGAUGAAAAAAAACUCGUGAUUUUUCAUUGAUUUGGAUUUAAAUCUUUCGGAUUUUCAUUUUUAAGAUGUUACAUUUGGGAUGUUUAAGACUAAGUAGAUAAAGCUUGUCGUUUGGCCCUUCUAAACUCUGUCACCUGACCAUCGGUAGUCUCAGUUGUGUUUGUUUUCUGGUGGUCGAUCGGUUAUUUAGCAAAAAAAAAUUCAUUCCUUUUAAGGUUUUGUUUCUUUGAAAGUAUGCCAAAUGUUAGUGAUAAAAUUAUUUUAACUAGAAAUAUAGAACUAAAAUGUAAUAGAUGGGUUAAUUGAUAAAGAAAAUUAAAAGAACACUAUUUUUUUUAUUUGAAUAUUACUAAUUCAUUAAAAGUAGCUCGACGGUUACGCCUAACUAACUGCACAGUUUAAAAUGUGCGCGACAUAGCUUGACACGUGUGCGCGACAUAACACAACACGUGUUCGGACAAGACUUGUCUGAAUCAUCGUUUCCACUUUCUCACUCCGCCUGAGCUCUCUCUCUAACAUGAUCAUCAAGCGCGAAACAAUGGGGGAGUAAAAAAAAAAACAGAGAUGCUUUCUCUCUUCCUCUCUUCCUCUUCUUCUUCGUACCUCACACUCUCCAGAUCCGUAACUCUCCACUUAUCCCGCCGAACAACACUCUCAUCCCUCACAAUGUCAACGAACCUAAGCACCCACGCGUACGCAGGCAACCCCUUGAAAUCCAAAACCCCAAAAUCCACCGACACCUUCUCACCUUCCUCCGCCUUUGAAUCCCUCAAAGCCCUGAUCCCGCAAAUCCCCAAUCACCCCACGCCUUCCCCCGAUUUCAAAGUCCUCCCCUUUAGCAAAGGCCGCCCGCUGGUGUUCUCCAGCGGCGGCGGAGACGCUUCCACCACGUCGCCUAUCUGGCAUCUGGGGUGGAUCAGCUUGGCUGAUUGCAAGGGUAUGUUAGCGAGCCGCGGGGUUGAUAUGGACGAGGACUCGCUUGUGUAUUUAGGACCCAAGGUGGAGGAAGAUUUGGUGUGUUGGGCUGUUGAUGUGUCUGAAGAAGAAGAAGACGGCGUCGUUUCGGGGUUGGAAAGUAGGAAGCUUUGUUUCGUCGAGCUGAGGACUUUGAUGGUUGCUGCUGAUUGGGUGGAUCAGCGCGCUAUGGAUGAGUUGGCUAUUGCAGGACAUGUAUGUGAGCUGCACUCUUCCAAGUGCAUUUCAUCAUCUUUAUCAUAAUGCUUAAGUUGUCUUGUUUCUGUGGCAGGCCAGGGCAUUGCUUGAGUGGCACAAUGUAUCAAGAUUCUGUGGGUCUUGUGGAGGUACAAAUGUAGCAAAGGAAGCAGGAAGAAGAAAGCAGUGCUCAAACAAGGCUUGCGGAAAGCGGGUUUAUCCCCGGGUUGACCCGGUAUAUGUUUAUCCUAAAAAGCAUGAGUUACUUUGCAGAACUUAAGGCUGAUUGAUUUCUCUAUACCAGGUGGUUAUAAUGUUAGUGAUUGAUCGAGAGAAUGAUCGUGCGCUUUUAAGCAGACAGUCUCGAUAUGUACCUAGAAUGUGGAGUUGUUUAGCUGGAUUUAUUGAGGUAUAGAAAGAAUCUCUCUCACUGCUAAGUUAUUUGUUUUGUAUGUGUAUUGUUACCUAUGCUGCUUUUGCUUAGCCAGGGGAAAGUUUAGAAGAGGCUGUGAGGCGAGAAACAUGGGAAGAGACAGGCAUUGAAGUAGAAGAUGUUGUUUAUCACAGCUCUCAGCCUUGGCCUGGUAAAUUGACUUGUUAUAAUUGGUGUACUAGUUGUAUCAUUUAGCUUGUCUUUGUUAGCUCGUGGUUUACAGAGUCUCGUUAGCUAAUGUUCAAUGCAUGCAUCCUGUAGAGUCAUAUUAAUGAGAAAUUUUACUCGUCUGGCAGAUAAAAAUUGAGGGUAACCUAUAUUAUGUAUUGAUUAGAACAUUAUUUUUUCUUUGAAGAUUAAGAUAUUUAGUCUUGUAUCAUGUUGAUGGGGGUUUGAUCUCUUCGUUUGUGGCUUUUUUUGACCUGCAAAUUUAACAGAACGAUGAUAUGCUUGUCUUAAACUGCAGUGGGACCAAGUAGCACGCCAUGCCAGCUGAUGUUGGGGUUCUUUGCUUUCGCCAAGACUCUUGACAUAAACGUAGACAAGGAGGAAUUAGAAGGUAAGAGUAACUUCAACUCCUUUGGAAAAUCCCCAAGAGUUUCUUAACAUUCAUCACGUUGAGCUCAUCUUUAACAACUACCACCAUGUUGUGUUGCGCAGAUGCUCAAUGGCACAGUAGAGAAGAUGUGAAGAAAGCACUGGCCUUUGCAGAAUACAGGAAGGCGCAAAGAACAGCGGCUUCAAAGAUAGAGCAAAUCUGUAAAGGUGUGGAGAAAAGCAAGAGUCUGACAACUGAUUUCAAUGUGGAAAGCGGCGAGCUCGCUCCUAUGUUCAUCCCGGGGCCAUUUGCCAUAGCUCACCACCUGAUCUCGACAUGGGUAGAUCAGGGUUCUUGCAAUGUUCACUCAAAACCGCAAGCUAGUGUCUCUCUCUCGAGUUUGUAGCUAGAAAGUUACGACUUUGAUGCUUUAGAGAAAUCAAAACGAUUGUUAUAGCUUUGAUGCUUAAUCUGAACUAAUCUUUGCGUAAAGACUUGAAAACUUAAGCUGUGUUAUAAUCUUUGCUUUGGUUUUUAAUUUCUUUUCAUUUAGCUAUUAUACAACAAUCAAUAAGAAAAAAACUACUGUAUUUAUAUAAAUAGAAGGCCUUUUAUUAAUGAUGUGUUUAUGGAGAGUUUAUUGAUUUAUGUUUUAGUAUUAAAUUUUUUUAUCAAGAUUUUGUUUUAAGAAUUCCACCGCUCUGAUUAGAGUUCACCUGAUUUGUAACAGAAAUUAAGGGGAGAAUAGAGGAAGAGCGAAGGAAGAAGAGUAGAGAGUAGUAAACCUUUCCAAGAGUACUUUGUAGUUUACAUAGAGCAAAUUGUAAUUGGGCUUAAAUCAUAAACUAAACAUAAACGUAAGAAGAAGCCCAACUGGCCCAUCUUCAUCCUAAGUAUUCGUAUCAAAUGCACUUUCAAUCUUCAGGUCUCUCACUCACAAGGUUCUAAACCCCUCCCAUUGCGCAACCUUUGUUAUUCUCCGAGAUCUGAACCACUAUGGCUACCUUCUUCCGACGACUCGCUAGGUCAGCUCCGAUCGCAUUCCCGGCCGCACUCCGAUCCCAAAUCAAAUCUGGUCAUGGUACUUUCCGAUUCUCUGCCGGCGCGAUCGCGGCUCUUUCCGGUGGAUUCUCCUGUUACUACCUCACCUCCGGCAACAAUCUGGUGAGCUUUUCUUUUCCAAGCUGGUUCGAGUCAUUUAUAUUUGUAUUUUGGUCAAUAUAGAUUUUGUUUGUAUAUCACAUUCGAUCAGGCGAGUCUAGAGGAACACACUGAUUCAGAUACUGAAAACGCUUUCGUAUCGGUUAAUAAAAUCUUGUGUGUUUGUUAGUGAUUGCUGACUCUCGUUGAUGGAUCUCACAGGCUUAUCUGGAUCAAGCUAAGGAAGAGACUGGACCCAAAACAGGUGCUCUCUUUUUUACUCUCAAGUUAACCACGGUUUUUCCUUUAAUCUCCGAAACGUUUUUACCUACAAUUGAUUUUUAUCAUAUUUCUUUAUGUUUUAUUUUCCUUUUUGCGUCGGGCUCCUCCAUACACUUAUUAUCUGACUGGUUUCAGCUCUGAACCCUGACAAAUGGCUCGAGUUCAAGCUCCAAGACACUGCUACAGUUAGCCACAACACCAAGUUGUUCAGGUCUUUGCUCGACUUACUAACUAUCUUCAUAAAUAUACACAUAUUGGCAAUAGGGAGCGAUGAUAUGGAUAACUAACUAGCUGGUGAAUCCUUUGUUUGUUACUUAUCCUUUCUUGUGUUAUUUUCAACAUGUAUUAAGUAGUUUGUAUCCCUGUAGUGCAUAUGUGGUAGGCAUUAUGAAAUCAUUGUUGGUAAAAAAAAUCCAAGUGGUGUUUAACUUUGGUUCUCUUGUUUUCCUUUUUCCUUGAAUUCUAGGUUCUCAUUUGACCCCUCAGCCAACUUGGGUCUGCAUGUUGCUUCUUGUCUCCUCACAAGGUAUGUUGCGCUCUAACUCGUACAACUUUACAGUAAAACAAAUUUAUUUACUGACAACUUGGGUAAUUUUCUCCGAUGAUAAAUUUCUAACCUGUUUCCUUUUCCUUUGUACAGGGCUCCUUUAGGCUAUAACGCUGAAGGGAAAACGAAAUAUGUCGUUAGACCGUAAGUUCAGCUAAAAACUUCUCACCAGCUUUGCAUGGUUUUUCAUGUCCGGACAACCACUUUUUCUGAUUGAGUUAAAGAACCUGUUAGCCUAGCCGUUGAGAUUACCACUUUGUGGUUUCUAAAUUUCAAAUUUCUGGAUUACUCAAUAUCUUAACUUAUCUUGGAAAUACCUCUUCCAGAUCUUUACUUUUCUUGCUUCCACUUAAAACUCUUUCAAUACUUGUGCUUAUGUACGUGGGGCUUCUAUUAACCAUGUUUAUCUUAUGUUUGUGAAUCAAUCUCAGUUACACUCCUAUAUCAGACCCAGAGGCUAAGGGCUAUUUUGAUUUACUGAUUAAGGUAUGACCGUAUGAGUGUCUUCUAAUAUCCAUGUGCAUCUUUCCACUUUUGCACUAUUUUCUAGCAAAGAACUGAUUGUGUUAUGAUUGAUCUGAUUUCUUCGAUUUGUUUUGAUUUUGUUAUGAUGUGUUCACUGCCUUUUGCAGGUAUAUCCAGAUGGAAAAAUGAGUCAGCAUUUUGCCAGCUUAAAACCGGGGGAUGUGUUGGAAGUGAAAGGGUAUAAUUUCUUGACUUUUAGCAUUUACUUACUACGGUUGUUGAUAGUUCUUUACUUUAUAUAAUGUUUAACUAUUUCUACCUUUUGUUUCUUGUAGACCCAUUGAGAAGUUCAAAUAUUCGCCUAAUAUGAAGAAACAUAUUGGCAUGGUAUAAACCUUUGUUCCCUUAUUACAGCCAAGUUUAUUGAAGCUUUCUUACACACAAUCUGUUCUAUAUAUCGAAAUGGAAAGCCUGAAAAAAACAUAUGUGAAGGUUGAACUUUGAAGAUAGGACUUCACUAGUAGUUUUUUCGUUAUCUCAAUGUAUGGAAUGAUUUCACCUGCUCCCCUUUGUUGAAAUACAAGUCCGUAGAAAUUCAGUUUCUUAAUAAUGGAUACAAGUCAAUGUAAUGACAAAUAAUUUCUGACUGGUAAUUUUGUGUGUUGUUUGUAUCCGUUUUCUCUUUUUACUUGAAGAUCGCUGGUGGAAGUGGGAUUACUCCAAUGCUUCAGGUGAUUGAUACCAUUGUGAAGAAUCCUGAGGACAACACGAAGGUGACCAGUUUAUUGCUACCUUAUUUUUUUCUCAAAAAUGAUUAUUUGUAUACCCCAUAUUGAAGUAUUUAAUCUAUCCAUACAUUGCUUAACUUCUACGUAUUCCAGAUUGUGGUUUCUUUACCCAGAUCUUAAAACUGUUAUCAUCCUUUACAGCUCAUUUGAAAACUGUGUUUUCACACAAAAUAAUCCUAACAUGGAAAUUACAAUUUUGUGUGCACAGAUAACACUACUCUAUGCCAAUGUUUCUCCGGAUGACAUACUUCUCAAGCAAAAGCUCGAUGCACUUCAGGCAAACCACCCAAACCUGAAGGUAGAAUCCUCUUUGAUUUCUUCAAUUGCUUAUUUUACUAGCAUACACUACUCUUAUUAAUAAAAAAUGAAAUGUUUAAAAUGGACAGGUAUUCUAUACUGUUGACAAUCCUACUAAAAAUUGGAAAGGAGGAGUAGGUUACGUUUCAAAGGAUAUGGCUCUGAAAGGCUUACCUCUUCCUGCUUACACUUAUCCUCGUAAGUUACCUUACAACCUUCAGAACCAUUUCUUGUUUUUUGUUAAAAGAAAGUGUUUCUACAAUCUAAUUCCAUCGCUUCUUCCCUUGUGUGCUAUGUAAUAUUUUUCUGCUUAAAUAUAUGACAGUACAUUAAUUUAAUUAGUGAGCUUUUUUCCUUUUCCUUUUGAUUUUGGAGUAUGGAGAUGUUUUAUAUCAGUUUUCAUCAUAACAGACUAUGUUUCUUAAGAGAUCGAGAAUUAGGAUGUUUACGGAUUUGAUUUGCCGAAAAAGAAGUUGUGGAUAGGAGCAAAGCAUUCGCUAUUAAUUAACGUGGUAUUAUUUAUUGUUAUUUCAGGUGUGUGGUCCUCCUGGGAUGAUGGAGCAUGUAUCCGGAGGCAAAGCUCCAGACUGGUCACAAGGAGAGGUUUGUUCCAAUUCGUCAACAUCUUAUCUUGGCAAUAUCUUUUACGUGAAACCUAAAAACUAGUUAAACCGUUUGAUCGAGCUCUUCAUGUCUAAUUGUUACGUUGGUUUGUUUCACUGCAGGUUAAGGGAAUACUCAAGGAACUCGGAUUCACAGAGCAAAUGGUUUUCAAAUUCUGAGAGGAUUAUGAAUCAAAAUUCCGUGACGGGUUUCAUUUCAUGUAAUAAAGUGUCCCCAAGCAAACAUUAAUUGAUGCAGUAUGAGAUUGACACAGUACCUAUCAAGCUUUGAAAAUAAACAAAGCAUAACAGAUCAGUUAGUCUUUUGUCUCUAGAAGGACCUUUGCCAUACUUUGAUUUUGAUGAUAAAUUUCUAUGUGAUUGAGACUGCAAGAUAUUGGAUACGGUUUGAAAGAUAAAAGUUUGUUCAUUUGCGUUCAUGUCUGUGUUUUCGACUCAUGUCAAAUCAUGUGCUUAGAGAAAGAUCCAAAACUCAAGCACUCUCAACUUGGCUAAGUCGUCUUUUGUUCAUUAGCAAUUUGUGUUGGAGUAACAGGAAAUGUGGACUGCCACCAACAUGUCCCAAGUUUUAUUAUAAUCUGUUACUUGUGAAAGAAAAGAUAUAAUUGUCAAUGAAGGAUCCAACAAGUAAAGCAACCAUAUAGCUUGGGGACACAAGACAAACACGUUUCAAAGGAAAAUCAAAUGGAUAGAUAUCAGUAAUUCCCCAAGAACAAAUGCUUGCAGCGUUAAAGAAACCCUCUCCUUCAUCAUUUAGGUUUACUGAGACGGUUUCUCCUCUUCUUUCGUGGAGGAUAGAUACCUGUCAUCAAGCACGUUUAAAGGACUUCAAAAUAAGCUAGAAAACAACACGAUAUGGGCUAAACUGUGGAAGCAAUUGCAUAAAAACAUACUGGCUUCAUCUAUAAAACAGUAAUCCUAUAAGCAAACUUGUUUCCGAGUAGUGCAUCUAGACACGACUAUAUGUGGUUUCUCUGAGGUAUAUAGAAAUUACCCCUGGGCUCUAGCCCAACGAGAGAGCUGGUAGAGCUGAACUGUCUCAUUGGAAGCAUGGCAGGCAAGUAGGAGAUAGUUGCGUGGUUGCACCAUCCAGGCAAAUCUCAUGAACAAUGCAGAGUAAAUACACAUGGCUGUAACAAAACAAAUGGCAUUAGAGGCUUCACUUAGCUACCAAUGCUGCAUAAUAUAAGGAAGGCCUUCAUAAUAAGAUACCUGAGGACAUGUUUCCAGAAAUCAUUUCCGGAGGCUUUUGCAUAUCCACCAAACCCUAUUAUUGUUGAAAAAAAAAAAUUAAAAACGAUGAAUGAAUCCCAUUGGAUCACAAGAAAAGAAAAAGAUUGAGAAAGAGAAAACAUACAGCGGCAACAAAGCCCCAGUUAGCGAUAGGACCCCAGAAAUGGGUUGUUUUAGGUCCAACCGGACUGUUCAAGAAUGCUUGGAACCUUGAUGCUGUUGCCAUUUUAUCUAUUCUGCAAAUAAUAACAAUAAACUAAUCAAAGUUUCAGAAAAGCUAAAACAAGUUUCAUUGUUUUUUCUAUAAAAUGUCAACCAAAGGGUGCUUAGUAAACAGUACAAUCAGAUUAAUUUAUUCAUCAUCAACCGAUUCCAAUUUGACAAAAACUGAAUUACGUAAUCAUCACAAUACAUUUCGAUUCUCAAUCUCAAACAGUUGAGAACAAAGAAUAUAUCUCUCGAAUAAUCCAGGUAAAAGUGUCUAAAGCGAUUUUUAUUUAUUCAUACUAAGCCGAUCUACUUUGUGAUAAGACACAAACCUGAGGGAUGCGAAGUUUUGGGAGCUUGAUGAUGAGAGAAUCCGAGGGAGGGAGAGAGAGACCGAGGAAGGAGUAACAAAACAAGUCAAAAAGACACAAGUGGCUUGUUGGGCUUUCGUUAACUUAAGAUCAGUCGGAAGAUCCACCAAAAGAAAAUAUUCUACAUUAAAUAUGGGCUCUCAUGAAUUGAUUAUCUAAAAGAACAAAUAUUCUUUUUUUUUGGGUCAAAAAAGAACAAAUAUUCUAAAGUUCUAAAAUAGUGGUUAUCAUCAGAAAUAUUAAUAUAUAAUACAUGUUGGGUCUAAACGGUGACCAAGGAAUGAAAGGGAAUAAUGCAUUCUUUGCUAUUCUUAAUUUCUUUUACCAUUUAACAGGAAUAAUUUUUCAUUUCAUUUCCAUUCCUUUUCAUUCUUUUUAUUAUAUUGGAAUAUAGAACAAAUUUGUUCCUCACUAAAGGUAUGAAUGGUGACCAAGGAACGGCGAAGAAUAAUGCAUUCCCUAAUAUUCCUAAAAAAAAUCACAAUUCAUAAAAAUAUAAUUUUUCCUUUUCGUUCUCUACCAUUCCUUUUUUUAGAAAAUAAAUAACAAAGUUAUUCCUUGUUAAAUAUGGGAUGGAACAACCAUUCCUUUUUAUUCCUGCAAUUUUAUUCAUCUACGUUACUUUCCUAUUCGUUCUUCUUGUUUCCAUAAUGGUCACCAGUCGGACCCUAAAAUUGAUAAGGAAUAAUUUUCUUCUUUAUUCCUCUAAUUUUAUUUCUUUCUAUUUUUUCCUUACUCAUUCCUAGUGUUUUUGUAAUAGUCACCAGUGAAGACCAAGUUGUUUAUUCAUAUAUAUUUAGGAAAAUUGAUAAUUGAGAUAACCACUCAUUUUGUUGACCCGCGCAAAUCAAAGUAAAAUCGUUAGGACACGAAACGCAUGUCGUCCAUCUGGACCAAUCUUACAUAAUAAACUUUUUUUUUAUAACUCGUUUUGCGAUGACUGUGACAGUUUUAUUUCCUUCAGCAAUUAGGACAUAUCAAAAAACAGACGGUAAGUUAUGUUCUUCGGUUUCCCCUAUUUUUGGUAAAAUGAAUCUAAUUUUCCUAGAAAUUGUCAGUUUAACCACAAAUGUGGAAACCGUAAUAAGAAAAGAAUAUCGUAAUAAGAAAAUUGGAAAAAUGACAAAGUCUUCGACAACAAAGAAAUAUAUAAAAAAGGAAAAACCGUUUCCCAUAAUAAUUCUUGUUUUCUUUUCUCUCUUUUUUGUUGAAACUUAAUAUGUUUUUUUGUUUACUUCUCUUCAUUUUCUUUUCAAAACCUUUGUGAUGAUCACAAGCAAAUUCCCAUUCCAUUGAAAGAAAACAAACACAAAGAAGAGAACUAUGGCGUUGCAAAGAUCGACGACGUCCUUCAGGAGACAAGGAUCAUCGGGACUCAUCUGGAACGACAGAUUCUUGAGCGGAGAAAUCCGUAACGACGAAAGAAAAGAAGACCGACGUAACGAUCAUCGAGACGGUUCAAUGGCUUCCACCACGGCAACAGUGAAACGUAGCGCAUCUGAUGGAGGACGUAGCAACGGUGGACGGCUGGAGAUUUCUCCAGCGUUGGAUCCACCUUCCCCUGAAAUAUCUGCUGGUUGUGGCUUCUGUUCUAUGUUUUCGUCUAAUCGAAGAAGGAGACGCAGAGGAAGAUCAUCAAGCGCUGGAAGUUCAUAAAACCCUUGAUAUAUACAAUGGAUGCAUAUAUUAUUAUUAUAUUAGGGUUGUUUGUGUGUUCUUCUUUUCUUUAUGUGAAAGUUUCGAGAUCAUGAUGGAUAACAAAGCGAAGGUUUUGCUUUUUUGUUUUAUGACAUGAUGUUUGAAGAGAGUGCUUGUUAUAGAUUUGAUCUUUUCAAUGCUUGUGUGUUUGUGAAACAUUUCGUAACAAAAAACGUCAAAUACAAAGCCAUUUCGGCCAGCCAACGUGUUAGUAUAUUUCAACAUUCAUCAAAAGAGAUCUUGUUACCAAUGAAUGUGGAUUGGAAAUAUUUUUUUCACCAGGUUUCCAUGUUGCCAUAAGGUUGCAAUAUUCCCAAGUAAAAGGAGUUUUUUUGGUGCAAAUUCUUUAAUUUGGAAUUAGUCAUUGUGCUAAAAGUCGGAGACCACAAUAUGUUUGAAAUGAGUGGUAUAUUACUAAAUUAUAGUAUCUUAAUUUCUAGCUUUCUUGUUUUGAAAAAAAAUCUAUGUGAUCACUUAUAUUGAGAGAACUUGAGAAGAGCAUGUUUGUAUUGACCUAAAUUCGAUGUGAUCACUUAUACUGAGCCUUGUAUACUACCAAAGUCUCGUUCCUAAUAGAACCUUUAUACAACAAAGAGUAGAAGAAAUCAAAUAUAGUAGUAAGGCUUGUCUAUGCUACAUGGAGCUCCCAUCCUUCCUACAAAAGGAGUCGUCUCCUAGUAGCUAGUAGUAUCCCUUAAGCUCCUUAUUUUAAGCUACUCUUGUACACUUAAGACUUGAGUGGUAUGUCAAAUGAAUAGUAGAAUAACAUAACGCAAUUCAACCUUUUUGGCAGAAUACACUGAACCGUAUAAAUUUUUUCAUAGCAUGCAUAACUUUUAUAUUCCAAAAUCUUAAAUCACAUUACUCAGGUUUUUAAGGAAUAUAUAUUCCGAGAUUUAUUUCGUUGGACGCAUAGCAGUUAACACAAUCAAAACAAACUCGACCCACAGAUAGAACUAAGGCUUGUAUAGUUGUGCCAACUUUAUGAUAACAUAUUAUAAAAAGAGUAGUAAUAAUGAAUUUACAGUAGGCCUUUUGAAUAUGAUUGGUAUAAGUGACAUCCUAAAACGAAAGAGAGGAAAACAAUAUAUAAUAAAAAGAAGAAGAGGAAAGAAAGAAAUAAAAUCAAUGGGGAGAAGCAGGACGAACUUUGGUUUUGAAGAGGAGAAUGUAGAGUUUGUCCAUUGAGAAAUAAAUAAAACAACCUGUGGAAUGUGUCACGAACGACCCGAAACUUGACCCCACUAUGCAAUGCCAUGCUGGUCCAUACCCUUUGUCAAACUCCUGCAUAUUUAUCAAAUCUCACUUAUAUUACAAACAAUAUAUCAUGCAUAAAUAUUUAUCCGGAAUAUGUUUUAUGUUUCCAAAACAUAGGUCCAUAUUAUUUGUAUUAUUCAUAGUUGUCAUAAUAUUUUCACGAUUUCAAAGUCCUGCUAUGUAUUUAGUAUAUGUGUUGAGUUAGCAUGUUACUACUAUUUUGCAAAAUGUAUUGAUGCUUGUUCCACCACCCUAUUAAUUUAAGGGUACGAAGAGAAGGAUAUCUUUAGAUUUUAAGUAUACUAUAUUUUUUAAAAUCAAACUUCUUUUACUAAAUGUCUAGAGAGAAGAGAACUAAUAGUCAAAGCCGCAUCGAUCAUUCAUGUGGAGACUGAGAGAGAGAGACAAAAGAGGCAUCCAAAAAUAAGUUAAAAAAGGGAUAAGAGUGGAAGAGGACCACAUGGCUCUGUUGGGUCAUACCCCUUUGGAUGCCCUUUUCAACAUUAGCUGGACCGUUUCCCAUCACUCUGUUUUUAUUAUUUAAUCCUAUUUUGGAGAAAUAUACUGUAUAAUUUAAUCCUAAUAUUAACUUUCCCAUCCAUUUUGAGAUCCAAAAUUAAUUUAUUCACAUCCACACUGAUUAUAUUUUUGUGUUAGUUUUGCAGCCCAUAGAAAACACCACUCAUGUGUUUGAUAUUGACAUUUAAUAUCAUGAAAGCAGAGGCAAUUGGCUAAGAGGUAUGAUGUGUCAUUUUCUCCAUCAUGCUUUGUAUUUAGUUAUUGUAUGUUUUGUAUUGAAAAUGAGUUUUCUGCUAGUUGUUCGUAUAUCAAUACAAGCUAUUACUAGUCUCAUUCAUUUGAUAUGCCCAUUUCAACUAUUUAACCGUCUACAGUAAUUCGAAGACUACAAUAUCACAGAUGUAAAAGUCAUACUCAACUUUAGAAACACUCUAAAAACGCAAAAUGUCAAACAUAAAAAAAUGAGUUUAAAUAUCUUUUAUAUGCUCAUAUGUUAUGAGAAAUUCUAUUGUAUAUAGUUGGAUAGUCCAGUGACUACACAAAUUGAUUUCGUGACCAAUAUGAAACACAAUAGAUACUAUCAUUGGUUAGAUGUAAAUCCUUUUUUUACACAAAAUCAUAUAAAAACAAAAUAUCAUGUUUUAGUGAUAUUGUAAGUUUUAUCGCAGUUUUGUAUUGUUGUUCAUGAAAGUUCGCCUCUUAUGAUAUACUUUUUCAUGUAAAUAAUUGAUAGAAUAGCAGAAAUGGACAAAAAAAAUAAAUGCGAAAAAGGAAGAGAAGAGAAGUGUUAUUACCUUCUUGAGAUUGAAAGCCAUGUGCUUCGAACUAAACUUCUCCAAACUAUCUAACGUCGUUCUCGCACACCUAAACGCAUGUGCUUGCAUAAACCCCGGCAUGUCCGCCGCUAAUAUCCUCACCGUUAACAUCUCCGCCGCUGCAGCUAUCCUCGCCUCCGUAUCCCUCUCCACGUGAGACACCGACUUCCUCCCCUCCUCCGCCGCACCACCACCACCACCACCACCUUUCUUUCUCUCAUUACUAGUAGUCUUUAACUCGAAGAUGUCCCUCCUUAAAUGGUUUUGUGUUUUACUUGACUGGACCACAAUUGAUUUUGAUACCUCUUCUUGAUAUAGUGAUGAUGGUGGGAUCUGGACUUUGUUUGGUGUGGAUUUAGGGUUUAUGAGUGACUGCUUGGAAGUGGUGGUGGAGAACUUGUAGAAGUUCAUGAGACUUUUCUUCUUUUUUGGCUUCUCUUCGUUUGCCAUAUUCAUUUUAGAAGAAAAAAAGUGCGUAAAUAUUAGUGGGACUCUUUAAUGGUGCAUAUGCGUCAUUUAUAAGGAAGCGUCAGAAGAGAGCAAAUGAGUCCUCUCUCAAUUAUUCUCGCUUAAAGUUUGCAACUGCAUAGAAUAUAAUAAUAUAUUUAUAAUUAAAAAUUGGAGGGCAUCCUAUACGUACCAUUUAUAACAUUUUCUUAUGAAAUUAUAUACAUGUGAAGAAGGAUUGUGGUUUGAAAUCGGAACAAGCGAGGAGUGUACAAAAUAUUAACUAAUCUGGCUUCACAUGUGCAUAGCUUGCCUAGCUGCAUCUAAAAUAGGUUCGGAUAUUAUAAGCUUGGACAAUGAUCGUUUUCUAUAUAUAUGAGCCAAGCUUAAUUAUAUACAAAUUAAAUAACACUGGUGUUUGAGCUAAAUUUAAAUAAGUAGUCGUUUAGCAGUUUGAAAUAUACAACCAUACAAGUGAUUAUGACAUUGUUUUGAUAUAGUUUAAGAGAUAACGAGAAUGUUUCGGUACGGUGACAGAACAACAACAUGAAAGCUUUAGUCAAAAUAUUCGUAAUCAUUAAUCACUAAGAAGUAAGAACCCUUUAAUAUACCCCAAAGUAAAACCGUGUUUUAACACCAAGGCAAUAAUAAGAGCAGAGACAAAUUAAAUAAUGUGGAUUAGAAAGUGAAUAGGGUGAUUGAUGAGAAUCAAACCAUGUGGGUUGUUCUAAGUUUAGUGAAAUUAACCUCCUGUUUCUUGACAAUAAGUGUAAUCAACAAUUCAACAUAUAUUGGUUUUUGAAUAUACAUAUACGUAGAUUAGAUAGAUGGAGAUGUUUGUUUUUAUAUUUACAACUUCUUGUUAUUGUUAUGUUGACUAAUUGGGAACAACAUGAUUAAGCCAACCGGGUCCCCUAAUCUGAUAUUUUAUAGUACUCGUUAACCUUAUCGAAUUAUUCUCAGCAAAUCAUGACCCGGUCAUAUAUGGACGGGACCCUCUUGGCUCUUGUCCUUCCAACCAGUUUUGUUAGGGGCAUUACACAAUUUGUUUUAAGUUAAGAACUUAUGUGCAUUUGGUUUAUAUUUUUUUUUGCUGGUCGACAACAAUCUCGAUAAAUAUUUAUGAUGAUACAACAAAAAACAUAAAUGACUUCCAGUUUUCUAAUAGCAUAAGAAUAGCCACAGAUUUUCUGAGGUCAGAGGGUUAUUAAUCCACAGUGAAAUCAAUUUUAAACCACUUUGACAACGAUAUAGAUGAACUCAUUGAUGAUCAGUAGAAUGAUUUUUCCUUGAAUGUUUAUAGGUCUCUUGAUGAUCAAAUGCUACAAAGGCACAAUUUUUUAACCAAACCAAAACAUUCAUUCAUACAUGGGAAGGGUAGAAAAGUCAAUCUAGUCAAGUAAAUUAUUUGGGAUAAAACUGAGAAGUAUACCGCAAAAUGAGCCAAACUAAAGGUAAAGAAAUUAUUGAUAUAGAAAAGGGGUAAGAUAGAUCCACAAAUAAGCAUUUUGGUAAGUUUAAGAUCAAACUUAUCUUAGAUCGAACAGAAAAGGGAGAGAAGAACAUGAGAUAUAGCAAUCUAAAAUGGGCUCAAAACUUGAAUAAAAGCAGAAACGCCAAAGGCCCACUAAGCCUCACUUCCGACUCUUAAUCACAUUUGUGGCGUGACCGGUAGGAUAAGGGAGAGUGAGAGAUGGGUCACGUCAUCCGAUUGCUGCUUAUAAAUCCUCCUCCGUCUUCUUCUUCCUCGCCGCCUCUCCACCUCCGGCGCCGGACUAGUGUCGACUCCAGCUCUGCCUUUUCUCUGCGAACCUCAAUUACCAAAAGCAAGCCCAGGUUCACUUGUCUUUUCUCCGGCGGCAACAACCAGAGGGAGGUUUGUUACUUACUUAUCUUAUCUACCCACACCUUUAUUGAUUGUUCUCAAGCAAAUGGCAUUCAAAUGAAUUGGGAACGAAUCAGAGUAUUCCAAUUGUCUGCAACUCUUCAGUCAAUUGUAUGAAUUGAAAUGGUUUCGAUUAUAUAUUUUUUGACUUUCUCCGCUUACAAAUUGGAAGCUUUAGUAGCAGAUUAACUGGGUUUAGCAUGGAGACUAGAGCUCUUGCGAGAGUUUGUUAGAAGUCUGUUAAUGUGAGGGUUAUUUUUUUUUUUAAUAACCAGAUUGUAUAUCUAGGUGUUUGGUUGGAUGUUUGGCUCAGAGAUACUUUAUAUGUCUGAUUCACACUUUUUAAAAUUAAAGAGUUUUGCAUCUUCAUCGCUUUUCAAGCAUUUUACUUCAACUGAUAAAAGAAAGUUGAAAACUUUAACUCUCUCUCUCUCUCUCUCUCAGGAAAAAAAAGAACAAAUGAGAAAUGAUUAGCUCUAAACUCUAAAGUUGGACAAGGGCAGCAUCGUGACUUUUAGUACCUAAUAUUGUGGUGGUGUUCAAUUUCGUUGAUUGUGCAGGAGCAAGCUCGUAAAUCAUUGGAAAGCGCUCUUGGCGGGAAGAAGAAUGAGUUUGACAAGUGGGACAAAGAGAUCAAGAAAAGGGAAGAAUCUGGUGGUGGCGGUGGAGGCUGGUUUGGAGGUGGUGGUGGCGGUUGGUUUAGUGGAGAUCACUUCUGGAAUGAAGCACAGCAGAUUACCAUUACUCUCUUAGCAAUACUUCUCGUGGUAUGCCUUUUGCUUAUCAAAGCAACCAUUCUUAUUAGAAAGAUAAAAGAGUUUUCUUGUUGUUUAAUGACUGCAGUAUAUGAUAGUUGCGAAAGGUGAAGUUAUGGCUGCGUUUGUGUUAAACCCGUUGUUGUAUGCGCUGCGAGGAACACGGGAAGGAUUAACUUCUCUAAGCUCCAAACUCACGGGAGGAAAAGUUUCUAAAGUGAAUGGUGAUGACUCAGAGGAGAUGUGGAAGAAGGAUGGUUUUAGUGAGGUCUCUGCUAAAGAAAGCGUUGUCCGGAAAUGGGGAAGUGACUGAAAUGGAACUCAUAAAGUUGACUCAAGAAGAAUGCCUUUUGAGUUUCGUACGGUUUCUUUUAAACAUCAAAGUUGAGAUCAAAUGUAGUUUGACUUGUCUCAGUUUUGUAAUGAAGGAUAUGUAUUAUUUUUGUGAACAAGACAAAGGAUUAACUUCUUUUUUAUUUAUUAGCCUCAGUAAACAGUAAUAAGUAUUGAUUUAAUAUUUUACCAAAAUAAAUAAAUAAGUAUAUGUCAUGUGACAAUGUCUUAUGUGUUAUGUUUGAUUAAUAAGUAUACAUCUCUCAAUCAGGAUCAUUAGAGGCAUAAGUCAUGCCUCAUGCGUAAAUAUAUUACCGACCUAAUCAAAGAUGAGGAACUCGGAUACAACAAUGUAGAAAAUAUAAAUCAUUUCCAUAAAUCUCUAAUAUCAAAAUGUAGAAUAUCCUUUCUUGAUGCAUGACCAUGUCACAAGAAUUUCUAAUUCGAGUUGAAAAUUACUAUAAUAUAAUGAGCCAGCCCACAUCGUAGUGAUAUGUUAACUUGGGCGUCAGCAAACCCACUGUCUUAUUAUGUAUGUUUAAAAUUUCAAUAGAUAUUCUUGGACUUAGUAGUACUGUAGUAGUUUUAACAUUAAAGAUUUGUGACAAGUUGAAAAGAGUAACAUACAAGUUUGCAUAUUAGACUAGGUCAAAAAUGGUAUGAAUAGAGACGCGAAUCGGGUGUAAUGGUUGUCCUUUUGGAUGCUUUAAAGUUAAAGAAAGAUGCCAAAGGUUUAUACCCUUUCUUAUACUCACGAAUAUUCCCAUGAUCGAUUGGACCCCCAAAAACUUAUGACCACUCGCAUAUAUUUUAAUAAUAUUCUUUAAAUUCAUAUAUUUUCUCUAAAUCAAAAGUGGUUGUCGUCAAACUACUGCUCGUAAAUGAUCACGGAGAGAUGGAUAGAUCAUGAAGACCCAAUGUCCUACGUGUCCUUUAUCAUGACCAAAUCUGAGCUGUACUUAUUAUAUCAGUAAAAUAUAAGAUUAUCAAUACUCUUUUUGAUGAUUAUUUAUUACUAUAGUUUUAAAAUUAAAACAGGGAAAUACAAAUAUACCAAAUUUUCUUAAAAAUUGGAAUUGGAUCAAUUUAACUAGGCAAUUGCUGGUUUUUUUUUUGACGACAAAAAAAAAACUAGGCAAUUGCCGGUUAUUGUUCAAAAUUUAUUGCAAGGAAAACAUUAACCAGUUGGUAAAAGAAUGUGACGGAUAAUUAUUUUAUUAACCGACAGUUGCCAUGUGUUGUAAUAUCACCCACAGCUAGCAAAUAAAAAAGAUUUAGAAAAAGGAAUGAUACCAAGAGAUAUUCUCCCGAAAUUAAGACAACGAAAAAUGGAUAUUCUAACCCGAAUAUUCCUUUUUCACCAUCCUUAUUAUAUCUCUCAACUUCAUUUCCACUUUCCCUCAUUUUUCUCACACUCAAGGAUUAAAAAAACAUAACAAAAAAAGAAGAAGAAAAAAAAGCAUGAAGUUCGGUAAGAGUCUGAGCAAUCAGAUCGAGCAGACACUGCCUGAAUGGCGUGACAAGUUCUUGUCUUACAAAGACCUCAAGAAGCGCCUCAAGCUCAUCGACUCCAAAAGCGUAGAUCGCCCCACCAAACGUCUCCGGCUCGACGAGAGCUCCGUCGGGAUGUCGAAAGAAGAGAUCAGUUUCAUCCAGUUGCUGGAGGACGAGCUGGAGAAGUUCAACAACUUCUUCGUCGAGAAGGAGGAAGAGUACAUCAUCAGAUUAAAGGUAAAAAAAUUAAUAAAACAUCUCAUUGAUUUGGGCCGAAGCCCAGCCCAUUAUCCCUUCAGGCCUGUAAUAUUUAGUUUUAUAUCUAUUGGUGAAAAUAGGAACUGAGAGAUAGGAUUGGGAAAGCUAAGGAUUCAAAGGAGAAGAUGAUGAGCAUAAGGAAAGAGAUCGUUGAUCUCCACGGAGAGAUGGUUCUCCUCGAGAACUACAGUGCUCUCAACUACACAGGAUUGGUCAAGAUACUGAAGAAGUACGACAAGCGAACCGGUGACCUCAUGCGCUUGCCUUACAUCCAGAAAGUUCUUCAGCAGCCCUUUUCCACUACUGACUUGCUCUACAAGCUCAUCAAGGAGUCCGAGGCGAUGCUCGAUUGCUUCUUCGAGGAUCCUACGGUUUGUGCAGCAGAGUCUGAUGAGAGUGUCCAAGCGGAGCACAAGUUUAUGGAGAGCCUCCACAUGAAGAGUACGAUCGCUGCUUUGCGUGUUUUGAAGGAGAUAAGGAGUAAAAGCUCUACGGUGAGCGUCUUCUCGCUGCCGCCGCUCCAGUUAAACGGGUUAGACAAGAUUCCCUUGUUGGAGCAAGAAGCAAAAUAGAGAGGCUACGCCGUUCUAUUACAGUAGAAGCUAACGUAUUAUAAAAACCAUACAUUAUCAAUGUCUUUGGUCCUUUUAAAAGUCCUUAGGAGUUGUAAAACUUUGUUACUGUGUUUGUGUGUGGUCAUCUGAUAUAAUAUACCACUUUCAGAUUUUAUCUCUUACUCCUCCCAUAGCCAUCUGAUCUCAACAAGUAAACAUAAUAGAUUAUGACUCUAUACUUGGUUUCACAUUCUUGACUUGCUGUCUAAAUGUCACAGUGUGAUGUUAAGAACCAAAGCAAAAAAAAAAGUACAAAACUCUGAAGAAACCAAAUAUAAAUGUAUCAAUUAUCAAUGUGAUGCUAUUAUGCGUUACAACAAAUUAGGAGCAAAGAGAUAGGAAUAUGGACGGUUUUUGAUUUGGUAUUUGCUUAUAAACAAAACUUCAGUCAAAGCCUUCCCAUACACGGAGACCCAUCAUACUGAGCAAUCAAUUAGAGAUUUGAGUUUUUUUUUAGAUGAGAAGCUUCUCAAUAGCAUCCUUGAGAUGCUCGAUUUGUUUUUCCAACAGACCUCCUUCAUCGUUUGAUAUGACAGAACAAGCAAUAACGGAUCUUGAUACACCACAUGCUCUUCCCAAGGCUUGCUUUGAACGCACAAACACAUACGGAACAUUCUUCAACAUCAUUAAAGACAAGAAGAGUUCAGUGACCAAAACAAUAUACGUAAGAUUUAAUUAUUUUAAUCAUGAGAAGUUUAUCAAGAGGAAAAGAUUAGACAGACUAAUCAAACCAACUCAUGAGUAUCUGAAGAACUAAAAAAAACAGGAAAACUAUAUUCAAAACUGGACAAGUAAACCGAAAAGAAGUCACAAGAACAACAUAAAAGGCUGUCUAAGUUCAGGAAACAAAAGCUACUUGACUCUGACAAGACAUAAAAAAAGAAGCAAAUGUCUAAAAAACACAAACAAGGAAGAAACCAAACCUUAUCCUCGGCUAGUAAAGGAAGAUGAAGAAGAAUAUCCAGGGGAUCUACAUCUGUAGCCAUAACCACAAUCUCAGCGAUCCCACGAUUAAGUGCCUUCGUAGCUGAACAAAAGAAAAACAGAGAAAAUUAUACAAAAAUCAGUUUUAGUUUCACAAAUUUAAAAGUACAAAUAUAACAACAAGGUACCUUCAUUAGCACCCUUCUUGAGCUGCUGGUGGUAAGCAGCUUGUUGAAUGAGAUCAAGAAUCGUUAUAGAUAACUGAGAAUCUGCGAGAGGAUAUGCUCUCGAGUUCGCAACUUCUCCAGUCUGCAAGCGAAACAGAAACAAAAAGAACAAACCAAACAAUCAAAGAUAAAACUAGUAGAUGAAAUAGAAAAGAACAGAGAGGAAGAAGUACCAUAUCUUGAGCUGGAAGUUAGGUCCCAGAGAAGUUUUAGGGUUUUUUGUUUUGAACAAAAAAAAAAGUAGGCUAAACAUAUACAUACACCUCUUAUAAUGGGCCUGGGUAAUAUAUUUAGGCCCAUUUGGUUAUCAGUACUUUGUUCUUGUGAAUAUUACUAACCGAAAAACUUGCUUUGAUGGCUCCAAUGUCAUUUAUGUUGAACAGUUCGGCUAAUAGACUUAAGUCUUCACAUAAAAAUAACACAAAGAUCGUUCCAAAUACAAAGACCAAACCCAACAUCCAAAAGAGAAUAUAUUACUCUUUUUCAUCGAAACCCUUGCAUACAGGAAACUGAGUAUCUCAAAGAAGUAAAAUCUACACUGUGAGAAGUCGAGACUCAAAAGAAAAUGAUGGAGACACCCAUCAUGAAGCACCCCACGGACAUCCAAGGGCUCAAACGCUCACCUGUUGUUGCAAGUGUGACAUAACAAAGCAAAGUUUAAUCAACAGAAUGUUUAAACGAAUCACACUAACUGGUAGACGAUAUAGUCCAAAAACUUGUAUUACUAUGGGUUGGAAAUAAAAGUUAAACUAUGAGUAGCUGCAUUGGUUACUAACUAAUUCUUUUUCCUAGAAAGCCUAUCAUUAGUCUCAAUUCAUAAGAACAGACGCAAAAAGGGAAGGAAGGCAUACCUAUUCUAGCAGCCUUCCAAAAGAAUCCUCGAAACCUGCAAUGAGAAAAGCAUAAAAUGUUCAAGCACUUUGCAACACGUUGACCAAAGUGAUGAAUAGAUGCAUCAUGCAUGAGAGAGAUCAUAGAUACAUAGAAAGCACUAGGACUUAUGAAACCAUAUGGAAUGCAAAGUAAGUAUUCACAGAGAUUUAGCUCAAGGCUAGCAAGAAAAUGCAUUAAUAAACGGUUUCGAAGCUCAAAUAAUGUAUUCUUGGUUCUUCUAGGAACCAGUACAAGGUGAAUCCAAUUCAAUAAAAAGGGAGAGUAAAGAGGAUGGUUCAAACCCAGUCUUCUGCUCAAGAAUGGCAGGGAACUGCAUCUUGAGAUAAGUGCAAGUGCAGAUAACAAGCAGCACCACCGUCAGAAAUGAAUGGAAAUUGAACAAAGCUGACUGUCAAAUAUCAAAGAUUAAACAAACUCAAAGCUCAAAUCACUAGGAAAACAAAAAUCAGAGCGGAUCUGAAAAGGCAAUUAUCAUUACCAUUGUAUCUGAUGAUCACUGAAGCACUUUAGAAACUCCUCGAAUCUGAAAAACAUACAUUUAUGAGGAUCAUAGGAAAAUCAACUUGAAGACAGACACAUUCACGAAGAAUCAUGACAAAGAUCGUAAAACACACAAUCAUCAAAACCUAUCAGUUCUACACCGCCGAGAAGAAAAAUUCAUCGGAUCUAUUCGUCAAUUCUUAUUCUAAUUGCAUUGCAGAAGCAUCCGGUGAGUGUAAACAAAAACAAAUCUCUUAGAUGAUAAAGCGAAUCAAACUCCAUAUAUGUACUUGUAAAUCGAGAGAGAUCAAAUCAGAAAUAUCGAGAAAAAGGAGUAGAAACCUGAAUCUGAGCUCAAGGCGAUGGUGAUUCGUAAAAACAAUUAGGGGUUUGAAGCUUGAAUCUAGCAAGCGGUCAGGACGUGAAGAGAGGGAUCGAGAGACGACGGAGGAAGAAACGUUUGCCAGAGUUUUUCUGGUUUUCCCUAUUUUACCCCUUUCUUCCUUAAAUAAAUAACUAAAUGUUUAGGAUUCGGUUAUCAUCUUAAUCUCAUAAAAUGAUAAAAACUAUGGUAAGCAGCAUAAAUAAAAGAUUAUUAUCAAAUGGAAUAUAAAUUAAUCAAAAUCACACCUUAAAACACUAAUAUAUAGUAUUCAUUUAUGCUUUAAUAUAAGAGUCUUGGUAGCCAUUAUAAACUGAGUACCAAAUUAAAGAGUCUCGUCUUGUUCUUUUACCAUCAGUCUAAAGCAUUCCGACCACUACCACACAAGUUGAUCAAAUCCAUGAGAACAGAGUACAACACAUCCAGAGACAAAUGCCCCAACGACUUCCUACUCUCCGACACCCCUUUCCUCUCCUCGGUGCACCCAUUCUCCAUCACAAGCCACCAUGAUAUGCAUCCCUUUACAUCUUCCGGGUUUACUUGCCCCACAAGGCUCACUCUCUCCCCCUCCACUAUCUCUAACGACAAAGACAGAAAAUCCCUGCUCGCUUUUGUCCCUACCGUCCUCGCUUCCUCCAGUAACCAACACACUAUCUGGCUCGCCACCUUCUCAAAAUAGUCAUUUUUAUAAGAUGUUUCCCAUCAAUAAACUGCGUGUUUAUAGGAAACUAACUUUCGGACAAGAAGAGUAUGUCUGAACGUACCUGUUGGAGAAUUAUCACGGGAAGGUCGGCCAAGUCGCACUCGUAUUUGUUCAUGGAGAACAAAUUGCAGGAAGUGCUUUUCAGUAAGCCAACCACAUUGGGCGUGCAUUCCGCUUCGAUACUGAUACAAUCAUCCUUCACCACCACUCUUGUCCGGAACUGCGUUUUAAUAUUCCUCUUACCAUCUAGAGACUGGCUUUCGGACCUUCCUUGAGGGAUGAUUGAUGGAGGAACAGUCAUGAGGACAGUCCAUGAAGAUGUCCGAGAAUUCCACGUAGGAUGAGAUAUCAAAUGAAGAUACGGGACCUUGCAGACCUGUUCAAAGGAAUGAACCCAAGAUGACAACAAGUGACUUGAUGGAGAAUGAACAUCCAAUAAAAUUUAAUGCAUCCGGGAACAUACCACGCUUUCUAGUUGCACAAGAACUCUAGCUGAGAAGAUUCUAUGAGCCAAAGAUAAGCAGAAAUGAUCAAGAAGCCCUGAGUUGUUGUCCUUUGCGGUUUGAUUGGAUGCUCUGUUGCUUUUUGACUUGGGCUGAUCUUUCGCUUUUCCAAAGGCAUGCUCGUGAAAAAUUUGUUGCAAGUAUAUUUCAUAGCUGGCACGACUAGGGAACCCUAGCUUGUUCACACGACAGUCUCCUUCUGCUGAUGAUUCAAUGAGCAUGUUUGCAGAUUCCGACUUCUUGAUGCUGGCGUUUUUGCCAGAUGGGUAGAGAGAUACAAACAAAGAAGCUCCUUGGCCGAUGUUCAUUUCCAUGAAGUUUUCUCGUAUUCCACUGAUGCUGAACCCCACACCUUCACUGAAUGCUUCGCGGUUUAGCAUGUCAAACAACUGGUAAGAAGACCAAAGAAGUGAGAAAAACCGCCAUGUAAAGAUACCAAAGUAGGACGAGAUAAAUGACCAAAAAAACCUACCUGCUCAGCAAAAAUAGAUUUAUGCACCUCCCUCAGUAGCGAAUGAGUCUCUUUAACAGAUUCGUCGUCACUUACAGACUGCUUCUCUGAUAUUGGAUCCUGGCCGGUGGUGGAGUUUAUGUGCUCGUCAGACUCGUUUGGGUUAUCAAUCGAAUUCAGGCCAACAAACCCAAACCGGAGGGAGUACCAUGAAUCUUGGGGUAGAUUAAUGGCCAGCAUACCAGCUGAAUCAUGUUCUACGCGAAUUGUGGAGAGUGUAGAUGGGCGAAAACCAGAAGCCGGAUCAUAUAAUGAACUGUCGGAAAGAUCAAUCGUGAAGCCCUCAUUGCUGGCGUUUGAAGCAAGUACACGCUGUCGCUUGACUUUCCAAUUCCGCUGUAACCUGUAAGCAUGUCAGCAUUGCAAAAAAAAUUACCAUUUGCAAGAAUCAAACAAUCUCUAUUCUGGAAUAUGAAGUCAUCUUAUAAUUUACUGCAAAUUAAAAACAAUGUCAACGGAGUUGGCAUAGUCCUAAGAAGUCCCUACACACACACUGAAUCUUCCUAAAAUACUGCAUAUUCAGGGUUUAGCAACAAAGACAUGUACAAGUGCAAAUAUAGGAUGCCUACACAUUGAUUAACGUUAUAGCAUAUAACAAAGCCUAUGAGCAUAAACGUCCUAGAUCCAAAAAAUGACACCAUUAAUCUGAAGACAAGACAAAUAGCUAUGACAUUGUAAGCAACUUAAAACUAAAAUAAACAAUGCAAAAAGGAACAUCCUCGGAGUUGCAAAACGCCAUUAAAGAAAACAAAGGUUUCCCUAAAGUUUCUUGCUCACAGAAACGGAGCUAACAUAUAAGAAAAGGAAGUUAUUAGCAAAUGAACGAACCUGAUAAGAGCACCAUAAAACCUCGCUUCGCGAUUGACUUUCUGCUCUAAAGAUUUUGCUGAUUGCUUGAAGAAUUUUCCUAAAUGCUGCAGAGAAAACAAGUAUCCAAAGAUGACAUAUAAGGCUUGCCAACACUUUCUCAUGACACUAACAAGCAUCUAACUAACACAAUUACCAGACUACACCCAUCUUCAAUAGAAGUAAAACAACAGUUAGCACAUAAGAAAGUAAGCUACUAGUUACCCUGUAGCUCUGCAACUUGGUAGCAGUAGACACAGCAAGAUCCGAGAGAAUCUCAUUAGGCAUAGGCUUAGGUCUAGUCAUCCCAGCCACCGUCACUGCAUCAUUCGCUUCCACCUACAAAAGAUCAAUCCAUUACUUACUAAACAGCAUUCAUAAUCAUGUAAGCACAUUAGUCACACUCACGGUAUUGAUAAGGUCUAUGAUGACGGAGAGCUCCUGAUGAGCCAACUGCAGAUUCUCCACCAUUCCCUUCCAUUGCCACUGCUCCGGCCCCUCUUUGGACGUCUUCUUCUUCUUCUUGUUCUUGUUCUUCAGCUCGUCUUCCUCCUCCAACGCCCACGCGAAGUCUAUCCUCCGAAUCAACGAGACUCUCUUGUCGUCGUAACCUACAUCGGAGGGAAAACGCUCCGCGCCGUUCUCCUCGAUGGAUUCUAGUCGCUUUAUCGGAAGCCUGUCGAGAGAGAUCUCCAUGUCGCUGUCCAUAUCUCCGCCGCAGAAAACCUUGAGAUUUCGACGGUGACGAGCUUCGCCGCUCCUAAUCGGUUUAUUUAGAUCUAACCAUUCCGGGUCGGGUAUCUUUGUUUUGGGUCAAGCCCAAGUAAUAACAAAGCCCAUAGAAAGCCCAUUUAAUACAAGUGCCUUGUUUUAAGCUAAAGCUUCACACUUUCUAAAACCCUUUCAUUUCCGAUUUGGAUAUCGAUCGGGUUCCUCUUCCAAUUCGUAGGUAUCUUCUUCUUCUUCUUCUUCUCUUGAUGGGUUCUUGUCGAUUUGGGUUUUCGCCGUGAUUUUCAUUCGAUUUUCGUAUCUGGAUCUAUCGAGAGAUUUGUUACAGUGUGUAGUAGUUAUAGAUCGAUGUUUCAGGUUCUUUUUGAAACAAGUUCUCUGGGUAGAAAAGUAGAAAUCUUUAGCUUUGAAUAUCAAUCUAAAUGCUUAAAAAGAAUUCUCUUUUAUUAAUCUAGUAACGGGGUUUGUGCUGCAAGCUUCUUAAUGGUGUUUUUGGAAUGCAGAGUAAGGAGCAAUGAAGGUGAGAUCAUCUGUGAAGAAGUUGUGCGAGUUUUGUAAGACAGUGAAACGCCGUCGACGUGUGUAUGUUAUAUGUUCGUCCAAUCCUAAGCACAAGCAAAGGCAGGGGUUUUGCUCCAUUGCUCAUGAUGGAAUCAUACCUCCUCCCUUGUAAGUGAAUUUAUGUGUUGCUCAAAUUAUUUCUUUGUUAGCUUUUGGAUGAUUAAAGACGUUAAAUGGUUUGUAUAAAUAUGCUAAAUAACCAAAGUCUCUGCUUUCAUUUGACAAUUGUUAAUCAUUUCCUGUCUGACAUUAGUAACUUAGUGUGACAAGCUUUGGUAUCUGUUUUUGAAUCAGAGCCUAUCGUACAGCUACUACUAUAUGUAACCUUUCAAAGAGAACUGAUGUAACCAACGUCACAAACAUUAGAUACAAAUUGAUACAUUGGGUGGGGGGCUCUUGUUUUCUUUUUGCAGAGUGGAAAGUAACAAGAAACUCACUUGACAGUAUUUUUUGAUUAUAUAAAACAGGUUUUCUGAGUCGGUUGCUAAUCAGGAGGUGGUGAGGAUGCCUGGUCAGGGCGUAUCAGCAGGUCUGGCAUCACUUUUACACAAAAGGCCUGAGCCAACAGCAGUUUUCGGAUGGAGGGGAGGUCUUGCAUCCAUUCUCUUCAAGCAAGGGAAUUAGCAAGUUAAACCAGCAUUUACUAUUUUGGAUUUUCUCAAGUUGUAAUCCAAGUUUGUUUCUCAACACAUUUACUUUGGUCCGUGGUAGGCUCUUCUAGACCCGUUUGAUUUGCUUGCACCUUAUAUGACUUGAAUAAAGAGACAUGUUAAACUUGAGUAUUUGCUUUUUAGAUUUUCCAGUGAAGCAUAUGUUGCCUUUAUACAUUUUAUAGUAAACUGUUUAACUAACAUCAGCCAGGGUCAUUUGGACAUGUUUUUUUAUCACAUAUCCGUAAAUUAUAUAAAAUGCGGCUUCACAAAGCACACCCACUAAAUGCGAAUCAAAUACAAAGAAGUGGAGAUAUACGUAGAAGACGAAGACCUUCUCCACGACAAUGACCCCUUCUCUUUUUCACCGUUGAGCCCUCGGCACGUGGGCCCCGCAGGUGAGGUUACAGGAAGCCCACCCAAAUGAGCACAUCCCUGGGCCCCUCACUUUCCAAUCUUUGGACACUUCUACCUUUGGACAUAGUGCUUCUUCAUCACUUCUGUUUAAAUUUCCCACCCCGAUCAAAUCGUCAACAGCUUGAUAUCAAUAAUUGACGCUACACCCUGUAAUUUCCACUUUUCUUCUGUCAUUUCAACCAAUUGAUAUCGAGGAAGGGAUGAAUGAGAACUAUAUUUCCUUCAUACCAAGCACUAGAGCGGAUAAUUAUUCAUUUCACUUUGUAUAUAAUUCGAACAUGAUAAUUUUUUCAAAGGUUAUGUUCUCUAUUGGCUGCCAAUGAAAUUUAACAUGACAUUGAUAGGUUGACCUUAUUUGCAUGGUUAUAUAAAAGUUGUUCAUUGAUAGUUUGAUUAAUGUUGACGGUAUGCUAGUUUAUCAUAAUUGUAAAUUUUGAAUUCUAUAUAAUUGGAUUUAUAAUUGUAUCAACUUUUUUUAUUCUAUACUAUCAAAUUGUACCGCAAUUUAUACAUCUUUGUAUAAAAAAGUCUUGCAUUUUAAUUUCCUUUUGUUAGUAAACAAAAGGUUAUGGCAUAGUAAAGCUUAAUUUCUCCAGGUAAUAUGUUAUAUAUAUAUAUACUUAGCAAAAAUAACAAUAAUAUAUGUAUACCAAUAUGAAUAUUUCUUACCCAAAUGAAAAGCAAAAAAAAAAAAAAAACUACCCACCUACUCCUACAGUAUAAAAGUACAAAUCAAUACGCAUUUUUCAUUUUGUAUCUAUUUGCCCUGCAGCCCUGAUGAGGGUAUAAAACUGUAAACCAAAUCAAAGUUUGCAGUUGAAUAUAUAUAAGCCAUGUUGUCAAUUUAAUUACACUAAUUGUACUAUAAAAGUCAGUAUCAAAGACAAGGUCAUGCACUACAAGAAAACAUCAAGGAUACUGUGGGAAAAAAUUGUCGGAAUUUCGUCGGAAUAACGUUAUUCCGACGACAUACCGACGAAACAAGUCCUCGGAAAUAAUUCCUCGGAAUUUCUUCUUUCCUCAGAAAUCCCUCGGAAUUUUCCGACGGAAUUCCGAGGAAACAAAUUUCCGAGGAAAUUCCGAGGAUCACUAGUUUGUCGGAAAUAUCCACGGAAUAUACCGAGGGAGAACUUCGUCGGGAUAUUUCCUCGGAAGUUCAUCGAUCGAUGCGUUUUUGGACAUAUAUCCAUCGAUCGAUCCGUUUAUAAAAAAAGUUCGGAAUAUAUCCGAGGACAUUCCGAGGAANNNNNNNNNNNNNNNNNNNNNNNNNNNNNNNNNNNNNNNNNNNNNNNNNNNNNNNNNNNNNNNNNNNNNNNNNNNNNNNNNNNNNNNNNNNNNNNNNNNNNNNNNNNNNNNNNNNNNNNNNNNNNNNNNNNNNNNNNNNNNNNNNNNNNNNNNNNNNNNNNNNNNNNNNNNNNNNNNNNNNNNNNNNNNNNNNNNNNNNNNNNNNNNNNNNNNNNNNNNNNNNNNNNNNNNNNNNNNNNNNNNNNNNNNNNNNNNNNNNNNNNNNNNNNNNNNNNNNNNNNNNNNNNNNNNNNNNNNNNNNNNNNNNNNNNNNNNNNNNNNNNNNNNNNNNNNNNNNNNNNNNNNNNNNNNNNNNNNNNNNNNNNNNNNNNNNNNNNNNNNNNNNNNNNNNNNNNNNNNNNNNNNNNNNNNNNNNNNNNNNNNNNNNNNNNNNNNNNNNNNNNNNNNNNNNNNNNNNNNNNNNNNNNNNNNNNNNNNNNNNNNNNNNNNNNNNNNNNNNNNNNNNNNNNNNNNNNNNNNNNNNNNNNNNNNNNNNNNNNNNNNNNNNNNNNNNNNNNNNNNNNNNNNNNNNNNNNNNNAUAUCAUAAAAAAAUCUCCUAGACUCGGGGUUUGGUUCUUCCCCUCUAUAAUGAUCAUGUACCAUCUGCUCAGUACCUACACCAUAAUCUACAUCCGUUCUAAUUGGUUCUUCUAAUCUAACCGCUGGCUGAGGUUCGCUAGUACUACCAUGUUCAUAAUCAGUUUCCCCAUGAUGAUACCAAAUUUUGUAACUUCGUGUAAACCCACUCAAAUAUAGAUGAGUCCAAACAUCCCACUCUUUAAUAACCUUUCUAUUUUUACAAUUAGAGCAAGGACAUCUUAACAUACUUGUUUUUGCUUCCGGUUGUCGGUGAACUAACCCCAUGAAUUCGGUUAUACCUCGUUGGUAUUCUUCCGUAAGCAAUCUCGUGUUCGGAUCCAAAUGAGGUCGAUCGAUCCAAGAACGAAAAUAAUUUGAAGAAGACAUAUUUUUUAUGAAUCAAAUUCGUGUGUAAAUAGAGUAAGAUGGAGGAUGAAGAUAUUGAGUGAAUGAAGAGGAAGAAGACUACUUGUAUUUAUAGUUUAAAUCCUGUCGACAGACCGAGGAAAUUCUGACGGAAUUCCGACGCCAACGGCUAGUUCGUCGGAAUUUCCUCGGAAUUUUGUAAAAUCCCCCAACGGCUCUCCAACGGCUAUAAUAUUUCCUCGGAAUUCAUCAGUUUUUUCCGAGGAACACAUUUUUCCUCGGAAUUUCUUCGGAAUAUUCCGACGGAUUGAUAUUUCCUCGGAAUUCCGUCGGUAUAUUCCGAGGAAAUUCCGAGAAAACUAAAUUUUGUGUUUCCUCGGAAUUUUCUCGGAAAUUCUUCGGGAUAUUUCGAGGAUUUUAUUUUCUGUCAGAAUGUACGUUAGAAUACCGCUGUUUUCUUGUAGUGACGUUAUCAACUUACAAUGAGACAAAAAUAUAUAAAUGGUUAUGGAAGCAAAUCUUCGAUUACAACGUGAGCCUUAAUGCACAUGGAAUCGUGACCCACCCGUACAUAGAGAGAUUCAUGAUGAUUUGUUUUGAUACUCAUAUAAUUACUAUUCAUUUUGUUUAAAAACAAUUUGCAUGUUUUGCACGCAUCUACUAUAUUUUAAUUUCGUUACAUUGUGAAAAAAUGAAUAAUAUUCCAAUACAUGCAUUUAUAUGCAAUGGUUACACGUGUGGAUCUGUAGAGAGAUAUUGGCCGUGGAGUCGUGAACCAUAUUUGGUCAGUGGCUGCCGUCCACUUGCAAUUACGUGACCUUCGGGAACCAACAUUUUUAAAUCAAUGACGUAGGUGUCGCAUUCGUCGCUAGAUUUUUAUUUAGGUUAGCUUUUAUGCUAAGCUGAAUUAGAAUGAACAUUAGGUAGUGUUGAUGCUUCAUUUCUAUAUUGUUUGAUUUCACAUUGUUAAAAUGUCUAUGCAGAUUGUUUGACGCUAGGGACACACAUACGAUAUUUUGUUGUUUUGGAAUAAGACCAUCGUUAAAUUGGAUCCUUAACAAAAAAAUAAUAAUUAAAUAUUUGAGUGGACUCCAAAAAAAAUUAAGGAUGAUAGAAAGCACAAAAUAAAGACUGAUCUUGGAAGAGUUGUUGUACUGUUCGCGAGCUUCAUUGACACUUAACGAUCCGUAAUUGGUUCAUUUUUUAAUUUUUUUUUCGAACAGAAAAAAAAAUGUUUCCUAAAAAACCGUGCCAAAAGUUUCUACUUUAUUCACCAAAUAUUUAAUCAAACAUGUAUUUUAUGCAACAAAUAAAAAUAUAGAUUAAAAGUCUAAUAAUAAUAUAUGAUUUUGUUUGAAGUGGUAAACGUUGAUUAAACAUAUAUUUUGUUUUGUUUUGUUUUCUAGGAAAGAGAAUUAUUAUUUGGUUAGCUUUGAUAUAAGAUGGACAGUUUUGCUUUGAUUAAAUCGUGAUCAUACUAAAUGAUUAGGUUUUCAUAUUCUAAAAGUACUAUUCGUGAAUAAAGAGUUUCAUGAUGAUUUGUUUUGAAAAUUACUGGUAACAGAAAUUAAGAUCCUCUUAGUGGUAAACUCAUUGCUGGAGGAAGACAAAACAAAGUUUAUGUUAUAAAGCGAGGUCUUCUAACAACUGGUUUUAGCCGAGCCAAAAAACAACAAUACGUAGUCCUUUUUUUUUUUUGUUCAACUCAACAAUACGUAGUCCAUUUUAUGUUUUCGAGCUGUCUAUGGUAAAAGUCAAGAACAGAUGAUAUUCCAUGAACUUUCAGCAAAUUAAAAGAAAAUUAAACUAAAAAAACACUAACUCGUCCUAUUGCGUACUAACGAACAGAGCAGAGAAUCCGCACACAAACUCAUAUAUGGAAAAGUCAAAAUUAAAAAUUAUUUCGGUACACAACUUUUGGAGAACCAAACCAAAAAAUAUCUUGGAGAACCAAACAAAAGAAUUAAAGUUCCACGUGAUGAAAAAACUAAUCGACGGCUGGGAUUGUUUCUCCUUCACCUUCCUCAAAUCAAACCACUUCCCCAGUAUAUAUAACUCAUCCGUCUUCACUUCUCUCAUACACAGCUCAGAGGCUACACAGCCACAAACAAACAAAAUCAAAGUCUCAAUCUUUACUUCUUCCUUCGAUCUUAGAACCUCUACGAAGCUUAACCCAGAAAAAAAACUAUGCUUUUACGAAGCGCGUCGACCCCACUUCUCACCUCAUUGGUUCACGUCUCGAGCCCAAGGGAAUCUCCAAUCGAGCCCGAAUCUCUUCAUCAGAUCCAACGUCCCAGAUCUAUAACGCUCUCUUCCUCUUCCUCGUGCUGUUACAGCCCCGUGUCUAUCCACUCCAGCGACGAAUCCACAAGGAGGAUCAAAAGGACAGCGUCGGAGAGCGAUCUUAAACAUCUGACAUCGACUAAGCAUGCGAGUAAGUUCCUCACCGGUGCUCUUAUGGAGGAUAUAGAAGAAGGAAUCGGAUUCGGGCUUAUACCCGCGUCUUCUUACGAAACAGAGGUUGGAGGCGGCGGCGGUGGCGGAGGAGGGAAGAGCAGGAGCGGCGGAAGAUCUGACGGUGGUGAUGAUGGAGAGGAUAGCACAGACGUUCAUUAUCGUAAGAUGAUUGAAGCUAAUCCUGGAAACGGGAUUUUUCUCAGCAAUUACGCCAAGUUCUUGAAAGAGGUAGCCACUUUCUUCUUCUUCUCUCGCUCUUUAUAGAUCUGAAAGUUUGAGACUUUACGUUGUUUUUGAUUUUGGAACAGGUUCGGGGAGAUUACUUGAAAGCAGAGGAGAAUUGCGGGAGAGCUGUUCUUGUGAGUCCUUACGAUGGGAAUGUUUUGGCUAUGUACGCGGAAUUGGUGUGGAUGAUUCAUAAGGAUUCGUCACGUGCCGAGUCGUAUUUUAAUCGAGCUGUUGCAGCUGCUCCUGAUGACUGGUAACUUGUCAAGCUCUCUUCUUUGGUGGAGCUUUGAUUGUAGUGUUAUGACGUUUGUGCUUAUGUAUACUUUUAAUUGUGUUUCUGCAGUUAUGUACAAGCUUCAUAUGCGCGGUUUCUUUGGGAUGCUGAAGAGGAAGAAGAUGAAGAAGAAGAAGAAGAGAGACACGAAGAAGUGCUUGAGCCUCAGACUUCUCGAAUGGAUUUCUUCACGGGACCUUACCCAAUCACGGCCAUGUCUUAACUCGUGGUCUUGGCAUCUUAUAGAUUUAGAUUACGUCUAUGAUCUAUCUUAACCCUUUUGUUUUAAUGUGAAUUUUUUUAAUGUCGUCUCCCGUUCAUGGGUGUUUCUCUGCUUCACUUUUAGAAUUUGUCUCAGUUGUAGACUUGUAGUAAUAUCAUGGAAAGGAAAAUAAGUUACGGAGUAAAAAGUUUUGCUUUUUGAUGGAUUUAACUAGGGGCUGUGAUAUGUUCUUUGACACAAGUAGCUUUGUGGAUCUAUGUCUGAGGUUUUCUUUAAUGACUGAAAGCAUAUUAACAAUGGAGAACAACGACGAAGAUGACUGCUAGUUUGAUAUCCUUCUGAUGCAGGAACCAUUAUGUUUUAAAUGCUCAUUUUUCUGUUUUGCUCAGUUGAUGUAAUGCACACAAGAUAUGGCCAGAUAAACUCUCCCAUUCUGCUAUACACUUCUGAUUACCUGUAAGAUUUAUUGCAUAGCGUGCACUUACUAUUUAUUUCUGUUGAUAUAAUCUUAAUGAAGAAGUUAUGUUAUACUUCCCGGAUGUCUUUGAUUUUUGUCACUGACAUAGCACUUUCCCUCUGCAUUUCAGCGAGAUAUUCUUUAUAAUUCAACUGUAUCCUAGUUUUUCAAAAUAUGUGUGCGACCAUCUUGAUCAGCUAGGGUGCAGUUGUUAAGUGUAAAUCAUAUUUAAUUAGGAUCGCCUCUCUAUCUUACGGUAGAUUUUAGUGAUUGCAAGGAUGGGAGAAGGAACCGCAUCCUUGGCUCGAUAGAUAGGUAAAUAGUCUGAAAUAUACAUUUUAUUUUAGUUAGUAAAUACUUGUUCAAACUGUUUAUAAUAGACCUCUCGUUUAGGCUCUCAACAGGAAGAAUCACUAAGUUCUCACUUAAAAGGGUCCUAAUGAGGCACUGCAAUUCUCCAUGAGAGUGGUGAGCUCUUGAAUGUAAGGUCCUCUUUUACCUGUUGAAAUUGUGUUAGGAAUCUGAGUAAGAUGAUACUAGGCCCAAUAGUAGUUUACACAAAGUUUAAUUAUACAAAGCUUUUUUGUAAACUCUUUGAGGUAUUGUGAUUUGAGGUAGUCUAAGAUUGAAGAUCGUUCCUUAUAUAAAUUUAGUUGAAAACUUGAAAACCAAGAAAUGGUACAUAUUGUAGAUAUACUGGACCAUAAGAUGUGAGACCAAAAUUAUACAGCCGGUGAAUCCAUCAAGAAGAAUAAUGGAAACACUUGAAGAGUAAACCGAUAUUAUUCUAAGCAUAUUUACAUUAUUACUAUAUUAUGUUAGAUUUGAAAUAGGAAAGUUUACAUUAUUAUAUGGUGUUAGCAAUAUGUUAAAGCUAAUCUAUAGUCUUGUAUCAAAUACAACACAAUAAUAUAUUUUUUAUUAUAUUUUAGAGAGCCCGGCUACUAACCUAAAAGAGACUCUAUCUAGGUCUAGUGCUAUGAUCAUGAACUAUGUUGCAUGGAAACUCCGUUGAAGGUCCGUUUCACGUUUUGGAAACGUUUCGGAAUCAGAAUCUCUCGGAAACUUGCGGAAACGCAUUGGAAACUCGUUUCUUAAAAAUUUCAGUUUGAAAACUUAGUUGUUUCUAUUUUGGAAACUCCCGAUUCUGUUUUGGAAACGUUUAAGAAACUCUUUUUUUUUUAGAACAAUUUCUAUAAAUAAUAAUAAAUAUAAGGAUUAGUUUGUUAUUUUAAUAAAUUAGAACAAUUUUUUCAUGUUGUGAAAGGAACUGGAGCACUUACAAGUUUAUACAUUCAGCAACAAAAAACAAGAUUGCUCCGCAAAGAGCAAAAGAUUUGGUAUUUGUGCACACUAAUCUUCGUCUUCUUGUGCACACUAAUCUUCGUCUUCUAUCUAGAAGAAGUCUUGCAUACAAGGAUGUUCCCAAUCAUAUGUGGGACUUUGGAGAUGAUCAAUUUGAUUUACUGGAUGAGACUAAUCUUGGGAGACUUGAGUUUGAGGAUCUUUCUCUUGAUGAACCUGAGUUGGAAGCGGUCAUGUCUGAUGGAGCUAAUGAAAAUGAGGCUGAAGAUGAUGUUAUUGGUCUUUGACUUUCUGUUAUGAUUUUUAUUUUAGUUAAGCUAUUUGAUAUUUAAGUACUGGGUUUUGUUAUUUUGAAUUUUUUAUAUGACUUUGAUGCUUAAUGAUGAUUUAUUUUAUUUUCGUAUGAUUAAAUAGAAUGGCUAUUUAUUUAUUUGUAUUAUAAAAUAUACUAAACAUAAUCAAAUGAAUGCACAUAUUAAUCAAUUAUAUAUAUAUACGUUUCUGAAACGUUUCCAAAGCAAAUAAAAAUACAAAUCAUGUUUCCACGUUUCGAAACGUUUCGUUUCCGCGUAUGUGUUUCCGUUUCCAUGCAACUUAGAUAUAAACCAUUUAGGUCGAAACUCAAUCCCAUACUGGCCUAGUAUUAGUAAUACAUACACGUACAGCCCAUUCUCAGUUAACACUCUUAAUCAUGUUCAUAUUUCAUGCCUAUCGUCAGACCACACCGAGUUUACAGAGAAUAAAAGCUUUGGUUAAUUAGAUCUUUAAGAUCACUUUGUACCAUCAACCAUGUUAACGCCAGUUAAGAGUUGACCAUGUGGAACAAGUCAAGCUCGGAAGCCAUGAAGUAUUCCCUCAUUAAGAACUCAACUAGGUAAAACCCUUUGGGAGAAAACCCAAGUCAAGGAAAUCACGUUUCCGUUUCCAUGCAACCUAGAUCAUAAAAAUCUUAAAGCAACUCGUACCAGAGGAUAACCUAACCAUGUCUAGAUCCACUACACAUUCUUCAACCGACGAAAGAAAAUACACAAAACCAAUAAUCCCAGUUGAUCUUCUUAUCGAUAUAUUCUCGAGACUACCGUUGAAGCAUGUAGCUAGGUUUCGUUUGAAAGAAUGUGAGGAUAAAGAGAUUUAGAUGAAGAACAUUGAAGAACAAAGAGAGAGAGAAAGUAGAUCUGAGAGAAACUCUAUUCCCUUGAUCCUUUAAUUGUGGAUCUGAAUACAAGAAUUUAAAGACCAAGUUGUAUCAGUACAUAAUAUAAAAUAUUGAUUGUUUAAAAAGGAUCUUCAACGGUCACUUUCUCUCUUCUUCUUCUUUUUCUUUGCUUCUCAAGUCUGGUGCUUCUGAUUCUAUACUCAAGUCUGGUGCUUUACUCAAAUAUGGUGAUUCUUAUAAAACCUUAUAAAACCUUAUAAAAGCUUAUAAGUGUUUUCAAGUAUGGCAGCUUAAUUCUCAAGUCUAGCAGCUUAAUUCUGCUUCAUGUCAACACUCCCCCUCAAGCUUGACCAUGUGGAACAAGUCAAGCUCGGAAGCCAUGAAGUAUUCCCUCAUUAAGAACUCAACUAGGUAAAACCCUUUGGGAGAAAACCCAAGUCAAGGAAAAAGAGUAGAACACUUCAUGAAUGAGAGAUCAUUGACAUGAUAGGUCUAUGAGUCUCAAUCUUGGAUGAAUGGACUCACAUACCUUAGUGCUUGUUGCCUUGGUGAAGAUAUCAGCUAGCUGAUCUUCACUCCUUGUGUAGCACGGCAAUAUGAUCUUCUGCUCUACAGCUUGUCUCACUUUGUGGCAGUCUACCUCUAUAUGUUUGGUCCUUUCAUGGAAGACUGAGUUGCUAGCAAUGUGUAUAGCAGCCUGGUUAUCACAAUGCAUCGUGAUUGGCAUUGUAACUUUAAUUCCCAAGUCCUUAAGAAGUCCCUUGAUCCAAAUCAACUCGCUCAUAGCUCUAUAUUCUGCCUCAACACUUGAACAAGACACCACCUUACUUCUUGCUCUUCCAAGUUACCAAAUUGCCUCUAAUGAAGGUACAAUAUCCAGUAGUUGAUCUCCUAUCAACUCGAUCUCCUGCCCAAUCCGCAUCACAAUACCCAACAAUCUCAGUGCUUCUAUUGCAUCCCAUCCAUACUCCUUGACCUGGUGCCUCUCUUAGGUACCUGAGAAUCCUCUCAACCAUGCUCCAGUGGUGUACUUUGGGAGCUUGCAUGUGUUGGCUUACUUGGUUUACUGCAAAGCAUACAUCUGGUCGGGUAAUGGUAAGAUAAAUGAGUUUUCCCACCAUUCUCCUAUAGUGCUUUACAUCUUCAUAUGACUUGUCUUCAAUCUCCCCCUCACGCAUCACUUUGUAUCCUUCCUCUAGAGGUGUUUUGGCAGCUCUUCCACCAAGAUUUCCAGCCUCAUGUAGUAAGUCAAGGGUGUAUUUCCCUUGAGAUAGAAACAACCUUUCCUUAGACCUACACAUCUCGAUCCCUAGGAAGUAUUUGAGCUCUCCCAAGUGUUUGAUAUCAAAUGACGCCUUAAGGAACACUUUGGUCGAGAUGAUCCCUUCUUUGUCACUGCCCGUGAUGAUAAUGUCAUCAACAUAGAUGAGAAUGACAAUGAUUCCUCGCUGGCUAGUGAGAGUGAAUAGGGUAUGAUCAGCUUCAGACUUGACAAAACCUCUUCCAUUGAGUGUGGUGCUUAGUUUGUGGUACCACGUUCUUGGUGAUUGUUUCAAGCCAUAGAUGGCUUUCUUCAGCCUCAAUACAUUUCCUGGUUUGGUAAGGUGUUCCAUACCAGGUGGUGGUCUCAUGUAGACCUCAUCUUCUAACUCUCAUUGUAGAAAAGCAUUUUUGACAUCCAUUUGCCACAGAUCCCAUUCUAAGUUAACAGCCAAUGAGAGUACAAUCUGUAUCGUGUGAAGCUUAGCUAUUGGUGCAAAGGUGUCAAGGUAAUCUUCACCAUAGACUUGAGUGUAGCCUCUUGCAACAAUUCUGGUCUUUUUUUCUUUCUGGUUGUCCAUUCGCCAAGUACUUGAUAGUGAAUAGUAACAUGCUUGUGACGGCCUUCUUGCCUUUGGGAAGCUCACUCUCAAACCAAGUUCCAUUUCGGAUCAUGGCACUAACCUCAUCAUCUACUGAGUCUCUCCAUUCCUUUAUCUCCAUUGCCUCCUCAUAGGUCCUCGGAAUAUACUCUUGAUCUAUGUUGGUGAUGAAGGCUUGAUGAUCUCUUGGAUAGCAAGCAAUUGAGCAAGUUGCUUGAGUGGGAUGGGCUACUGCUUGACUGUUGAAAUACUUCCAAUUUGAUGGACGCUUUCUCACCCUUGUGCUUCUCCUAAGCGGCUGGACCUCUCCAACAAUCUCAGCUUCAACUUCAUUUUGUUGAUCUGAUUCCUUUUGCUGUUGGCUUUUAUCCUGAUCAUGAACCUCUUGCUCUUGAUCAAUAGUCUGUGGAUCCUCUUGACCCAUGUGUGGUUCCUCUUGACCCCUGUGUGGUUCCUCUUGACCACUAGACGAAUCUUCUUGAUUCCCCCCUUCAGGAUUAGGAUGAGAAGCCUCUUCAGCCACAUCCAUACCAUUGCCUUGAUCUAAACUAUGUGCUGAACCAGUAGUUCCUUCAUUCGGUGUCAUGAUGAUACCUAGGCUCUCCAUGAUAAUCCGUAGGUUGUUUGCCCUAUCUGAGGCCCCUUGAGAUAGAUCCUUGAGAUUUUCCCAACUCUUCUCCUCAUAAUAGCCUCUAGAUUCCACAAACUUGACCUCUCUGGAUACUAAGACUCUUCUUGUCUCUGGAGAGUAGCAUUUGUAACCUUUUUGAGUGGUAGAAUACCCAAUGAACACUGCCUUUGUGCUUCUGGCCUCAAGUUUGUUCCUAUGAUCACCUGUUUGCAAUACAUAGCACAAGCACCCAAAUACCCGUAAAUGGUCAAUAGAUGGUUUUCUUUUGUUCAAUACCUCAUAAGGUGUGGCAUCAUCAAGGACUCUUGUUGGAGUUCGGUUGAUGAGGUAGCAUGCUGUCAUGACUGCAUCACUCCAGAACCUCUUAGGCAUGUUGGUGUAGAACAUCAUGGACCUGGCCACUUCCAUCAAAUGUCGGUUUUUCCUCUCAGCUACACCAUUUUGUUGUGGAGUGUAAGGGCAACUGGUUUGAUGGCUUAUUCCAUGCUUGGCCAAGUGGGAUUUGAAAGCUGUGCUUGUAUAUUCCCCUCCAUUAUCUGACCUGAAUACUUUGAUCUUAACAUUGAACUGAUUAAUUAUGUAGUUCUGGAAGUUUAUAAAUGCAUCUUGGACUCUAUCUUUAAAUGGUAUCAUAGUCAGCCAUGUAUAUUUAGAUUUCUGGUCUAUGAAGGUGACAAAAUAUCUAUGAUUUUCCCUAGAAGUGCAUGGUGCAGUCCAGACAUCAGAGUGUAUAAGAUCAAAGCAGUUCUCAUAGAUAGUAGAUGACUUGGGAAACACAGUCUUGCAAUGUUUGCCAAGAAUACAUGCUUCACAACCAUCAUUUUUGAAAUAAACAUUAGGCAAUAACAGGUUUAGUGCUCUAGAAUGGGGAUGACCUAACCUAGCAUGCCACAAUGCAUCAUUUUCUAAGACAGGGAUUGAACUAAAAGCAUAAGGUAAACAUGAUCUAGUCUUGGUGUCUUCAAACAGGUACAAGUCCCCUUUAGUAACACCCUUUCCGAUCAUCUUAAGAGUCUUAAUAUCCUGAAACACAACAUCAUUAGGACUAAAAAUAACCUUGCAGUUAAGAUCAGUAGCAACCUUCUUGACAGGUAAUAGAUUAGAUGCAAAAGAUGGCAUAUAAAAUGCUUUAGUAUCUUUCUCAAAUAGUUUCAAGUUUCCUACACCUUUUAUUGGUAUGCUGUCGCCAUUUGCAAUCAUAACAUUACCUAAGACAGGCUUAACAUUACUGAUUAACCUAGCAUCACUAAUCAUGUGGUGAGAAGCUCCCGAAUCUAUAACUACUGGCUUAAGGCUAUCAGAUGCAUUCAAGGUUGUAACAAGAGCAUUGGGCAGUUUAUAAGAGGCAUUUAAGGAUAAACCAAGUGUGUUACAAGAGUUCUCCUUGAGGGCUUUGAUGAGAGCAUCAAGGUCAGACCUCUUGAUUGUCUCAUCUUGGGUAGUCCUCAUGAUAGAACAGCCACUGAAUCCCAAGGUCUUCCCUUCUCCAGCCGCAACCGAGUUCAUGGGACGAGGAGUAGAUGGCUCGCCCAUUUCACCAGAGAAAUUCCCUCUUGCAUCAGAGUAAGGUGUCCUGAGCUUUUGAGGCUUGAGGUGUGGGUGAAGGAUCCAACAUUUGUCUUUGCCGUGACUUUUUUUCUUGCAAUGGUCACACACCCACACUUUCUUGUCUUCUGGCUUGUAAUACCCCUUGUUAGCUAUGCCCUCAUGUUUGUGCUCAUUUCCUUCAGCCUUGUUGGCUAUGAUGAGGUCUCCUUUGUCACCAAAGAGUCCCACUGAGCCUUGCUCCUUUUGAAUCUGAGCACAAAGCUCCUCAAGUGAUGGAAGCUGCUCACUUCUUAGAAUGUGUUUGAUUAGAUCACUAUAACCCGAGUUGAGAGUGAACAGCAAAGCAAAGACCUUGUCUUGCUCCUUCCUCUCAUUAAGUACAUUCGGAUCAAUGCCGGUCUUAGCAUCUCUAACUCGGCCCACAACGAUCUGAACUUCCCAAAAUGCUUGGAAAAUUCAGUGUCCUCUUGACUGAGAGUGUUGAUAGCCCUCUUGACUUCAACCACCCUACUGAUGUUAGAUAUAUUGCCAUAUACCUUCUGAAGAGUAUCCCACAGCUCCUUGGAAGUUUCACAAUAGGAGUAAGCUUCCAAGAUAGAGGUUUCAAGACUAUUCUGAAUGAUGGAAAGGACCAUGAGAUCCUUCUGACUUCUCUUCCCACCUCCUUUAGCCGCAGCAACAACUUCUUUACCAUCCUCUCCUAGGAUGAUCUUCUUGGUGUCUUCGCCGUCAACAACAUACUCCCAAAGACCUCUGCCUCCAAGAGCGAUUUUGACAAGUCUAGACCAAAGUAAGUAGUUGGUUCCCUUGAGGGUAACCAGAAUAGACACGGAUUUAAAGACAUCAGUGUAGGAGUUUUCCAUUUUUUUUUUUCUGGGAAUGAAAAACAGCUCAAGAACAUGAAGAACUUUACCAAAAAUAGAAAGGGAAAAUCAGAGAUUUGCGGAAGUAAAGAGAAUAGAGUAGAGAUGAAUGAAUCUCAGGAGCUUACUUGCUCUGAUACCAUGAAAGAAUGUGAGGAUAAAGAGAUUUAGAUGAAGAACAUUGAAGAACAAAGAGAGAGAGAAAGUAGAUCUGAGAGAAACUAUAUUCCCUUGAUCCUUUAAUUGUGGAUCUGAAUACAAGAAUUUAAAGACCAAGUUGUAUCAGUACAUAAUACAAUAAAAUAUUGAUUGUUUAAAAAGAUCUUCAACGGUCACUUUCUCUCUUCUUCUUUUUUUUCUUUGCUUCUCAAGUCUUGUGGUGCUUUACUCAAAUAUGGUGAUCCUUAUAAAACCUUAUAAAAGUUUAUAAGUGUUUUUAAGUCUGGCAGCUUAAUUCUCAAAUCUAACAGCUUAAUCUUAAUUCUGCUUCAUGUCAACAUCGUUGCCUUUCGAAAUCAUGGGCAUCCAUACUUGGCAGUCCAUAUUUCACCGAACUGUUUCUCACCAAGUCCUCGAAUCGUCCACGCCUGUUCACCGUUAAUAGUUAUGGCAAGUUAUUCUUCUUCUCUACACCUCAGAUCACUCAAAACCCACAUGCCAACUCUUCUGUUGUAGCCACGUGGUAUAAAACGCAUCCCUGGAAGCAUCAUGAAAGAACCUCAUCGCUCCUCCACGGACGACUGGUAUGUUGUACAGAUGGGGAACGUGAUUAUUAUGCAGAGCGGGUGAUUUGUAAUCCCACCACUGGAGAGCUUCUUACACUACCGAGUAAUGUAUUGCGGGUAUGAUCCCACCGGAAAAAAAAUUAAAUUGUUGUCUACAGCUGCUUACUUCAACACCAACCGGGCUUGGGUUCUGACAUUGGAGACUGGAAAGCUUUUAUGGAGAAUGAUCGAAUGCAAAUACCAUUAUGUUAUGUUCCGUGAUCCUACCUACACUCAUCGUCAUAUGAUUUGCAUAGAUGGGGUUUUGUAUUACCUCGCUUGCAUUAAUAUCAUUGAUAUCAGCCAUUCAACGGACUUUGCGAUAGUUUGCUUUGAUGUUAAAUCUGAGAAGUUCAGCUUUAUCAAUAUAGAUGAUGAAAGCAUGUAUAGAGGAGGUUCUACUUUGAUAAACUACAAGGGUAGAUUAGGUGUGGUUCAGUUUACAGAUUACAAACGAACUCUCUGCUUGUGGUUGCUAGAAGAUGCUGCUGGGAUAAAUAAAUGGUCAACAAAUAUCUAUGAACUGCCUCUUUCGUGGAAACAUCCAUGUACCGAAAAUUUUCAAAUUGUAGGAAUGACUCGUACGUGUGAUAUUGUCUUGUCGCCAAGCAAGUUCUCGGAUCCUUUUCAUGUUUUUUACUACAAUGUUGAGAGGAAGACUUUGGCAAGAACUGAAAUACAAGGGUUGCAAGGGUUGCAAGAGUUGAAGUGUGACCGUCCUUUAGUUUAUAUAUUUCCAGAUUAUGUAGAGGAUCUGAGGCUUAUGGAAAGUCUUUUUUAGGGCUUUUUGUUAUUGCCACUUCUUCUUUUCUAUUUGGUUUUGAAGAUUCUGUAAUUCGCAAAGAUUUGUUAGGGUGGUUAAUGAGAUUUAGGCAUCAGAAGAAUAUAUCGAGCACGUAGUUAUGCAGCUAAUUACUAAAUUUUGAACACCUUUGUCUCGACUUUGCUGGAGUUGUUUUUAUAAAACAUUCAUAAUGUUGAUCAUCUAGGUCUUGUUAUUAACAUUUUGCAAAUCUUGGUUUAUUAAUGAAAGUCAUUACUAUAUAUGCUCUGCCUUUUGAAUCUUUCUUGGUUUCCUUCUAUCUGCUGAACCAUAUUUCCUCUGUUGAAACCUGAUAAAUCACUUUCUAAAGUGCCCAGCUCAAACUUAGCAAGGGAAGUGAUGGUGGACUUGUUUUGGACCCAGUAGAAGAUCUCACCAGAGCGCCACCAUGUCUCCUUAUUCACGACAUUUUAGGGGUCGUUUUGAAAAUUCUGGUAACAUAAAAAGCUCUGAAGCAGGGGAAUCAAGUACCUAUCUAUGUCCCAGACAAGAACGUAUCGUAAGCAUAUAGUGUUAUCAACGAACAAAGUUCUACUGCAAGAACUGCGGACAGGAGGGUUUGUGGAGGGAAAGGCCAUAACCUAAGAACCUGUCCUAAGUCGAAAUCAAUGGUCACUAAAGGCAUUUCCACUGGGUAUCAUCAAUGUGGAAAAUGUAAGUAAAAAAAACACGUUUUACGUGUUGGUCGGCAUGGAUGGUGAGCUGAAAUUGUUGACGUUGGUUUUGUCAAAAAUUGUGAGCUCCAAACACCUUCUUCGUGCUUAUAAAAGGAGAGCUAAGGAGAAGAAGAAAUGCAUCCCAAAACAAGAAAACAGAGAGAACGAGAGAAUAGAAGAGAAGAAAAGAAAAGAAGAAGAAAAAAAAUUAUGAGUAAUUUCUGAGUGUAUUUGAGAUCGGGGUGUGAGUUGUGAGCUUGUAAAAUUUCUCUGGUUGAUAAUAAAAGAUCUGUAGCAGGUCCGGAGACGUAGGCAACAUUGGCCGAACUCCGUUAACAAUUUUGUGUGUGUGCUUCUUUCCCGCUCCCAUAAAUUCUGGUUUACCGCAAAAUUUGACCGCAUAUUUCCUAACAACUGGUAUCAGAGCUUGAGUUACGGUGAUCGGUCAAAUUUUUUGCGGAGUUACUAUUCACGUGAACAGUAAUUCGUGAAUAGUGAAUUUUUGUCGGUAACAUCGGUUUGUCGACGUAGGUGUUCUAAUACACGGUGGUUCCAGAAACGAUGGGAGGCGAAGACGGUUCGGCGCACAGUAUCGGGAAAUUUGACGGUACAGAUUAUGCAUUUUGGAGAAUGCAAAUUGAAGAUUAUCUGUACGGAAAGAAGCUUCAUCAACCGCUGAGCAAGAAGCCUGAGAAGAUGGAUCAGGAUGAGUGGGAGCUCCUUGACAGACAAGUUCUGGGUGUUAUAAGGUUAACACUGUCGAAAAACGUUGCUCACAACGUUGCGAAGGAGAAGACCACUGAAGGGCUCAUGAAAGUUCUCUCUGAUAUGUAUGAGAAACCUUCGGCAAACAAUAAGGUAUUUCUCAUGAAGAAACUCUUUCAUCUAAAGAUGGAAGAAGGUGGCCUGGUUGCCGCACAUGUGAACGAGUUCAACACGAUUGUCAACCAACUGUCAUCAGUUGAAAUCGAGUUUGAAGAUGAAGUGCGAGCACUGAUUUUGUUGGCAUCUCGGCCAAAUAGUUGGGAGCCAAUGAGGGCAGCGGUUAGUAAUUCUGUGGGUACUCAAAAGCUCAAAUUCAAUGAUGUUAGAGAUCGUAUCCUUGCUGAGGAAGUUCAAAGGAUAGACUCUGGGGAGGCAUCAACGAGCUCUGCUUUCAACGUGGAAAACAGAGGGAGAAACCCAGAUAGAAAUAACCGGAGUAAUGGCAGAUCGAAGUCAAGGAAUGGACGGGGUCAGUCCAAAUUCCAACAGCCUGCAGAGUGUUGUAAUUGUGGAAAGACAGGUUACAUUAAGAAGAAUUGCCGAACACCACCGAAAAAGGAAGACAACACUAGAGGCGGAGCCAAUGUAGUGACACGUGAAAUCGCUGAUGCAUUGGUAGUGUCUGUUGAUUCCCCGAGGAAAAUUGAAGCUCAUGAUGCAGCUACAAGUACCACCAAAGCGUCAAUAUCCUAUGUUGAUAGCCCAGUCGAUUCAUGGGUUCUUGACUCAGGAGCGUCAUUCCACACCACACCGCACCAUAACAUUAUGGAGAAUUAUGUUGCGGGAAAUUACGGAAAGGUAUAUCUUGCUGAUGGAUUACCUUUGGACAUAGUUGGUAUUGGAGAUAUCAACCUGAAAAUGUCAGACGGACGUGUGUGGAAGAUUACGAAGGUCAGACAUGUGCCAAAGUUGAUGCGAAAUCUGAUCUCAGUAGGUCAAUUUGAUGAUACGGGGCACGAUGUUAAUUUUGGUGGUGGAGCCUGGAGAGUCAAGAAAGGUUCCAUGGUGGUGGCUAGAGGUCAUAAAAGAGGCACUCUUUAUAUGACGACGAGUUAUCAAGACACUGUUGUUGUUGUCGAGAAUGCCAAACAGACCAAGUUGUGGCAUUGUAGGUUGGGGCACAUGAGUGAGAAAGGGAUGAAACUUAUGGUGGAAAAUGGCGCUCUUCCAGAUCUGAAGACGGUGGAUCAUCAGAUGUGUGAAAGCUGCAUCCUUGGGAAACAGAAACGAGUUAGUUUCUCUAAAGGAGGAAGAGAGCUAAAAUCUGAGAAGUUAGAGCUGGUGCACACUGACGUGUGGGGACCCGCUCCUGUUGCAUCGCUGGGAGGUUCGUAUUACUAUGUGACCUUUAUUGAUGACUCCACAAGAAAAGUGUGGGUUUACUUCAUGAAGAACAAACAUGAAGUGUUUUCGGUUUUCAAAAUAUGGAAAGCCAUGGUUGAGAUUGAGACAAAUCUCAAGUUGAAGUGUUUAAGGCCUGCUAAUGGUGGAGAGUACAUCAGCGACGAGUUCAAGAGAUAUUGCGCUGAUAAUGGGAUCAAGAUGGAAAAGACUAUUCCAGGAACGCCUCAACAUAAUGGAAUAGCGGAAAGGAUGAACCGAACCUUGAAUGAGCGUGCAAGGAGCAUGAGAUUGCACUGUGGAUUGCCAAAGACGUUUUGGGCAGAUGCAAUCAAUACCGCAACCUUCUUAAUAAACAGAGGACCGUCUGUACCGUUGGGAUUUAAGAUCCCUGAAGAAUUUUGGAGUGGAAAGAAAGUAAAUCUUUCUUAUCUAAAGGUGUUCGGAUGCUUAGCUUAUGUUCAUAUUGAUGAUGCUGCAAGAAGUAAACUUGACUAGAAGUCUAAGAAGUGUUACUUCAUCGGUUAUGGUAACGCGGAGUUUGGUUACCGGUUUUGGGAUGAUGAAAAUCGGAAGAUCAUCUGCAGCAAGAAUGUUGUGUUCAACGAAGAAGCGUUGUAUAAGGAUAAGCUAAGAGAAGGCUCGGAGAAGAAAGAGCCUGAAGCUGUUGACUUAGAAGAUAUCCUGACACCGGAGUUGCCACAGGAUACCGCAACAGCAGAAGAAGAAAUCUCUCAAGACGAGAGUGGUGAGGCUGAAGAAAGUGAUGAUUCUGAAGUGGUCCCAUAUACACCAGUCACAGAGUUACGACGGUCAAGCAGAAUCAUCAGAAAGCCAGUAAGAUUCUCUCCAUCGCUCAACUACAUUCUGCUCACAGACAGAGGCAAGCCUGAAUGUUAUGAGGAAGCUAUGCAAGUUGAUGAGUCGAUCAAAUGGGAGCUUGCAAUGAACGACGAGAUGGACUCGUUGUUAUCCAAUCACACGUGGGAGUUAGCAGAUUUUCCUAAGGAGAAAAAUGCAUUGCAUAACAAGUGGGUCUACCGAAUAAAAGAAGAACCUAAUGGGAGUAAGCGCUAUAAAGCGAGGCUUGUUGUGAAGGGAUUCCAACAAAAAGAAGGCGUUGACUACACCGAAAUCUUCUCUCCUGUAGUCAAGAUGGUGACCAUUAGAACGGUUCUUGGGCUGGUAGCACAAGAAGAUCUGCAUCUUCAACAUAUGGAUGUGAAGACGACAUUUCUUCACGGUGAUUUGGAUGAGGAAAUUUAUAUGAAGCAACCCGAAGGCUUUGAGAUCAAAGGGAAGGAAAGCCUUGUUUGCAAGCUGAAAAGGAGUUUGUACGGCUUAAAACAAGCUCCAAGACAGUGGUAUAAACGGUUCGACAACUUUAUUAAAGGCAUUGGUUUCUUGAGGUGUGAAGCUGACCACUGUUGUUACUUCAAAACGCUUGAAGAGUCCUACUUGAUAUUGCUCAUAUAUGUCGAUGACAUGCUGAUAGUAGGAGCAGACUUGCACGAGAUCAAUAGCUUGAAGACGAAACUCUCAGAAGAGUUUGCGAUGAAAGACCUUGGAGAAGCAAGACAGAUUCUAGGAAUGAGAAUCAGUAGGAGCAAGGAAGGUCUUAAGCUAUCACAAGAGGAGUAUGUGAAGAAGGUUCUCAAGAGGUUUAACAUGGAUGACGCGAAGCUAGUCAGUACUCCCCUGGCAAGUCACUUUCGGUUAUCCAGAGAACAGUCUCCAAAGACGGAAGACGAGAUGGCAUGUAUGGAUAAGGUUCCAUAUGCUUCUGCUAUAGGCAGCCUGAUGUACGCGAUGAUAUGUACAAGGCCAGACAUUGCACAUGCAGUGGGAGUCGUCAACAGAUUUAUGAGCAAUCCAGGAAAGGAACAUUGGGAAGCCGUCAAGUGGAUUUUCAGAUAUCUAAAAGGAAAUCCAAGUUUGUCGCCAUGUUUCACGAAGUCUGAGAUGGGAUUGCGGGGAUAUGUUGAUGCUGACACUGGAGGUGACAUUGACAGCACGAAGAGCACAACCGGGUAUGUCUACACCUUUGGCGGUACUGCAAUUUGUUGGGUUUCAAAGUUGCAGAAAAUUGUAUCUCUAUCAAGCUGUGAAGCUGAGUAUGUUGCUGUAACGGAGGCAACAAAAGAGAUGAUAUGGCUACAGUCUUUUCUAGAAGAGCUAGGCCAUGACCAAGGGAAAUGUGUGUUGUACUGUGACAGUAAAAGUGCCAUCGAUUUGGCAAAGAAUCCGGUUUACCAUGCUCGGACGAAGCACAUACAUCGUCGGUAUCAUUUCAUCAGAUCAGCGUUGGAAGAUGAAAUGUUGGUGCUUGAGAAGAUCCCAGGAAGCAAGAAUCCGGCAGACAUGUUGACGAAGGUCGUGCCGUAUGAUAAGCUGAGGUUGUGUGCAACCUUAGUUGGCUUGUUGGAGUAACAAGCUGGGGAGACCUGCUACAUCGAUCAAUGUGUGAAGACAGAUUGAAAUCAGUCUUCAAGUGGGAGAUUGUAAGUAAAAAAAACACGUUUUACGUGUUGGUCGGCAUGGACGGUGACGGCUUAGACGGUGAGCUGAAAUUGUUGACGUUGGUUUUGUCAAAGAUUGUGAGCUCACCAAACACCUUCUUCAUGCUUAUAAAAAGAGAGCUAAGGAGAAGAAGAAAUGCAUCCCAAAACAAGAAAACAGAGAGAGAGAACGAGAGAAGAGAAGAGAAGAGAAGAGAAGAAGAAGAAAAAAAAAGUUUUUUUUUCUCACAAAAAAAUCUUUUUUAAGAAAUUACGAGUAAUUUCUGAGUGUAUUUGGGAUCGGGGUGUGAGUUGUGAGCUUGUAAAAUUUCUCAGGUUGAUAAUAAAAGAUCGGUAGCAGGUCCGGAGACGUAGGCAACAUUGGCCGAACUCCGUUAACAAUUUUGUGUGUGUGCUUCUUUCCCGCUCCCAUAAAUUCUGGUUUACCGCAAAAUUUGACCGCAUAUUUCCUAACAGAAAAUGCGGUGAGAGUGGUCACAACAGUAGAACAUGCUAGAGGCUGGUCAGAGUAAAACCCAGUAAGGGUGGUGAUGAAGAUGGUGUUGGUGAGAGAGCAUAUGCUUGUGGGUUAUGCAAGAAAAAAGGACAUAAUGUAAGAACAUGUCCAAGUAAACGAGCUUCAGACAGUGAUUAAUUUUUGUUUAGAGCUAUAAAUCCUCGGCAAAACACCUAAUAGUAUAACGACCUUAUACAGUGACAUUUGGUACUUUGGUCGGCGCCAGUAUCACAUAUAAACGGUCUCUACCACACAAGUUGUACUACAUAAGACCACAAACUUCCAACAAGACUUCGACACGUGGCCUGUUGAAGUGAAUCAGAAAACCAUAAACUUGUUUUGUUUUCCACAACCAGUUACAUUUCUCCCAUACUAAUUUUAGCAUGAUAACUCCAAAAUCCCAAUGGUUAUACCAAAGUCUUUGGUAAUUUCACUGCUUCUUUCCUUUUGUUACUUUCUUUCAUAUCAAUCUGGAUUUAACUAAACUAUAUCUAUUUCACUCACUUCUUUGUCAACAUAAUAUCUUCAUUUUUAAUAAUUUCAAAAGUUUGAUUAAUAUGGGGUAGCUAGCUACGAUAUUCGAUAAGACCUAUAUAUGACAUAGAGUUCUCGAAAUAGCAAGUCCUGGAAUUACCAAAGUAAGGAACCAGUAAAAAAAGUACUUGUCCUAAUUAAUUUCGACAUGGGUCAUGGUUUAAUCUACAAAGUUGCAAUAGAAAUUGUGUUUCUUCUAUUUAAUAUAGGGUUAAAUUGCUAUAUAGACAUAUAUGGAUAUUUAGUUGCAAAAAUGAUUCAUAUAUAUGAAAAUUGUUGAAGAUAACUUAUUUUUCCUUUUUGUUUUCAGCUUCAAAUUAGUCUCAAUCUACUGUCCAGCCAAGAAAGCAUACUAAGGAAAAGACCAGAGGUUAAAACGACACAUUAUAUGAAGCAAGUGAGAUAGACAGAGAUGAUCAAAUCAAAUGAAAGCAAUAAACAUCAAUUACAGGGGAAGAGUGUUAAGCAAAUCAACUAAUUUUGUUUCAACUUUAUUUCAUUUGUUCUACACGUUAGUUCAAAGUUUUGUUUUCUUUUCUUUUUGGUAGUGUAUAAAGGAGAGAAAAUAGAGUUGGCUAUAUGACUAAGUGAAAUAAGAGAACCACAAAAACAAGCCUUCCAUGACUGUGCCAUCAAGAAAGUAGCUUUGUUUUCCAUCCCAAACUGUCAAAGGUCUCUCUUCAUCUAUACAUUAAUCAAACACUUUCUCUCUCUUUCAUCAAUGUUCCUUUGAGACUAAUGCUCCUCCUUAUCUUCUUCUUCAUAUAAACCACAUAUCUCCUCCUCCAUAUCUUAACAAUUUCAUAGCAAACCCUAAAACUGAGAAGAGAGAGAAAAAAGAUGGGUAGAGGGAAGAUAGAGAUAAAGAGGAUAGAGAACGCAAACAACAGAGUGGUGACGUUCUCAAAGCGGAGGAAUGGGUUGGUGAAGAAGGCCAAAGAGAUCACGGUUCUUUGCGAUGCAAAAGUUGCUCUCAUAGUCUUUGCAAGUAAUGGUAAGAUGACUGAUUAUUGUUGUCCUUCCAUGGACCUUGGUGCUAUGUUAGACCAAUAUCAGAAGUUAUCUGGCAAGAAACUAUGGGAUGCUAAGCAUGAGGUACUCUCUCUUUGAUAUAAUCUAAAGUUUCAUUGUCUCAAAAAAUAUUCUAUGACCAUUGAUUUUCAUGAAUUUCAUUGCCUAAAACAUGUCAGAUCCCUUGAAUCUUCAACUCUAGACGCAGAUCUACUCUAGUGUUUUGUCUCAAACAAAUAUUCUGUGCUACAUAUCAUGAAAUUGAUUCUUUAUUUAUAUUUUCCUAAAAUAUGUCAAAAAGAUAAACCAUGAACCCUAGAUGCAGAUCUACAAAGCUUUCUUUUGUGUAUUAAGCCUAUCAAGCCUCUUUAUUGAUUCUCUUGUACUCAAACAAGACAUGGAGCCACAAAACAUGGAAGUUAUUCUCUUCUUUCCAUUGUUUUUUUUAUUAGUGCUUAGUUUUAAAGCUCUUGAUGAAUAUAUUCUACAGUAAAAACAUAUUGCAUUCACAACCUGUAUUUUGAAACCAUAAAAGACAAUCUUAAGUGUGUUAGAUCCAUAAGUAAUUUCAUUAUUAGGUCAUGAUUAUGGAGAAAAAAACCUGGGGAGUGAUAUUACUGAUGAAAAUGUCUGAACAGUUUACCGAUUUUACAUUUGUGAUUUUCGAAACUAAUUAAAAACUGGGAAGUACUGUUGAAUAGACUUUUUUACAACAGGUUUAGUCAAAAUAUUAUAUUUUUAUUAAUUAGUUCUGACACUGAUAGGUUUUGUUCUCAUAUAUCUCUAUACAGUAAUAAGCUUUCAUAGAGUUGUAAGCCAUUUAAGUGACUGCCUAGUAAUAUCUGUGUAUCUGCAUAUAUAUACUUUUUACAUAAAGCGUGAAUGUGUAUAUAUAUAUAUAUAUAUAUAUGUAUNNNNNNNNNNNNNNNNNNNNNAAAGCGUGUGUGUGUAUAUAUAUAUAUAUAUAUAUAUAUAUAUAUAUAUGUAUUUAUCUGCAUAAAUCAUGAACAUAUAGAGAUCGUCAUGCAUAACCAGAUCUGAGUCUCCAGUUUCUUUUUAAGACAUAUUUUAUGUCUAGUAUAUAGACAAGGGAAUUUUUAGUUUGAUCUAAAUUCUUAAAAACCAAUUUUGCUCAUCUAAUACACAUCCAAAUAAUUUUGGUCUCCAGAACCUCAGCAAUGAGAUUGACAGGAUCAAGAAAGAGAAUGAUAACUUGCAACUUGAGCUCAGGUCAAUCUUCACCCUUGGCCACAUCUUUACCCUAGUAUAUAUAAAACCCUUGGUUAAAAAUGUUAAAUAUCAAUAUAAAUGAGAAAUGGAUAUAAAUCUUGAAUAUAUACAGGCACUUGAAGGGGGAAGAUAUACAGUCUCUCAACUUAAAAAACCUGAUGGCCGUAGAGCAUGCCAUUGAACAUGGCCUCGACAAAGUCCGAGACCACCAGGCAUGAAUAAUAUAUCUGUACAUUCAUUCAUACAUCUCUUCGUACAUUCAUAUUCAUCAACUCUUAUAUGGUCUGUUUGUCUCAGAUGGAGUACCUCAUGACGAAAAGGAGAAAUGUGACCAUAUAAACAAUUUUCUAUACCUUAUUAUUUAGCCUUCAGAUUGAUUAUUAAUUAGUGCUUACAGUUACAUCAAACAUUUUCUGUGGCAGGAAAAAAUGUUGGCGGAGGAGAAUCGGCAACUCAGUUUCCAGCUGGUACAUAAAUAGUUCAUAUAUCCUCGAAGCCUUUAGCGUUAUUGAUUUGGUUUGGAACUAUAUAUUAGUAUGUUUGGUGGGUUUGAUAUAUGCAGCAACAACAGGAGAUGGCUAUAGCUAGCAAUGCAAGAGGUAUGAUGAUGAGGGAUCAUGAUGGACAAUUUGGAUACAGAGUCCAGCCGAUUCAGCCAAAUCUUCAGGAAAAGAUUAUGUCGUUGGUCAUCGAUUGAUCAUUAGAGAUUUGAUGCAAUCUCAUUACCAAUCUACUAUCUAAUUCGUGGCCCUUUGUCUUUAUGAAUGUGUGUGUCUCUAUCAGACUUUUAUUUAGCUUAUGUGUGUUGUUUGCUUAUGAAACCUCUAUGUAUUGGUUGUGUUGUAUGCCAAACCAAACGUGUGAAACUAUUUAAUUAUUGCAUGUGUGAAAACUAAUUAUUCCUUGCUAAGCAAUACAUGAUUCGAGAGGUUUUUUUUUUUGAAAAGUUGUGAGUGGCCUCCGUGCUAGAAGAUUUUUGGAUCACAUUCAAGUUGUAUAAUGUUAUUAGGGUUUAGGACAAGAUGCCUUGAGUUAAGAAAAUUAAGAGUGAUAAAAAACAAGCAUUUAGUUCAAAAAAGAGUGAUCAAAAACAAUUUAUUAAACCGAAAAAGUCUCAAAACUAUUUUUUAAAUGUAAUAUUAUUACAUGUAAACUGUUCUGUUCACGUUUGUGUCGUAUACCAAUAUUUAUUCCCUAAAGUUUCUUUUUAAAACAGAGUUGUGUAGAAUCAAUCACACAUGCACCCUAAUGUUUAGCCUUCUCAACCAAACGGAGUGAAGAAUCAUUCGAAGCAUGUCAAACGGUUGGGACGGCCUAUUGAUAACGAAAUGUCUCUGGACCUGCAAAACUCUUCUUUGCAACACCUUGUAGCGUCUCAACGACACGCUCUUUAGUAUCGUUUUGAUCUCUGGGAUCUUCUUAGAGGGAACAUGUAUGGUGAACUUACUCCAAUCAAGAACGUCUGAGAAGGGCAAGGCGUAGUGAUCAGAGAUGAUGACAGGGAUACAACCUAAGUUAAUGGCUGCUACAACUCGAGGGCUAGCCACUUCGUAGCCACUAGGACAGAGACAGAACCUUGCCUUGGCCAUGAGCUUGAAGUAAUCUUCCUUCCUUGCUAAGUAUUCAUGGACUUGGACCUCAUCGUCUUUGUCUUUCCAGUGCUGCAGCAGAAUCUUGCGGAUAUCGCCGUGUACACGGCCUGCAAAGAAAGCAAGGAUGGGUCGGUCAUGGCCGGAAGAAUUGGAUAACCUAGGUGGGCCUAGUUGGCCCACGGGGAUGUUGAUCUCUGGGAUUGAGACAUCUCUUUGGGGCAUGAAACCUUCCGAUGUGUUGGCGUUGCAGAGCACUCUUAUCAUGUUUUUCAGCAGCUCCGGGUUCGAUUCCGAAACCUCUGGUGCCUGUAAGACGUUUUAUAAAUGUUGCGUGUUAGACACGAUAAGUAGGACCGGCUCAAAGUUUUUUAGGCAGCCUUUGGACAAGAUUUUUUACAAGUUUUUAAUAACAAAAAAAAUAUUCUACAACAACAAAUUAGUAUGAGUUUCUCAAACAAAAAAACAAAAACAAAAACAAAUUAGUAUGAGUUUCCUCAAAGAAAAGCAAAUUAGUAUAAGUGAAUUAUUUAAUAUACGAUACUGUAAACAAUAAAGGUAGUUAAUUUUUAAAAAAUAAUAUAUUUAACUUUUUAAUUAAAAAUAUUUUUUUUAAAUUAAAUCAUUUUUUGACACUGAAGAAUUAAUUAAAUUUUUUUGAACUUUGGAAGUAUAAACUAUUAUUACAUAGAGGGUGAAAGCAUGGCCGGCUCAAAGUUUUUCAGGCACUUUAGGCAAAAAAAAAAAAUAUUCUACAACAACAAAUUAGUAGUUUCUCAAAAAAACAAAAACAAAUUAGUAUAAGUUUUCUCAAAAGAAAAGCAAAUUAGUAUAAGUGUCUAAAAUUAUUUAAUAUAUGAUACUGUAAACAAUAAAGUUUGGUUAAUUUUUUUUAAAAAAAUUAAGUUUUUAAUAAAAAAAACUUUAAAAAAAUUAUUUCAUUUUUAACACUGAGAAAAAUAACUUUAUGAAGAAAACGAACCCAAUCAUGGCAAGAAACGAAGAAAUGGUCGGCUCCGAGGCUUCUAUUCCAAUAAGGAUACUUGUGAGUCACGACACUGACGUAGUCAAGAAACACUUUAUGAAGUUGUUCUCUCGAGUAGGUCACGAGCGGGUGGUAUAGGUACUCAACGACGUUGGCGACGCUAACCGGGAGGAGGAAGGUGUGAGCCUCGUCAGGGUGACUAGCCGCGAAUGGGCUCAUCCCUCUUUCCAUCUCGUCCACGAAUUGGCCUUCGAUGCUGUAUAUGUUGUUCAUUGGACCUAUGUGUACUAACGGUGUCUCUCCUUCUUUGUACACCCACACUUUGAAUCUCUUUUCCAUCUCUAUAUGGCUUCUGAGCAGUUCCAUAAAGAAAGUGUUAGUUGGCUUGGUUGAAUUAGUUCAUAGGAAAUACUAUAAUUUGAUUCUUAAAGUAUUUAUUUGCGGUCUUAAUUAAUAUUUGAAAUUAGCAUUCCAUCAAAAAAAAUCAUGUACUUAAGAGUAAUUAAUUAUAUUUUAUUAAAGAAAAUAAAACGGGAAUAGUAAAUUUGACUUAGCAACGUGCAAAGAAACCUGAUUUAAAAGUCAAUAAGAAAAGUACUCCUUUAGGUUGCAAUUCGACGGUAUUAGGUAACCGAGACAUGUGAGACAACAAAUACCAAAGCAAGCUUUAAGUAUGCGCUACGUUUCGUGAAUACUAAUUUUUCCAUUGCUAAGUUGACUCUAUGCUACACAAUUAAAUACAAUCAUAGAAUAAGACUAACCAUUUAUCAAUCAACUGAAUGAAGUUUGCAUACAUUUUUUUUUUUUUUUUUUUUAUGUUUUUUUAAAAUCAACUGAAUGAAGUUUGCAUACAUUUUUUUUUUUUUUUUUUUGAAGUUUGCAUACAUUUUCGAAGUUUAUGCAAUGUUUAUGGAUUUUACGUAAUUAUUUCGAAAUUUAUUUAAAUGCAAUAGUUUAUACGUAAUUAUUAAUGGAGGUAUAAUAUGCAUCAAAGUUUGGGAGAAUUUUCAUUUUAGUAUUCGAUUUUUUAGUUUCUAUUACCUUCUUUUUGUGUGUUAAUAUAAGAAAACAAAUCAAAGGAAAAAUAUAUUAAUACUUGCCUGCAUUAGUAUUAAUUAUUACUUAAUUAAUUAGGUAAAUCAGUCUCCAGUUUAACGAGAUGCAGAGAUCAAAGAGACGAGGAAGAAUUAAAACUAGACCCGAUCGCUCGUUUCCCAAAGCAAACGAGUUGGUAAACCAAGAAAAUCAAAUUUGUACGGACUUCCAUUAAAAAAUUUACUCGAAAGAGUCAAAUACAUCUAUAUACAUAUGUAUAUUAAUUAGUAUAUAUAUAUAUGAAUAUCUAAUGGGAUAUUUUUGUAGAAUUUGAAUACAUCAUAAGACUUUACAAAUUGUAUGUAAUGCAUAUCAAAUGAAAAGUCAUUUUCAAUGAAAAUUCAAAUGAGAAAGAAUUAAGGAGGGAUUCAAGGGUCACUAAUUAUAUGAAAACUGAUACUCCUAUUGUACACUUACGAAACCUAGGAAUUUAUAAGCAACGAGUAAAACGGCAGUUAAAUAAAACUGAUAAUGUAAAAAUUGUCAUAUCUUUAGCUUAAAGUUUAUUUUCUUUGAAAACUAUACUUAGAAUUUUUUUUUUGUCAAUUGCUAAUAUAUAUAGUUCAAUACUUAAUUAUUUUACUUUAUAGUUUAAUUGGUCAACUCUUAUUAAUUAGUUACUAGUUUCAAUUUUUUUUUAAAUAAGAAAAAAUGGUGGAAAAUGAAACUAUUUUUUUAUCAAUGGAAAAUGAAACUCUAAAAAGUGAGAAAGAGAGAGAAAAAAUAAGAAAAGAAAUGUAGAAAAAGGAAAGAAAUUUACUGGUGAAAUGCAUAAGCGUUUCUGUAAACGGUUCCACGAGGAACAAAAGUUUUUUCUUUCUCAAAUGCAUACUUCUUCGACCUCAUGGCUUCACGUAUUGCCGCUCUUGAUUUCGCUAAACCUUCCUCAAUUCUAUUCCUCUUCUUUUCUUUCUUUUUAUCGCAAAAAAUUACACAUUUAGAAACGAAUCCAUAGAUAACUGAAUAAAAUCAUUUGGAUUAGUUAAAAACUGAUAACAAACCUUUUGAGCACCCGGAGUUAAUGUGACGUUUGAUGAAAGAAUGCUAAACUCCAUGGACAUGGACGGUGAAGGAGACGGUGCGAGAGAUGUAGCAUGGAAUAAAGAUGAGAGAGUGAUCAAGUUUAGGUUUAGAGAUGAGAGAUGUUGAUAAAAGAGAAGAAUGAUCAGUAGAAGAAGAGCAGUAGCUAGAGAGAAUUUCAUAGAAACGAAAUUUGAGUGUUUCAUUUUGUUUUCUUUACUAUUACUAGUUUCUUGGGAUGAGAUGAUGAUCAGUGACACAUUUGGGCCAUGUAUUUAUGUAUUAGAGAAAUAAUUUUAUUAAAAAAAUAUAAUACCAUUUAUAAUUAAUUCUUUAGAACAUAUUAAAAUGAGAUAACCAAAGUCAUUUAAAAGACUCACAAACAAAACAAUUUCCUUUUAUUAUUCCUUUUUUCCUUUUUUCUGCUCUCCACCGGAAAUCGCUAUUUCCUUUUAAAACUCUCUCCCUCACCGUGAGUGGACCCCCCUUCCGGCACCAGUGCUACGGUCUUUGUCUUCAUUCCAUUUUGGAAAGUCUACUCUCUCUCCCAAUCAUUAUUAUUCCUCAUUAAUUCUAUUUCUUAAAAUAAAAAGAAUCCUUUUGAUUGAUUCGUUUGACGAUGUCUUUUAAGGAAAUUGUUUACGUAGCUUUCCUUUUCAUUUAAAAUCAUCCUUCCUUUCCUACGUUCAUACUUUUCUCUUUCUCUUGAAACUUGAUUUCCAAGCCAAUCACGGUAAUGAUAUCUAUCAAAAUAAUAACGGAAUAUUGCAACAUUAAGUGCAAAUUCGCUGGCUCUGCAAUAGAUCUUUUACCGAAAGUACUUCCCCACGGCCGGUGCAAGAUUUCAGUGCAAACAAUGGCCGACAAACUUCACAACGCCAUACGAUCCUUGUCCAUCGAAGAUGAUGAUCCGGUAACAUUACCAGACGAUCCGAAAUUCCGGGUUUUUGAUGCUAACGCUACCAGUUUGAUGGGGAGGCUUUUGAAUCCGGAUUGCCAACCAAUGGCCAAGAUGAUCAACUAUAUGCCCACGGCUUGGAGAGUGCAUGGUAGGGUACGAGGGAUUGCCCUUUCUCGUGACAGAUUCCAGUUUAUCUUCCAGCGGGAAGAGGAUCUCUUAACUGUCUUAAAAGAUCGGCCUUGGUCUUACAACCACUGGACAAUGCUCUUGGAGAGAUGGACCCCAAAUCCGCCAGCUUCGUUCCUUACAUCUUUGGACUUCUGGAUCAGGAUAAGGAAUAUACCGGUGAACUAUUAUACAUCUGAUACGAUGUAUGCCCUCGCUAAGAAGAUUGGCAGAGUGGUGGAGUUGGCCUAUGACCCAAAGGUUUCGCAAACGACUGAUUACGUGCGUGCCAAGGUAUGAUUCAAUGUGGAGAACCCAGCCUUGGAGGCUAAGAAUCUCAUAAUACCGGAGGAGGUAGUGGUCAUUAAGUACGAAUAUGAGAAGAUUCAUAAAAGAUGUUUCUCAUGUCUUCGCUUGACACAUGAAAAAGCUCACUGUCCUUUCCUUAAAAGGGCACAGGCGAACAGAGGUGGAACAUCUAAAGAAGGGGAAGCUAUUAGAAAUACUCAGAUACCAGCGCUGCUAGCUGCGCCUCUGGAAUCGCCUCCGGGUUUUCCUACGAUGUUUCCAGAACUAUCUAAAGAAGAUAGGCAAGCGGCCAUGAUGUAUAUCUCCCAUGCGGACGAGACUGAGAGGAGAGCUAGAAUCUUACGUGUCCAACAUUCCAUCGAAAAUGCGAAAGAUGAUGACACAAGUGUGCCUAUCAGAAUAUCCCACAACCUCAACAAAGAUAAAGGGCUGGUGUUUGGCUAUAGCCAUGGUGAUGAUAGCAACAUCGAGAGCAAUAAUACCAAUACUCUUCAUGCUGUCUCGGCCCCUGCUUUGCUAAAAGAUAAAGAGGACAGAGCUGCUACCUCUGGGGAACAGAGUGCUUCAUCCAACUUUCAGAUUAACGGUUCAACGGUUUUCAGAUUGGGUAACACUACUUCAUCUGGAUAUACCGGAACUUCGAGAUCUAAAAGGAUUAAUCGGAAAAGACCACCAGCCUGGGUGAGAAGAGUGAGAACAAACAGGUACGACGCUGGUGCUAUUGCUGUUUCACAAGGAGCAGUUCAGCCCAUGGAGGGAUCGGGGAAACGUUAGCCAGAGGACAAUAAGGGUCAGAGCUCAGACUACGUUGGAGCAGAGGGAUCUAAGAAACCAAACACAAACAAAAUUUCGGUGGCUUCCAGUUUGAAGCCGCUGCCAUCCCAAUGAGCAUACUGAGCUGGAACUGUCGAGGAGCUGGAAGCUCUGAGACAGUUCAACGUAUCCGGGAUUUUCGUCGUCAGUUUUUCCCGGAUUUUUUGUUCUUGAUGGAGACGAAGCAAAGGUUUACUUAUAUGGAAGUUCUAAAAGCAAGUUUGGGUUAUGAUAAACUACAUACGGUUGAGCCCAUUGGUCGCAGUGGGGGCUUAGCUUUAAUGUGGAAAAGCAGUUAUGGGGUCGAGAUUCUUCACAGUGAUAAAAGAAUUAUUGACCUCAAAAUCACAAUUGGUUCUAUGGUAUUUUUUCUAUCAUGCGUCUACGGAGACCCAGUGAGAGAAAGGCGUAGAGUGGUGUGGGAACAGUUAACUAACAUUGGAAUGCAUAGAGAUGAGGCAUGGGUGUUGGUUGGUGACUUUAAUGAGUUGAUGCAUCACGGUGAGAAACUUGGUGGUCCAACUAGAGAGGAGUCCACGUUCUGGGACUUUAGAAACAUGGCUGAAGCAUGUAAGAUCAGAGAGAUGAGAUUCAAAGGCAACAGCCUCUCUUGGGCCGGUAAGAGAGACAACGUCUGGAUACAGUGUCGUUUGGAUAGAAGUUUUGGUAAUGAUGCAUGGUUUCGUCUCUUCCCCCAAUCAUCAACUGAGUACAUGAGUAUGUGGCCCUCUGACCACCGACCGUUGCGAAUUGAGUUUGCACUGGAACCAGAGAGUCUACAAAGAGGACGGUUUUACUUUGAUAAGCGGAUGUUUGGUAAAAGAGGUGUGGAAGAAGCCAUCAUUCGUGGUUGGGAGGCAGAGAAUGACUCGUCGGAUCUAAGUGUUCUAGACCGCAUUGCUCAAUGCAGAACGGAACUAGCUAAGCUUAAAAAAGCUAGUGACUGGAACUCUAAAACAAAGAUCGAACAUCUGCAGACUGAGCUUGAAAAAGAAUCAUCGAAAUGGUUCCCAGUCUUUGGUGUCUUGAGGAGGCUAAAACAAGAACUUUCUAAAGCAUUCUACGAAGAGGAGAUUUUCUGGAGACAGAGGAGUCGAGAAGAAUGGCUGAGAGAGGGGGACAGAAACACCACGUACUUUCACAAUGUCGUAAAAGGAAAAAAGAUAAGGAAUAAAAUCAUGAUGUUGAAGGACAUAUUUGGUAAUGAGCACUUCACAGAGGGGUCUAAAGGGAACAUAGCGGUUGAGUACUUUCGUGACCUCUUCACUAGCUCAAACCCGGUUGAUCUGGAAACUUUAUUUGAAGGUUUCAACGCCAGGGUGACCACCGAGAUGAACGAUAGUCUGACGAGAGAAGUGUCACCAGAGGAAAUUAAGAAGGCGACGUUUGGAAUAAAAGCCAGCAGUUCACCAGGGGAAGAUGGUCUCACGGGCUUCUUUUACCAAAAGUACUGGCACGUGGUUGGUCCUAAACUGAUCCAGGAUGUGCAAGGUUUCUUUCGAACGUCUAUCCUCCCGGCUGGUUGGAAUCAUACACAGCUAUGCUUGCUAGCUAAGGUUACUGAUCCCACAGAGAUGAAGGACAUGAGGCCCAUAAGUCUUUGUACUGUCCAGUACAAAAUUAUCUCGAGGAUUAUGUGUAAUAGACUCAAGCUGAUACUCCCAGAGAUAAUCUCAGAGACACAAGGAACCUUUGUGGGAGGCCGACUUAUCACAGACAAUGUGAUCAUCGCACAUGAGCUAGUGCACGGUCUGGGUACGAACGAAAAGAUUGGUAGCCAGAGUAUGGCUGUGAAAACAGACAUGUCGAAAGCCUACGAUCGAGUAUAAUGGAACUUCCUGGAGGUUUUGUUGGAGAGAAUGGGCUUUGAUAGAAAAUGGGUAAGUUGGACAAUGGCUUGCAUAAGCACUGUCUCUUUCUCGGUGUUACUAAAUGCUCGAUCACAUGGAUUCAUCAAGCCUGAAAGAGGGAUAAGACAAGGAGAUCCUAUUUCCCCUUUCUUAUUUAUCCUCUGCGCUGAAGCGUUGGUUCAUGUUCUGAAUGCGUCUGAAGCAAAAGGAAAAUUACAUGGGAUCAAGCUAGCUACAUCUAGUCCUCCAGUCCAUCACUUGCUGUUCGCCGAUGAUAGCUUAUUGCUAUGUGACGCAGAUGUCAUAGAAAGCGAGGAAAUAACCAGAUGUUUGAAACUAUAUGGAGAUGCAUCUGGACAGUUAAUCAACAAGGCCAAGUCGUCAAUUAUCUUUGGAAAAGGCAUCGGGGAUCAAACUAAGGCGGAUGUCAAGCUAGCUUUGGGCAUCGACAAGGAAGGGGGUGAAGGGACUUACUUGGGGUUGCCUGGGUGUUUCAAAGGCUCAAAACGGGACCUUUUAAGUUUCAUUAAAGAGAAGCUGGACGGCAGACUCCAAGGCUGGUACUCUAAAACCCUAUCGUAAGGUGCAAAAGAAGUACUGUUAAAAUCAGUGGCCUUAGCACUUCCAUUUUAUGCUAUGUCAGUGUUCAGGUUACCCAAAGAUCUGUGUGCGAAGAUCACUAGCGCUAUUGUGGAGUACUGGUGGAGCAGUGGAGAUAAGAAAAGAAAGAUUUCAUGGGUAGCGUGGCAAAAACUAUGUAAACCUAAGGAGCAAGGAGGUCUUGGCUUCCAUGAUAUUGGCAAGUUUAAUCAAGCUCUACUAGGGAAACAAGCAUGGAGAAUCUGGAACAAUCCAGACUCAUUGGUGGCCAAAGUACUUAAAGGUAAAUACUUCAGAAGAGGCAACUUCCUGGAAUGUGGUUUGGGCUCGCGUCCUUCCUUUGUGUGGAGAAGCAUCAUGCAUGGCAGAGAGCUCCUACAACAAGGUCUUUUUAGACAUACUGGAAAUGGUAUCAGCUCCAACGUGUGGGUUGAAAAGUGGAUUAUUGAUACUAUUCCUCGACCGCCAAUGUACAAAGCAAACAGUGUUGUUAACUUGGCCCUUAAGGUAUCUGAUCUUCUUAUCGAGGGGACUAGCGUUUGGAAUCAACCCUUGAUAAGACAAACCUUCACGCCUGAGGAUGUCCAAAGGAUCCUGUUGAUAAAACCUUGUGUGAAUCAGGAAGAUUCAGUCCGAUGGGGUUUCAGUAAAGAUGGAAGCUACAAUACUCGGAGUGGAUAUAAGCUCUUAGAAGCCCUAACUGACUUCAAUCAUCCCCAAGCUCGCGUCUUGCCACCGAUCGAAAAACAGUUGUGGAAGAAUCUCUGGAAAAUCAAAGCGCCUCUAAAGAUUAAACACUUUAUUUGGAGAGCUCUAUCGGGAGCUUUGGCAAUUAAGGAGCGUCUUACCACUCGGGGUAUUCAGAUUGAUACCACUUGCUCUAACUGUUCAAGAGAAUCUGAAAGCAUUUGCCAUAUGAUUUUCGUUUGUGAAAAGGCAAAAGAAGUUUGGGACCUUGCCAACAUUUCAUUACCUCAAACUGGUUUUUCAAGGAACUCUGUAUUCCUAAACUUCUUACAUCUCUUGAAGGUAUACAAUUCAAAUGAGGGGGAUUCCAAUACGCGAAGUGUUUUCCUUUGGCUUGUAUGGGAAUUAUGGAAGGCGAGGAAUGCACUGGCCUUUGAAAACAAGACGGUAACGGCCUACACCAUUGCAUCUAGGGCCUUUGAGGAAGCUUCCUCAUGGCAGAAGACCAUGAUCCUCAAGUCAAACACGGAGAUAGUAGAUGAUGUGGUAAGAACAGAAGAACCUAUUGGGUGGAUUAAGCCACCGUCUGGAUGUUUGAAGUGUAACGUGGGUUCAUCAUGGGUAGACCCUCAUCACCCGAGUGGAGCUUCGUGGAUUCUUCGUGGAGAAGAUGGUCAAACCAUUAUGCAUAGCAGACGUUCAUACUCCUUCAUGCGAUCCAAAGCGGAAGCAGAUCUAUGGGCAAUGCACUGGGCGGUGGAAUGCAUGUAUAACACUCACCAUGUCAACGUUAUCUUCGAAGCUUCAUCUGAACAACUCCAUAAUGUCCUUUCUGAGCCAUUUCACCACCUUGAGUUCACUGGUGUGGUGCAAUCUAUAAACCAACUUCUCAAUGGGAUUAAUGGAUGGAGCCUUAACCACGCCUUGCAAGAACGUAAUGAGGCAGCUGCAACUAUCGCCGUGAGUGUAACACGAGAUCGGUGCUAUCAAUCAUACAUGGCACAGCAUGAACCUGCUUGGCUUCACCAUCUGCUGGCCCUGGAAGCUUCUUCCAACUAGAGGAAGGGUCGACCUUUCACCCUACACGCUCAUAUGUUUCCUCUUACAUUAUCAUUUUCUUACACAUCUUUCUUGGAUGUCUACUGGCAUCCUUUGUUUCAGUUUUGUCGUUUUAUUUUCGGUGUUUCCUUUGUGAACAUCAUACUUGUCCUCGUUACUUUGUUUCUCAGUGUUAUAAAAAAAAAAAAAAAAUUUAAGGUAAAAAAAAGGCAAAAAAAGAAAAAUUUUUUUUUUUUUAAAAAAAAAAAAAACAAUUUAAGGUAAAAAAAAGGCAAAAAAAGAAAAAUUUUUUUUUUUUUAGAAAAGAUACCGAAAACUAAUAGAGUUAUUUAUUCUUUUGAGAUGAAAAUAAUAGAGUUAUUGGGAGGCUAAUAAUAUUAAUUUGUAUUUAUUGCUUUGGAAAAUGCUUACCCGAAUCUGAAGUUAAUGUUUCACUUUCAAAGAAAUCCGCGUUUGGCAUUGUCUAACACCACCGUUAACAGCUAUCAAACCGGUUAUCUUCACACUUCCAAGUCCGCUAUAACCGGUUAGAGGCAGGAUAUUCAAAUUUGGAUUGGUAUUAGCAUCGGUUUUAAACGGACAUAAAACUUAACGCUAAUUGAGCCAAAAUUAAGUGUGCUUAAUUUACGCGAAAUUUGUCAAUGAUUUGCAUGCACCAAGUCUCACGGCAAGAUCACCAAGACAUGUGGCUUCCAGAAUUUGAAAAGGUUUUACGCUGUGCCGUGCUUACAAUAUUAGGGAAAAAAACAUAAUUCAUUUUAUUCUAAAUAAUAAGGAGAAUAGUAAAAAAUAGGUCUGGACAUUCAAGUACCGGAUCGGGUCGGAUUUUUGAUAUAGGAAAUUUGGUACCGUUCGCAUAAUUAUAAAUAUCGGUUCGAGUUCGGUUCGGUACUUGCCAGAUCCGGAUAUUAUCGGGUAUAUCCGAAAGAACCAGAAAAAAACGGUUCCAGUUCGGAUUGUUUUGAUUUUAUCAAUUCAUAACUGAAAAUACUUAUUUCUAAUCCGACUUACCUGAACCAUUUAGAGUAAGACACAAAUAAGAGAACUAUGAAACCAAAUAAAAUAAUUUUUAAAUAAACUUCAAACAAACAACAAAUCUAACAUUUCAAACAAAGAAAAUAAUUCAUCAUUCGAACAAGUAAAGAAACUUAAAGAAUAGUUGAGAGUUGAAAUAAAACCCAUAAAAAAAUGCAUAAAAAGAAAAUCAACAACAUUUGGUUUCUAAUGUCACCCCCUCUUCCAUAUUGCUAAAUGCAUUUCACCUACUUUAUGUAACAGUAGCAUAAUCACAGAAAUUUCAGACAUUAACAAGCGGAACACAUGUGAAAUAUUUAAUGCCUCAAUGACAUAAAAGUUGGGUACUUUGGGAUAGUUAUUCGGACCCAUGAUAAUAUCUGAUCUGACCCGAUAUCCAAAACAUAAAUGAAAGCAUACCCAAUCGGGUAUUUUACCUUAUCCGGAUCCGACGUAAAACCCGAUUUUUUGGAUCGGUACCAAUUCGGAUCUUCAGAUCCGGGAAAUAUGUCCAAGCCUAGUAAAAAAAAAGUAAGAUUAGUGUAAUGCUGAUAAUUUAAUAUAAGUUGACAAAUAGAAAAACUGGUAUUUGUUAUUUUAAAAUUUGUAUGGAAAUAUUAUAUUCUUAGUUAUUUAUAAACCUAAAUUAUACAUAGAGAUAUUUUUAACAUUAUAAUAAAAGGCAGAAGUUAAAUUCCAUAGCAACAAAUAAGAAGAGAGAGAUAGAUGAUUGGAGAAGGGACUUGAGACCAAUGACUUUUUUUUUUUUUUUUUGAGCAAUAGAGGCCAAUGACUAGAAGUCAAAAUUAAAAGGGUAGUCACGUUCCUGGGUUUAGGUCCACAAAUUUCCAGAGUCAAGUUAAAGAGUCAAGCUUUGGUCUUUUGUUUUCAUCUCAUCAGUCAGCUGAGUAGUAGAGUUUUACAACUGACACUGUAUAACAGAGUAAAACAGGCUACAGCAAAGCAGAGUAAACUUUGCAUCAAAAUUUAAUUUACUGUCCUCUUUCAAAGUAUCAUAUCCAGCACUUCUGAAAAUCAUACUAUUCAAUAAAAUAGCACAAGUCGAAUUACAAUUCAAUUUAACAACGAAUGGGUUUGAUACAAACACACUAAUAAUUAAAAAAAAAAUCUUCAAAAGAACUACUCCUUCCUUCCUCCAUUUCCCGAAAGUAAGAUUUUCUAAAGUAUGCACGCUUAUUAAAAAUUUAAUAAAUAUUUAUAAUUUAAUUUAUUUUUUACUUUAUUAUAUAUUUUCCAAUAACUUUUCAACAAUGAAAUUUAAUCAAUUUAAAUAUUCUCAAAUCUCAAUUAAUGUUCUUAAAAACUAUAAUAAAGUACCUUAACAAUAUAAAAAUAUCUAUCUUCGUUAAACAAGAAAAAAAUCUAAAACAUCUUACUUUCGGGAACGUAAUAUAUCAUGGUUUAACAACCAACAUGGUCGCGCCAGUCUAAGAACAGAAGAGCAGCUGCAUAGUGGGACAAAGCACCCAACAUAACAAACACAUGGAAAAUCUGAUGACUAUGUCCCACACGGUCAAACCAACCAGGUUUAAGCCUCUCAGGUACUCUCCCUACAUAGAACCCUGUCCCAACAAGAUAGAACACUGCCAUGCCCAGCUCGUACAUGAGCGUCACGUUCCGUUGCGGGUUUUCCCAGUUGACCACUAUCGCAUGGACAGCAGGCACGAUCCCGAAAAGCCCCAUGGAGGCAAAGAGCAAAGCUCGAAAACCUCGGUACUUGGGAGAGGAAAGUGAUGGAGUGAAGAGUGUGAUGAUCGUAAAGAUUCCCAUAGAGGUAAUGCCUGCGAGGUAGAUGAAGUACCAACGAGGAGUGCAUUGGAAGAUGUAGUAGAUUGGUGGGAAGAAAGAAGUGAUAAUCAUGGCGGUGAUGCCGGCAUAGUCUAUGCGGAGGAGGAAGACGUUAAGUUCUUUGGAGUGGCAGCAGAAGAGGUGGCAAAUACUGCUUGAGAGUAGGCAGAACAUUGAGCCUCCUAAGAAAACGAAAAAUGGCCAUCUUGUUACAUUCCCUGGACUCUUUGCAUCCUAUACAAUCAUCAACAUUCCAUCAUCAGUUUUGAGAAUAACAUCUUUAUUUAGUUUUUAUUAGAAAUUAUUAACACUCUAUCUAGGAAACUCAAAGUCUCUUUCGAAUAGUUUGCCCAUAUUUUUAAUAUUGAGUUGAUUUCAAAUUUUCAAAUCUAACAACUACAUUUUGUUGACUUUGAUUCAAAUAUAAAUAAAAAGAUACAAUAUAUAUAUACUCCCUCCGUUUCAUAUUAAGUAUCGUUUUAGAGAAUUUUUUUCGUUACAAAAUAAGUGUCGUUUUCGAUUUUCAAUGCAAAAUUUAUUAAUUUUAUGUUAAAUUUAUUUUGCUAUUGGUUGAAAUAUGGUUAGAUAUAUAGGUAAUAGUGUUUUUUAU